rnacentral:lncRNA from 1 species
ACGAAAGAGAAUGGUUGAAUUUCAAAGAAAAGAAACUUUCAAAAAUAAGCCAGAAAGAAAAUGAAAUUUUACCAACACUUAAAUUGAGUUAUGAUGUGCUCCCAUCACAUUUGAAGCAUUGUUUUGCUUAUUGUAGCUUGUUCCCACCUGAUUAUGAGAUCUACGUACAGAGAUUGAUUAAACUUUGGGUGGCGCAAGGGUUCAUUAAGUCAUCUGACGAAAACGAGUGUUUGGAGGAUGUUGCGUUUGAAUAUUACAAGGAAUUGUUGCGCAGAUCAUUUUUUCAAGAAGAAAAAACACAUGAGUCUGGUAUAAUAAUAACUUGUAAAAUGCACGAUCUCAUGAAUGAACUUGCAAUCUUAGUGUCAGGGGUCGGAAGCGCCGUAGUUGAUAUGAACCAAAAGAAUUUUCAUGAAAAACUUUGUCACGUAUCUUUCAAUUUUAAUAUUCAUUUGUUGGAAUGGGAAGUGCCAACUUUGUUGCUAAAAGCAAAUAAGAUGCGAACUUUUCUUUUUCCUUGCCAAAAGUAUUGGAUUGAUAGAGAUGGGUCAUUAUGUAAUUCGUUUUGUGCUACAAUUGUUUCAAAUUUUAAGUCAUUACGUAUGUUGAGUCUUAAUACAUUAGGAAUUACAACAUUACCUAAUUGUCUUAAAAAAGUGAAACAUUUGAGAUAUCUUGAUCUUAGUGAUAAUCCCAUCGAAAGACUUCCAAAUUGGAUAGUUGGACUUUCGAAUUUGGAAACACUAGAUCUCACAAGAUGUCGGAAGCUUGUGGAAUUGCCUAGAGACAUUAAAAAAAUGAUCAACUUAAAGCAUCUCAUCUUGGAAGGCUGUUCUCAUUUGACUCGAAUGCCACGUGGACUUGGUGAGUUGAAUGGUCUUUGCACAUUGGAUAGAUUUGUUUUAAGCAAAAGCAAUUCCUUGUUGAGGGACAGUGCUGGUCUUGGUGAACUGGGGAGGCUUAAGGAAUUAAGGAGAAAGUUAGUUAUUAGAAAUUUGGGCCACAAGAAAGAUGUGAAGUCAGAAUCAAAUGGUGGUGCACUUCUGAAGGAAAAGCAACAUCUCUGUUCGUUGGGUUUGUAUUGGAAAAAAAGAGAAGAUGUAAACGCAGUUGAUGAGGAGGAUAUUAUAAUGUCAAUGGAAGUAUUGCAACCCCAUUCUAAUCUAAAGGGGUUGACCGUGCGGUAUUAUGGUGGUGUGAGGUUUGCGAGUUGGUUUUCUUCUCUCAUUAAUAUUGUUAAUCUCACGUUGGCUUCCUGUGAGAGAUGCCAACAUCUUCCACCCUUGGAUCAUUUCCCAUUCCUUAAGUCUCUUAAACUUGAAAGGUUGACGAAGUUGGAGUACAUAUCAGACAAUGAGAGCAGUAAUAGUAUGAGUGAUGAGAUGGUGAGGACGUCAUUCUUUCCCUCCCUGGAGAAACUCCGCAUAGAAAAUUGCCCUGUUCUGAAUGGAUGGUGGAGGGCGCACACUCAUAACUGUGCUUCUUCUUCAUCAACGGAAAAUUUGCCGUUCCCGUUGCCUUCAUUUCCCUGUCUUUCUACAUUGAGCAUCUUUUAUUGUCCUAAUCUAACUUCCAUGCCUCUGUAUUCGAAUGUGCAUACAUUAUAUCUCAGUAGACCCAGCUCGAGGGUUGUUCAUUCCUUGUUUGUUAGAGGAGCAUCUGAUAUUACACAUGAUGUUAGUGUUGAUGUUGAUGUUUCUGCCUCUUCUUCUUCCCCUCAUCUCUCCAAAUUAACGCAUUUGUCACUUGAUGGAAUUGAAGAUUUAGAAUGUAUAACGUCGGAAUAGAUGGGCAACCUCACAUCACUUCAAUCGUUUUCCAUUGGAAAGUGCCCGAACUUGGCAUCACUACCAAAAGAAAUAAGCAAUCUCACGUCACUGCAACAACUUCGAAUUAGUAAUUGCUAUAAUUUGGCAUCGCUGCCAGAAGGGAUUUGUGGAUUCCCUUGUUUAAAUACAUUGCAAAUUUGGGAUUGCCCGAAAGAUGCUAGAAAGAAACAGGUGAGGACUGGCCUAAGAUUGCUCACAUCCCAAACAUUCAAAUUAUUGAAGGUGCGUUUUCUAACUUGUUUGAAUUUACAGUUGCCUAAUUCAGUAUAAACUAUGAAAUAUUCAAAAUGCGAAUCUCGUUUCUAAAUUUUAUUCUUCAUUCAUCAUCACCAACAUUUUAUUUUUCUUUUUAGAUGACAUACAAUAUGGAGCAAAGAUUUCGUCGUCCACACUUUUGCUUUCUCACCCACUAACUUCAUUUUUUUUUUGUUGAUGUAAUUUCCUUCUUUUCAAUUAUAUAGUCUCAUAUGCAGUGCAUGGGGCGCCAUCCUUUUUGGUUCAAUAUGUGAUGCCCAUGUUGAUUGCUUUGAGUGGUUGUAUAUGAUUUUGCUUUUGAUCAUCUAGAAUUUGGUACUAUGUUCUCCCAUUGUAUGUUUCUUUUUCUUCAAGUAAUAUAAUAUGGGUGUGAGGGCCUAGCCCCCCAGCUUCGACUGGGUUCCAGCCUUCUUUAAAUAUUUAUUUUUAAUAUAUAUUGAUAUAUUGGAUGCGAAACAACUUUUGUCACGUUAUAACGUAUAAGUGACACAAUUAUACACAAAGAACAGUAAAAAGAUUACGAUAUGAAAGCAAAAAUAUAUAUAUAUAUAUAUAUAUAUAUAUAUAUAUAUAUGUUGUAGGCCUAUUUGAUUGAGCGAUGUAGGGUUAGAGAGAGAGAGGGGUGUGGCAAGCUUUAGGGAGAAGAGAGAUUGAUUUAAUUGUGAGGUGUGUUUGAUUCACUCUAUUGUGCCUUUAUUUAUAGUAGUAGAAAGGGUAAGACCUUUCCCUUUAGGAUUACAACAUUUAAUAGGUAAUCUAGUCCUAAUAGGAAUAUAAGAUACAUUCCCAGAUUCCCAAGGAUUUACACAAUCACAUUCCUAUUCUAAAUAUGACUACAACAAUAUAUAUAUUAUAAACACAUUUUUGCCUAAAACACUGUUAAACAAUAUGCUUCCUAUUUUGCCUCCACAUCAACGUCUAAAAUAUCGAUAAUAUCGGCGAAAUAUCGCCAAUAUUAUCAUUUUUGUGAGAGUCCGAUAUUUCUACACCUAUCCACUUGAUUAUCGUCAAAAUAUCGAGAUAAUAUCGAUAUUUCGCGAUAUUAUUGCGUCCUUCUUGAAGGCGACGCCAAUGGAGUAGACGGCGACGGGCAUGAGGGCCUUGAGUAUCUGGAUGAAGGAGACGGAUAAGAAGAUGUAGGCGGAAUUGGAGAACCAAAGGGAAAAGGCGUAGAGGGCGCUGAUGGGGAUGACUGUCUUGAGGUAGAGCAGAGGUUACGGGAGAUGGAGACGGCGCCGACGAGGCGGAAGACACGGACGAGGAGGAAGACGAGGGAGGAGCAGAAGGAAAGGGCGUAGAAGGCGCCGAUGGGGAUGACCGUCUUGAGGUAGAGCCAAGGUAUAAAAUAUUGAUGAUAUCAGAAAUAUCGGUAGUCCAAAAACACUGAAAUUUUGACGAAAAUAUCGGGAUAUUAUCAAUAUCGAUAAAAAUUGAAUAAAAACCACGGAAAUUGUAAGAAAAACUUGGAAAUUUUUAUUGAAACUUUGCAGGAUGUUUAUUUAGUCAAUUAUCUAUUAGUUUAUCACAAAAAAUGGAAGGAAAUGCAUUGCAUGAUGGAUUUAACUGAUUUAAGUUGAUUAUAUAGCGAGCUGGCAAACAUUGUGAGUGUAGAAAAUAUGUAGUAAUUAAUGAAAGAAGUUUAAACACGCCAUAAUAAUUUAUAUAUAAUGAAUUAGUACAAUAUUUUACACUUUAUACAUUGCAUGGUAAGAUACAUGAGUCACUUAGUACCACAUAGAGUUCCUAUGAGGUUCAAAUUUUUCACUAUCUUCAUCAUCUCUAUGUGUAGAGUAAGUGUAUUGUGAAGAGUAGUCAUCAAAUGAUAAAUCCCCAAAAUAGUUUUGCAUGUAAUUGUUAACAUGCCGCCCAUAUGGAUCCGAGAUUGGUUGACGUUGUCCAUAAGCAAAAUCAUUUGAAGAUUGAGUCUCGGAUUCUUUCCAUGAGUCGCUCGAUUCCAUCCCAACAAGAAUGGGAUAUGAAGGGUAGGGAAAUGGUUGGUUAUGAGUAUAACCAUAGUUACUACUUCCCACUCCAACAGAGUCCGAAGUUAUAGAUAACAAGUUCUCUUCUUGACUUGACAAAAUCCCCUUGCCUCUUUCUCUACGAGUAUAGUCAUUCCCUAUGGCACCAAUUCCUGGUCCUGCCCGCCUACUGCCAUGGUCCUCAUCCUGUGUUGCAUGCGUGAAGUUUGCCUCACCAGUGAAGGGGCUCAUAAAUCCGGGAGGUGGUCUAACAUAGUUUCCAUAUCCACCACUACUUCCAGCUCCACUAUAUCCUUCAUUAUUCCCACCUCCGGUGGUAGGUGAGUCUCCUGAUCUUGUACUAGAGCUAUCAUUAUUAUCAGCAUAAUCUUGUGGUUGUGUAGGAUUGGAAAAAGGUGGAAUUCCAGUGUUUCUUGGUCUUGAGUGCAAAAGUUCUUCCAAAAAGUCAGCGCUGCUAGAUCCCACCUCCUCCUCUAAUACUCUUUCUACAUUUAUCCCUUCAUUAUGUGCUUCUUUAAUAACUCUAGGAGCUGGGUUGCCUUCAUCAUCAUCUAAAUGAAGAGGUUUAAUCCAUUGAUAAAGUUGGUUACCCUCUGUAUCAUCAUCUUCAACAACAAUAUCAAACACAUCUAGUGGGUCACCACGGUCGACAUGAUCUAUUUCUGCUUCCUUAUCUCGAAUUUGAAGCUUCACGUUGUAGUAGCAAUAAACUAAUUUUUCCAACCUACUAUGAGCCAACCUAUUUCUUUGCUUUGUGUGUAUGAGUGCAAAUGUAUUCCAAUUUCUUUCACAAGCAAAUGAGGAAGCUGUUUGUGAUAAUACUUUGAUUGCUAACUUUCUCAUAGUUGGUGCAUCAGUCCCAUACAUGAUCCACCAUUCAGCUAUAAUGAAAAACAAUGUUGAUAAGCCUAAUAACUCCAACAAAUUCUAUUAUAAACUGAUAGUGAAAUAUGUUUACACUCACUAGGAGACAUUUUUGUUUGAGCAGCAACUGAUGUUGGUUCUCCAAAAGUUCUUCUUGCAUCUUUAAACCAUGUGAGCUGAAUUUAAUAAAUCGUGUUAGUUUAAUCCAAUAAUGUAAUUAUUAUAAUUUAAGUAAUUGUGUACCUCAUUUCCAAAUUGGCCAUUUGCUGGUGAUGCAGGGUCUAAUUUAGAGUAUACAUUAUGUACAGCACGUAUAAGGGUACCAUCAUCUCCAACACCGGGUCUGUAUUGGUAUCGAGGAUUCAAAUAAUAUGCUGUUCAAAGAAACACAUACUCUAAUAAGAGAAAUAAUACUUAUGCAACUAAAGAAAUGAAUUGCAAAUUAUCACAUAAUUUAUACCUGCUGCAUGCAAAUCGUGGUAUAAUGUUUUAUGCCAUUGGUCAUCAAUUAUCUUUAUGACCCACCUUGCACCAUGUUUUCUUUCCAAGUCAUCAUUCACUACACGCAUCAACUCAUAUAUUACCCCCAUAGUAGGAUACACUUAUGUGUCAACGAUCCGUAAAACUUUGUAAAGAGGUUCAAACACUUGGCACACAUGUUCUGAUUGAGUCCAAAAAGCAUGAUCAAGCACUAUACUUUCCACCAUACGACCUGCAUUUGAGUGGCUGAAAUUGUGGUUGGCCCAAUCGUCACUAGUGAAUAGUUGAUUCAACCCUGCUUUCUUCUUAAGUAGGCUGUCUAAUGCAAAUAGUUGGUGGCGAAUCGAGUGGUAACUGGACGAAUAAUUUCUCCUUUGCAAAAUUCACGCAUCUUUGCCAACAACCGACCGUGAUUGUAAAUAUAAUUUGUGAUCGUUCUAGCUCUUUUUACGACAGUAGCAAUAUUCUCUCUCUUCCUCAUUGCCUCAAACAUGAGAUCAAUACAAUGUGCUGCACAUAUGUCCAAAACACAUUAUGAUGCUUCAUUAACAUUUUUCCAGCUUUGACAAAUGCAGACCGUUGUCGGUCACGACUUGGACAACAUUAUGCUCUCCCACCUCCAUGAUUACAUCCCUCAAUAAUUUGUAAAUAUACUUGUAGUUCUUUAUAUGGUCUGAAGCAUCAACAGACUUCAAAAAAAUUGUCUUUCCCUUGGAGUAUACCAUGAAGUUUAUGAUAGUAUACCAUGAAGUUUAUGAUAGACAAUCUGGUCGGGCCAGUCCAUCCGUCAUACAUGAUUGUGCAACCACUAGUUUCCCACUUUGACCUCAACUUGUUAACAUACUCGCCAAUGUCUUUAUACUCCAUUUCCAAAUAUUUGUUUCUUACGUCAUAGGGAGUGUGAGGUUGUACUCCAACACCGGUCUGUUGACAUCCCAAUACCAUAUUUUUGAAAUGAUGUGAUGAUACCUUCUCAGCAGGGACAUUUUCAAAGAUAAAGAACUUGCUAAUUAGACGCCUCAUUCUCUCAUUCACAUUACCUCCAGUGAAAUAACUCCAAACACUCUUUUGACGUGCUUUGGAUGACUUAUAUAAACUUGGGGCUAUUGGUGGUGUUGGUUAUGAUUCUCUAACACUUGCUCCCCAUCUCAUUUGUGCACCACCACUUGUCCCAGAACCUUGUGCUCUAUUAGGAAUUUUAUGAAGGUGUUCUCUUUCCCAUGUUGACUGUUUGGAGGCACGUAAUGCUUGUUUGAAACUGCGUCGUUCUUCAGGUCCCAUGUCAUCAUCACAUUCGUCCUCAUCGUCAUCAUCAUCACUGUCAACCGCUUGGCCAAUGACUUCUCCUCGUAGCCCAGCUCAAAUAUUUUCCAUUCCAUGUAUUUUCUUUUCCUUCUGGUGUUUUUUCUGUUUUAAUAAUGUGGUGAUGAAUGCCUUCACUUAUAGGGGGAACAUUAUUGCAUUGUUGGACAUUAUCGCAUUGUUGGACAUUAUUUCCUGGAUCUAAUCCACUAAGAUGGUACUUAAGUCGUGUCACUCCACCACUCUUCAUUACCCGACCACAAUAUUUGCAAAUUGUGUCAUGUUUGUUUCCGUCUAUUGGGUUUCCAUGUUCCCAAGCUUAAUCACGUUUAGUAACUCCACUGGACAUCUUAAACGUACCUAUAUUUAUUUUUCAUGGAAAUUAGGCAAUUAUUUUUUGGCCAAAAAAUAUAGUAGUGACGGAAACAUAUUAAAUAGGAAGUAAAGAAAAUAGGAAGUAAAGUUAUUCUACAAAAGAAUUAAAUAGGAAGUAUUAAAUAGGAAGUAAAGAAAAUGAUUGUAAGAAUUUAAGUAAUUAUAAAAAUAAUAUGGAAUAAUAAAACCUAAUAUUAAUGAAUAAUAAUCCAAUUUGAUAAUAAAAUAAUAAAUAACAUUAAACAUAUUAAAAUUAUUCUAGGGAAUAAUUAUACAACAUUACUUAAUUACUUCAAAAAAUUAACAUGCAAGUAUUAUUUGGUUCUUAGAUCACAUGCACGGGUCCACACAAAUUUUUUUGUUGUUGUAUAAAUUACAAUAAUAAAAAUAUAGGUUUGUAAACUUACCUUAAAUAUGGAACCCUUUGUGUAAAGGCUAAAUAGAAUUUGCAUGGAGCAACAAUAAAAUAAUAAUUACACAAAUGUAACAAAUAUGGAACUUUCGAUGUCGUACGUAGUAGGAAAACCUCGACGAUCCUCUGCAGCUUGCCGUCUGUGAAUAAAUGAGAGAGAAAGAAGGUAUUUAACAUUUAAUUUGGAGUGGCGCGAGCUGCAGAUCCAUUUAUUCAGUUUGAAGCUCUGAAAUGGCUCUGGAAUGGCUCUGGAAUGGCUCUGAAAGGGCUAAUUGAAGAAGAAGAAACGAAAAGGUGUAAUAGAGGUUUUUCAAUUUUCGAAGGGUCAAAAAAUGUGUGAUGAUCUGAUACUCCACCUCUGAGAAUGUGAAAGAAUAUCACGCAUGGCACACGGUUUUGAAUCUUGAUGAAACCACCAUUACUUUUUAUCUUGUUAAAAGUUGUAAAAGUUGUCAAGUCAGAGACACGGUUUUAAAUUAUUUGGAUGCUUUUUUUCUCUACACGCCACCACACACAAUUAUUUGGAUGCUUUUUUUUUUCUACACGCCACCACACACACACACACACAGAGUCAGAGACUCUCACACGCCACCACACACGCACACAGAGAUCAAGAUUUGAGAGCCCACACACGCACACAGAGUCCUCAGUCUCUCAAUCCUUCUCUCUUCUCUCUUCUCCCUUAUCCCCCCCACACACACACAGAUCUCUUGAUCAUUCUCUCUUCUCUAUUCUCCCACACACAAGCACAGAUACCUCAAUCUCUCGAUCAUUCUCCCACAAGGCCUUCUGCUUCUCCCUCGCCUUCCUCAUCGUCCGCGUCUUCCACCUUGUCGGCACUGUCUCCAUCUUUCGUGACCUCUACUCUACCUCAAGUCGGUCAUCCCCAUCCGUGCCCUCUACACCCUUUCCUUCUGCUCCUCCCUUGCCUUCCUUCUCGUCCGCAUCUUCCGCAUCGUCGGCGCCGUCUUCAUCUCCCGUGACCUCUGCUCUACCUCAAGACGGUCAUCCCCUUCGGCGCCCUCUACGCCAAUACUUUGGAGUAGAUUCGACGUGCUUAUACCUUUACGAACAUAAUUACCGUGACCGAAUCCGGCAUCAACGAUUUGUGAACUUCACAGAACUAGCAGUCUUGUCUUCAGGUUCUAGAACCCAAAGGCCGAGAAUUGUUCCUUCCUCAGCCGCAAUCGCAAGAUUCAGGAGUCAAUAGCGCACUCAACGCCACAUCAGCAAAUUUUACUCACCGGCCAAGCUCGACCGUCGAGUUGGCACGCCCCGCAUAUAACUGAAUGACGUAGUUAGCUCAUUAAUUACUCGGUCUGCGCGUCACAUAGACUCAGUAGUUUUUAGGGUCAACACCAUCGAAUUAAAAAAAAAAAAUUAAUCCACCCACAUAUGCCUCUUUGAAAUUUCUAAGAAUUAUGUUAGAGCAUCACUUAAUAGUUAAUACUAGAUUUAAUAGAUCAUGGUCUUAAGUUUGAAUUUUGUAAAUGGCUGAAUCAUUUACCGCCGAUCUUGACUAUUGUUUUUAAUUAUCCUUUCACAUUUGGGAUUUUUCUCUAAUCACUUUUGUUUUUUAGAAAAAAUAAUGAAAAGUCCAAAAAAACCUUUCAUUUUAAAGAAAAGCCCUUUUUAAAGGUAUAGUGAAUAGUACCAAGUAAAGGUAAAAAUGUGGGUUUUCGUUAAAAAUGAACAGUACAGGGAGUGUUUCGUUAAAACUCCAUUGUUUUUUUUUUCCAAAAAGGGGGCAACUGGAGGCGAACCAUGGUUAAGAAUUGCAUCCUACCCAUGACCACGACCAAACAAAUUCACAACUUACAAAGUAUUGCCAUGCUACUUCUCAGAUGCUUCCACAUUUCAACCUAAAACAAUGAUAGGUGAAUAGCUGUAAUCGCCUCCAAUAAGUUAUUGUUAUAAUCUAUUGAAUAGUCUUUAUCCUUUCGUGUUUGCUUCUUUCUUCUUUUCCUCUCUCUUUCAUUGCACCUUCUUGGCCUGUGGUAUGUCAUUUCUCAAGUCCAUAUGCGAAGAUUAUUAUAUUAUAAAUUUUUAUUUUUGUGGACUGAAGGAGCUUGACUUGAAUUUAGGUAUUUCAGUAUCAUUUGUUCAGCAACACAAACACAACCACUGCCAUUUUUUCAUACAUAUAUCUUCUCUAAACACUUUUGUUUAUUGUGUGGUUGUUGCCAUGCUACUUCUCAUAUGCUUCCACAUUUCAAUAAAAAAUAACGCAUUAUUGAUAGUUGAAUAGUCAUUGUUAUAAUCUAUUGGAUAAUCUUUGUCAUUUGUGUUCGUUUCUUUCCUCUUUUCCUCUCUUUCACUGCACCUUCCUGGUUGGCGGUGUGUCGUUUCUCAAGUCCAUAUGUCAACAUUAUUAUAUUAUAAAUAUUUGUUUUUAUGGACUGAAGGAGCUUGAAUUGGAUUAAGUAUUUCAGUAUCAUCCGGCAACACAACCAUUGCCAUUUUUUCAUACAUAUAUCAUCUCUAUAUAUGCUUUUUGUUAUACUGAGUGUAUCUUAUAUUGAAGUCACCAUUUACAGCAGGGAUAUUGCUAUUAUAGACAAGAACCACUAGGACUUGAGUUGACUGAAGUAGUGGUGAAGUCAGAAAUUAUAUGGGAAAGGGCGAAAUUUAAAAAGGUAAAGGUUCCAAGAAAAUGUAGUGUAAGAUCCCACAUCGCCCGGGGAAGAGGAUGUGAUGUGCUUUAUAUGCACAUGCCCACCUCCCCUAGUAAGACGCGUUUUGGGUGGAAGCCCAAGAACAAAUCCGUAAGGGUGUGACCCAAAGCGAACAAUAUCUUACUUUGCGGACUGGGUUGGGAUGUGACAAUUUGGUAUUAGAGCCACUUCCCAGUAGGAAGUGUGCUGACGAGGGCGUCGGUCCCCUAAGGGGGUGGAUUGUAAGAUCCCACAUCGUCCGAGAGAGAGGAGGUGAUGUGCCUUAUAUAGGUACAUGCCCACCUCCCUUAGUAAGAUGCGUUUUGGGUGGAAGCCCAAGAACAAAUCCGUAAGGGCGUGACUCAAAACGGACAAUAUCUUACUUUGCGGACUGGGUUGGGAUGUGACAUGUAGACAACAAAAUCCUUUUAGAGAAUAUUAAUGUCAUUCAUUAUUUAUCAAUACAAACAGUUACAAUUGUUGCCAACGAGAUUUCAUGCCAUGAAAACGUCACAUAAUAAGCUCAUUAACAAUAAAAGCAAGAACAUCUCUCUCAAUGUAAACAAUCAAGCCAUCACUUGAUCAUUGAGCUCCUAUUUUGUUACGCAUUGGUGUUUUGACAAUAUUCAUAGUAGAAAACGCUAUUUCAACUGAAGUGGUUGCAACUGGUAACAUAAAAGCCAAUGUAAGAACGUAUAGGGUGAAAAGGCCUACUGUUGUAGUCUGACUGCCACCACUGUAAAUCCUUCACUGUAUUACUUUUUUUUGGCGUGAAGUAAUUUCAAUAUUUGUUUUAUUAAUGCUUUGGAAUAAACACAUUUUUCUGUAAUAGUUUAGCCUCCUCUACUUGUUGCUGCGAUGUUCAAAUCCAGUUUCAACCUUAGAACACGAGCGAAACAAUGACGUGUAGUGGAAACGUAGAUUAUGCAAGUUCAAAUCUAGUCAAUUAUUUUUUUUAUUUCAUAAGCGAUUUGUGAAGUUCUAGAAGUUUUGUAGCCAAAAGCAUAUAUACAUCAAAGUUUUCAGAGAAAUACCCUUACUACCACUACAUCAAAUUAGAAGCCAAACAACUAUUAAUCUCUUAUUAUUUCCAGGCACUCUAGGAAGGUUGGGAUAUAUUUCCGGUUUACUAAGAAGUUGUUGGGUAGGCAACUGUAGAUUCAACAUACUACUUUGACCCUUCACAUUUUUUUAGGUCAAAACCAAAGCAGAUUCCUUUUUUUUUUUUUUUUUUUGAGAAAGCUGGAUAGAUUAACCAAGAAGAAAUGAAAACCAAAAAAAGACGGCAAAUACAACGCUAAAAUAUGAGAACAAGGCAUACAAGGACACCGCCAAGCAUGGCACCAACGUCUACCCUCCCCCAUGAAUCCAUAAAAACAACCUACGGAGGACAAGGCAAACCAUCUUUAUUCAAGAUUCUAACAAAUGAAGAUGGGGGUCUUUAAACUCAAACAGAGUCACUCAUCUCCAUAUGUGAAAUCCCGUCCCCGGAUUUCACUACUUAAAUUACGUAUUUUCGUAUUAUUGAUUUCAAGAUUUAUUUUUUUAGAAUUUUAUAUAUAGUUGGCAACCAUGCAUAAAUAUAUAAUAUCCUUUUUUUUUAUAUGGGAGUGGAGAAAUUAUUUAGGAAGAAAGAAAAAGAGAAAGAAAAAAAAAGGAUGGGGGGAGGAUGGCUACCUAAUGGCAGCGAAGGAGAGGGGGAGAAAAAAAAAAGAAAGAAGAAGAAGGGCUACUGCCCAAUCAGAAAGAGGAGGGAAGUGAGGGACCAACCAGAGAAGAGAGCAAGGAGGGAAUGGAGGGAGGAAGAGAGGAAGGGGAUCGGCCGGAUCCCACUUGACCCGUGCUAACCAGGUUCGAAACCGGUGAAAUUCCGGCGGUUGUGAGCCAUUUUUCAUGCAAAUUUCAUUCCAUUUCCACUAGCAAUCAUCACUAUACCUCUUCCCCUCCAUUUUCCUAUUAAUAUUCAAUGGAAAUUGGGUUAAAUCCGUGACAUUUGGCAAUGGUGACACCGGCGGGUCUUGUGUCAAUUCUCCCAUUUCUGAAGCAAUUCCUUCUAAUUGCCACCAUCAAUACACUCUCCUAGAACCCAGGAACAAAGCCCAAGCAGUGGUGGAGUCGUCAGAGCAAGUUUGGAGGUCGAAUCGAAUCACACCCAAUUUUAGGGUUCGUGCGGUUUUAGCAAAAUUGGAGCCUUUCUAGGAAAAAUUGGACUUGGCCACAGGUAUAAAAAUUUCUCUACUCAUUGAGAUCUUCAUUUCUGUAAAUUUUGGUAAUUUUUAAAAAUGGUUGAAUUUUUCCUGCAAGUCGGGGCGGCCGACCGCCACCCGCAGCGGCGCGUUUGGCCGCGGCUUGGCCAGUGGGCCGACAGUAUCCUUUUAAGUUCAAUUAGAUACCCUGUUUUCAUAAUUGAUAUCCUUAUGAUAUGGUUUGAUUGUGUGAACCUAAUUUCAUUAUGAUAUGUGGUUAGGUCAAAAUAUGAUUCGACGAUCCGACCGUUGGAUCGUCACCAAACCUUAAUACGUGAUAAAACAUAAUAUUUUUGGAUCAUAGAAACUUACGGAUCAGGAAUCCGACGUAUGGAUCUUUCCGAAUUAGAUUUGUAACUUCGUAAAAUAAAAUGUCCACCACCACUUGAAUUUUGAAAUUGGCAUAGAUCCGACCAUCAUAUCGCGUUGAGAUUUUAGUAUGUUGUUAUUUGAGCAUAAUGUGGACUUUGGAAAGUUACGGAUUGGAAAUCCGAGGUGCGGAUCUUUCGAAUCAAAUUACGUAAGUUUGUGGACCCUACUGUUGAUCGAGAGUUGACUUUUAGGCAACAUGUCAUGAAACGUCCUAAUUAAUAAAAUUAGUACUACGGAAUAUUAAGUGAAGUCUAGUGAGGCUACAUUGGUUAGAGCAUGACUUGUGUAUAUGUGAUAUAGCUAUUACCUUGAUUCUUAUAUUAGUAUCAUAUGUGAUUAUGUCUUGGUCUUAUAAAGGUAAUUUCUAGUGAAAUGUGAUUUUUAUAUAUUUAGCCGUAGACAUAUGUUUAUUUACAUGAUUUGGCUUGGUACUGAUGAUGGUUGUGACAUAUGUGAGUGACUUUAAUAUAGGUGAUAUUGGUGAUUACCUAUGUUUUCAUAAUUAUGAUCCUGUGUGGAUAUGAAUUGGUUUUAUGAAUAUGUUUUCUAUUGAAUUGUUAUUUCCAAUACUUAGACAUCGAUUUAUGUUUAUGAAAUGGGGUUUGGCAUGUAUAUUUGAAAUAUGGUUUGACUUGUAUGAUUGGCAUGUUGUGAUGAAAGGUAAGGACUAGUAAUGGACCGUUAACCAUUGUGAUGGAGAUUUGUUGCUUCGAUAUUGUUUCAUUUCCUGCUUUGUUGAUUAGUUCUAAAUUUAGUAUUUGUGCUUAAUUUCCCUUUGUUGAGCUUUUGUGAAUUAAGUAAUUUGUGCUUGUCUUAUUUCUUUGAGCCGUCGUACAUUAUGGUUGUUGGCCUUUCGCGAUUCUGUUGAGUGAUGGUCCCGGAUCGUAUUCACCUUGUGUUUUAUUGAGUUUGGAUUAAGAUAGCUUCAGAGAUGUAGGCUUCGGCCGAACUGUGUCGCUCUAGCUCGGCAUUCCAAUGAAUUGUAUGUGUUAUUGAUGAUAUGGUGAUUGGCAUUAUUGAUUGAUGUGAUAAUUGGAUGGUGUUGGAAUGCAUAUGUGAGGAUGAAUGACGUUAUGACUAGAGAUUAUUAUUGUGCUUAUUUAAAUGUUCCUUGAGGUGCCGCAUAAUUGAAUUGUGGUGUUAUGUUGAGACCUAGUGGUCUAUGUGAUGAAUGUUCGAGAAUAGUGAAAUGUUGAACUACGAAUGGCUUGAUCCCUAAUGAGGGUACGUAGGCAGUCUAACGAAGAGGUUAGAUGCAGCCAUAAAGUAUACGAAAAAUUAUUGUACAUCUGGAUCUUGAAUGAUACUUUGUAUAUAUUCAGGAGGCGGAGUAUGUUAGAUAUACGGGUUUGGUGUCGUCACGUGUCGAUCCUGGACGUAUGUCUGGAUCGGGGCGUGACACCGUAGACCAAAACGACGCAACAAAAUCCACUGCCUGAUUCCCUGAUCUUGGAACCCAAGACCAGUUGCAAAGGGGUAAUGAAUAACUGAUAUCCAUUAUCCGAGACAAAGCAGAUUCCUUUACACCAAAUUUUCUUGGAAGAAUAUGUGAAAACACAUAAAACAUAAUUUUCUUAUCCCUAUUGUUGUAGUGUGGCUACCUCCACCGUGAAUCAUGCACUGGAGUCUUUUUUGUCUUUUUGGCGUGAAUUAAUUUCAAUGUGUGUUUUAUUAAUGUUUUUGGAUAAAUAAAUUUUAAAUGUAAAGUAAUGCAUUUGAUAUUUUAGACAUUGGAUGCUAUUAGAUAAUUUUUGAAUUUACUAUGAUAUGAUACGGUGAUACUAAAAAUUAGGCAUAAAAAUUAUGUAUCGAAGGAGAGAGGAUACUCGAUGGAUCCUCUUUGUCAUGACCCGAGGAUUUUCCAAUUACAUCUGUUCAUCAGGCUUUGUGCGGUCAGUUUUUGUUUGGUACUGUUUAUAUUCAAUUUUAAUUAAAAAAUUUAUAAUAAUUUCUGAUCGCAUGAUAUACGAUGAACCAAUGUAAUUUGAAGAUCCCCAUAAUUCUCACAAAGAGGAUACGGCGAGGAUCCUCACUCGUAUCAAAAAGUUAUUUUAAAUAUGUUGCAACUGAAAUUAUCAAGAGAAGACGAGGGAAUUACGGUCGGACACGCUCGUGGGCCUUAGGCCUAUACAUUCCCAACUAACACCAGUUUCAUUGUCCAUUUUAGCCUACUCCACUAAGUUAUAAUCUGAACAUCUCUUUGACCGAGUAUGCAAGUGUUGUUAGGUAGGCAAGUGUACACUUAGCCGGGUACUUUGACCCAGUGCCCAACAUUUCUUAGGCCUUGUUUGGCAGAUAUUAUAAAGGAUCGGAUAGGACUAGUUAUACAAAUGCAGGUGUUUGGCGUUCACUCGUACUAAAUAAGCGGCAGAUUAAAUUAACCGAUCUGCUUAUUUAAUACGGUAUACGCUGGACUAAUAAAACCAAUCAAAAGGCUCGGAUUAUUAGUCAGCCCUCUCUCUCUCUUGCCUUCUCUCGACGUCGUUGUACUCCCUGUCACAUUCUCUCACCAUCGCCAUCCUCCCCAUCGCUUUCUAUCGCCGUCGCUUUCUCUCGCCAUCUCUACUCUCCUAGUCCUUGUUGCCUUCCUCGUCGUCCUCUCCUUGUGGCCUUCCUCAUCGCCUACUUGCCGUCCUCCCCUGCAACUGGGUCUUGCAAAGAAGCAUGGUGCGGCGGAGAGAUGAUUUCAAUUUGAGAUUCUUCUACAGUCGGGGAAGAAGAAGAAGGGGGAGAGAGGGAGGGAGUUUGAGGGGUGCGGCGGAGAGAACUGGGAACAAAAGUGAUGGAUUCAUUUUUUUUUUUUUAGUUUAAUUUUUUUUUUAAGUUUGAUUCCUCUUAUCCGGUAUAAAACCAAACAUAGUAUAAAUAAUACAGUUAUUAGUUCGAUACUGCACUAAACGUCCAACUAAUUUAAUCAGUUCUAUCAGGUGACUAUUAAUCAUAUUCGACAAAAAUAAUCAGUACAGUCUGAACUGCCAAAUGAGACCUUAGCGUUUCCUUCGGUAAAUAAAACCAAAGUACGAAGAUUCUUUUUACUCCGAAAUUUCUUGGAAGAAUAUGUGAAAGCACCUAAAGCAUAAUUUUCUUUUGUCUUUUUGCGUAAUGAUAUAUUUGAAAACGAGUGUAGGUGCGCGUUUUAGCACGCUCACUAAGAAACUUCACGUGAUUAAGAUCAGAAACUUUUGGUAAAGGCUCCACACAUUCCAUUUUACUUCUCACACACUCUCUGUUAAUUUAUAUCUAUUGAUUUUCUUCACAUUUUCUUCGAUCCAACGGUCAAAAAUUAAAAGACGUAUGAAAAGUAAAAUGGAAUGUGACUUUUCGGUAAAUUAUCAACAAUUCAGUGUGCAUUUUGGCACACUCCACUAAGGUUGGGUUUGGGAGUGAGGUGCUUAAAAAAAAAACAUCCAUGAAAAAAAGCUGUGAGGAUUUUAGGUGUUUGGUAAACUGAAAAAAAAAUGGCUUAUUUUGGAAGCUGCUGUGAGAAUAAACUGAAAUCGAAGGAAAAAGCUGAAGCUGCUAUUUGCAGCUUUGGAAAACUGAUUUUUUUUCAAAGCACACGGAGCUACAGUGCUCCUUUAAUGAAAAAACUCACUAUCAGACUGCUUUUUUUUCCAAAAUCACUUUUACAAAAAAGUUUACCAAACACUCUGCUGAUUUAUUUCACAGCUGCUUAUUCUCAUAGCAUAGUCGCUUAUUCUCACAACAGUUUUUUUUCAAAGCACAGUAAUACCAAACCAGCCUAAGUCCAAUCUGAGUAUCUCUUUGACCGAGACAGCUCUUUCUUGGAAGAAGAUGUGAAAAUAUAUAACUUUCUUUUGUUCUUUUUGCGCAAUCAUAAAUUUAAAAAAUGAGUGAACUAAUUUGCUUUGACUCAUUGACUUGGUAUAGAUCAGGUCAUUUUCUAGUGAUCCAGUUUGUAGAUCAAUUGAGUAUUUCUGCUCUUGCAUUCCUCUUAAUCUUAGCUGCUCGAUCAUCGCUGAUCAGGUGCGAACGAUUAAUGGCUGCUUCUUCUUCUUCUGACGUUCGUUGGAAAUACGAUGUGUUCAUCAAUUUCAGAGGGGAAGACACUCACAACGGCUUCAUCAGCCAUCUCUACAGAUGGAACGUAUCAUUCAUUUUGUUGUAUUGAUGUCUUGAAGUCUGAUUGUUGUGGUCGUAUUAUGUUGGGUGCAGGUCAGGAAAAUGCAGCUAAUGUGAGCAUAACGGUGUUGAAAUCACUGCCUGAUUUACAAGAAAAAGAAUCAAGGAAUACAAGAUUUGGCGGUGGUGGAAGGUUAGGCGGUGGUCGUGGAGGAGGUUUUCGAAAUGAUAGGUAUUCCAACAACCGAUCUGCUGGUGGUAGUGGUGGUGGGAGAGGUCGCGCCAACAGAUGGUGACGCGCGAUAUAAACCGGCUCCUUUCAAGUAAGCUGUUGUGGGCAACAAAUAAUAUCAAAAGGUUGCAUUCACAGUGGUUUCAACUGGUGUAGUGUAGGUACUAAACGCCAGUUGAUCUUAGUGUAGGUACUAAAAGCUAUUGUGGGCCCCGUUUGGCUCGUUAUAACGAUAUCAUUUUUUAUGCGUAUAGCGUAUUCCGCCGACCCUUUUCUCUACUUUAUUGUUCAAUUUUGUUCAGUUUUGUUUUUCUGUUUUCUUUAUGCCCUUAAUAGUGUAAGAGCACUUAUUUGGAGUGUAAGAACACCAUCUAAUUUUUGUAACUUUUCUAUUUACUAGUGAGAAAGACAAGUGUUCGUUUCUUUUCUUCUAAUGCUAUUUCUGCUGUAAGUUUACUUUAGGGUGCCGAUAUAAUCAUGCAUGCACAAAUGCUAUUAUAAAAUUGUAUUCCUUACGUGUAAUCGCAUACGCUGAAUGUACAACUGUAGAACUACAACCAAUUAUCGGAAGGUUGCCGUAUUGGAGUAUCGACAUACGAUUGUGUACAUGCUAGAUGUUGUCUAAAGAAAAGGUUGAGCUAGUGAAGCGUUUGAUGCUAGCAACUGAUGAAAACGGUGCAAUGUGACAUUGUAUCAUUAAGAAGAGACGUGAUAUUGUAAAUAUUUCAAAACCAUAAUUUAUUAUCAUAUGCGACAAUUUUUACAUUGUCUUACAUGUUUGUAGGUGAUUCAUUUUAUGUUUUUUUUUUACUAGUAUUAAUAACUAUUUGGUCUUACGUUAAAAUUUUGACAAAGUAAUAUUCUAAACUAAAUAUGUUUGAAGUAGAAUACAAAGAAAAUUGGCAAAAACUCAAAUACAAAAGCCGAUUAUAAACCGCCGAAAUCAAAUGGCCUAAGGUACACGUGCAGUGCUACACGAGUAAACUAUAUUAUGAGACGUUAACGUCGUCGUUUUGGCACCCUCUCACCGCAUUUCCUUCUUGUAGCCCUUUGUCGCGGCAACAUGGAGAGUCCUAGCUUCUUCUCAAGUUCCUAGUUCCCGCUCAUCCCAAAGCUUAAACCCACAAAACCCGCCGAUCCAAAACCUAUUUCUCUCCAAGAUUUCAAAUCUUUGUAAAGAAAACCUUCAUCUCUCUCGUUUGUAUGAUACACCCAAUCCGUGAUGGGAUCCUACAGAAGAGCAAAGCUCGCACUCGACGCCUUCCGCGGCUUCACAGCGAGGAUUGCCCCCAAAGCCGCCGGCAGAGAGCCCAUCUCUCGCGUUUUUUCAACUGGUUCUUCUUCUUGCAUCCAGCACAGCUAAGUUUUCUGGGUUUUCCUCCAGUUCUUCAAUUUGACACCAAUCAAUUCCACAACUUGGUAGAAUGACAAGAACAACACAGUACAAAAGCCCCUUUCUUGAUAGCACUAAGAGAUAUUACUAUGUCGACCGGAUCCGGGUUCACCACUUCAAGCCGAGAGGCCCCCGGAAGUGGUUUGAGAAUCCCAGGAACGUUUUCAUUGUGGGUCUUGUAGGUUCUGGGUUUUUUAUCACUGUAUUUUGGGAAUUUGGAGACGAUUCCGUACACGAAGCGAACCCAUUUUAUAAUUUUGUCGAAAGCCUUGGAGAAGAGGUUGGGGGAGACCCAAUUCCAGAAAAUGAAAGAGAGUUUCAAGGGGGACAUUUUGCCCGCCAUACAACCGGAUAGCGUGCGGAUUCGGUUGAUUGCCAAGGAUAUAAUUGAGGUUUUGCAGAGAGGGUUGAGCCAUGAGGUGACCUGGACUGACGUGGACUAUGCGUCCGGUAAAGUGGAGCUAGUGCAUGAAGGUGGUGGGAAGGAUACUUUGAUGGCACUGCAGGACGCUCCGGAGGAGGGGAAUUGGUCCCGUGAGGAUGAGAUUCUUGAUGAUCAAUGGAUUGAGAAGAGUAGGAGGACGAGUACGGAGAGAGGUUUGAAAGCUGCCACUUCACAUUUGGAUCAAUUGAAUUGGGAGGUUUUGGUAGUGGAUCGGCCUGUUAUCAAUGCAUUUUGCUUGCCGGGUGGGAAGAUUGUUGUCUUCACGGGAUUGCUCAAGCAUUUUAGAAGUGAUGCCGAGAUAGCGACGAUCAUUGGUCAUGAGGUGGGGAGAUUUCAUUGUUUGAUGUUGUUUAGUUCUUUAAUGUUGUAAAAGCAGUUUUUGUGUUGAAGUGUAAUUUGAUUUGUUUGGUUAAUAGUUGUAGAAUUGUGUGAAGAUAAGAUUAAAAAGUUGAUCUUUUUUCCUUGUGCAGAUACUAUUACAAAGAACCUGUGGUUUGCAACUCUGCAACUGGUACUUUAUCAAUUCGUUACGCCUGAUGUUUUCAACACAAUGUCCAAUCUUUUCUUGAGGCUUCCUUUCUCCCGAAGGUACAUUACAGUACUUUAUAGUUUAGUUUCUAGUCCAUUUUAGUUAAAACUAGCUAGUAAUGCCCGCGCGUUGCUGCGGGAUUACAAAUUGAUCUUAUAGCAAUGUAUAAAUUUGAGUUAGUAUCAGUGUAACAUUAAUUAAUCUAAACAAAAUUACCAUAGUGAAGGAAAAAAAUUAUUUGCUAUAGAAAAAUUAUAGUUUUGAUACCUUACAAAGGUAAUUUGUUUUAAAAGAUUGAAAGCCAGCGGUUUUCAAUCUUGAAAUUCCACAGCAUCCUUUGAAAAAUAGCGACCAUCAUCGGAUAGAACUAUUGUACCACCUACAGGAAAGAAAAAAAAAUGAGAGUACCUGAGAGAUAUUCUUAUACACAAAAAGAAAACACUUGACACUGAAUGAACAAAUAUUCAAACAACAUGGAAAGCACAUCAUGAGGGAUAAUCUAUCGUUUUUGGCCAAGUGAGGAAUGAUAUGUUGAGUACCGAGAGAGAGAAAAAAGUAGUUCUACAUUAUUUUAUAAUACCUGUUGGGUUAGUCUUGUAUUUCACUUUAUUUAUAAAAUCGACUACUGAUAUGGUUACAACCCUGACAACAUCACCCGUAGUAUUGGAUGUCCAUCUAAUUUAACUUAAAUUUCUUCUUCAAUCUUGGAUAUACAUAAUGUUUCAGUUUAUGUUUUACCACACAAAAAAAUUGUGAGUCUAAAUGGAUUUUAUAAAUAGAUGAUAAAACUGUAACUCAGUAGAAUCUAAGACAAUGAAAAUUGAAUAUUAUUUACCAUAAACUGACAUGCAAAUUUAAAUGCAAGAAUGCAAAUGAAGAGAUUUCAUAAACAGAAUGCAAAUGAAGCAGAUUCAAAUGGAGAAUUCAUUCAAUUCAGCAAAGGGAAAUAAAUAGCAACGAAAAUAGUAUGAUUUGGUGACCCUUACCUUUAACUUAUUCCGACAAUUUUCAAUGGGCAAAACUAAUGGUUUAUUAAUUAAAAUCAUUACAUAAUGAUUGCUCACCUUUUGUCAACCAGUAUACAAUGCAGACUUGUAAUUUUAUUAGUCAUUCAUGAAAUUCUCGGUCUCCACAUUCUACACACGUGGACUUUAAUCUUUGUUGCCUUUUUAUACGGUUGUACCUGAUUGAUAGGUGUUGGAAUUGUGUCUUCCAUUCAAGCUACUGAAAUUAAACACAAAUUUUGUAAAUUUGCAAACAGUCAUUGCAGUAAGUUUAAAAUAAACGCUGGAACAACCUUUCAAUCCCAAGUAGUCAUUGCAUAGAAAUCCCCAUUAAUGAAACCUUUAUACACAAACCCUUCAAUAAAAUUAUGUGCAAAAUAAUAUGAAAAUAUCCUCUAAUGUAGAGGGAAUUGCAUGUAUAGAGAUUAAAAAAAAAUAUUCUCUCUGAACCCAUAUGUGGCCUCUCCCAACCUUUCAAUCCCAAACCCUGUACUUGUCCAAGCAAUCCUUUAUAAACUCAGUCAAAAAACAAAACAUCGAUUCCACAAAAAUUAAAAAAUUCCUACUUCUAAACAGAAGAAUCCUCACCGACAGCUUCAAAGGUGUUUUGUAAACCUCUCAGCAUAUCUUUCCCAAUUGUAUUUCUCACCUCCAUCCUCUCCUACGUAACCUGAGCAAUCCAUGUUACCAUACAAACAAAACCGAAUUUGAUACCUGGGUGAAAGCAAAAGCAAGCACUAAUACAUUCAAGUAAAAUAAGGAAUUUCAAAACAUUAUAGCAGAAAAUCAAUUACAUACAAUUUUUCUUUAAACACUCUUUAAAUGCAGAAAAGAAAACUAACCUCUUGUAGAAGUGAUGAGAAGGAAUGACAAACCAGAACACCACCUGUUCAAAAAUACAAAAAUCAAAAAUCAAAAUGAAAAAAGAAAAGAAAUCAACUUUCAAAACUCUGUGCAAAAUAGUGAAUUUGUGUUAUCAUCAUAGUAUCCCCACCAUUAUCAUUUAUCACUACCCACCUGCAAUUCCUUGCUCUCCGUUUUCAAAUCACUCUAAUUCUCAUCCCAGUUAACGGUUUCAAAUCGCCACUAUCCCAAAUCAUAAAAUUCCAGUAAGGGUAUGCUGAAACACAAAAUUCAAUUUCAUUGUGUAUAGACCAACAUAGAGAUUGAGACAGGCUUUAACUUCUACAAUUCUACACAUUUUCAAGCCCUAAAUUUUCCCAGAAACAAAAGAAAAUGAAAGAAGUCGUACCUGGUUUGAAAGAGCGGACGCAAGUAUGGUGGAGCAGCCUUGGUAGAGAUCUCUAGCGAGAAAGCUAAGAAGAUGGAGCAAACCAUUGAACAAAAUAACCCAGAUUUUUAAAAUUAAAAUCACAUAAAUUUCAACAAAUAUGUCGUAGAACUCACCAGGAAACCAAGCUUUCGAAUUGGCGAUUUCCUGAAAAUCAAGCUUUUCUAGGUUAAAAUUUCUUCCCGAAGGCAACAGAUCCAACAUUCAUUCAAACAAAAUUCGAAUUGAAAAAAAAAAGUGAGAGACAAAUACCUUCUUGCGGAGGCCAGCGAUUCGGAGCUUGAGAGAGAGCUCGAGAAAUCUGUGGAAGCAAAUGGAAGAGCCCGCUUUUCCAUGUUUCUUCCCUUCCACGAUGAGCAACACGUGUAUAACACUAUAGGAGGAAGAAAAUCCAACGAAAAGUUGCACGAUGAGGACGCGGGGAGCAGCAAGGGAAAUCGAUAUAAAACAGAGGGGCAAAACAGUCCGCCCACUGGUCAUCCACAGUACCUCGUGGUUGGGUUUUAGUAUAUAGAGAUGUUAUGAUUUUUCUGAACAUUUCUUGUUAGUGCUCUCUUGUUCUGAUGCUUAAUGAGGAUGCAUCUGUGUUCUGGUUGCAAAUAAGGGGUGUGGGGGUGUGGGGCGCCAUGUUUCACGAGUUUCUAUUGUUGCUGAUUCAUAAUUUCCCCACUCCACGGUAUUAUGUGAAUCAGAAAGCCGUCCUACACCAAAUUUUCUUCCGAGUUGAAAAUUAAAAUGCAAAUUUUGCAAUUAUGUUUGUUAGAACAAAUUGGUUGUUUUAUUAGGACGACAAUAACAACAACAAAAACCAAGCCUUAUCCCACUAAGUGGUCUGGUCCUAUUAAGACAUAUAAGCUCGUGGAAUCUCUUUGAAAUGUUUUAAGAGCCUUGGGAAAUAUUUAAGAGUUUAUCUUAAUGUGAAAAAGCUUCCAUGAUAUUCCCCCCAGUUCAUCGAAAAGAUAAAAGCUUUUAUGAUUAUAAAGUUCCCUGUUUAAUUGUUCCAAACAAUGGAUUGAUGAUCGUCUCGAAAUUUUUCAAUGGGAAUUGUUUACUAUAUAAAUUUAUGACGACGGUUACUUGGUUGGUAAAAUACUUUGGUCUCUUGCUCAAGUGAACCAUUCAUUAACUCUUGGGUUCCAGAAAGGGAAUUGUAUUUAUAUAAAGACACUUGACAGUCCCUAUCACAAAAAAAUUUAGUAUUGUGGUGAUCAUAUUUGAGAGCUUUUUUUCAAUGAUGCUUCCUCGGAAAAGAUGAUGGUGACCUCCAAUGUUAUCUUACUGAAGGCUUCAUCAUAUGAUCUGUGAUACCGUUGGGAUUGGUCUAGUUGAUACUUACUGUUAGAUUACUCGGUAUGUCAGUUGUAGUGAAUCUAGUGAAUCACCUUUUUUUUUUCUCUACCCUUUCAUGUUUCACCUGUAAAGUAGUAGUAGAAGUAAUCUUUGAGAAUGUCGUAAAAUAGUUGGAUAAGUUGAGUGUUUUUGGACUAACAGAAUAGUAAUCAAUUAGCUUUGGACUACUAGGUGAGAAUUCUUUGGAUUAAAGCUUGGAUGUGUAAUUUUGCUUUGCUUUUUAUAUUUUAUAUUUUAUUUUAAUCGCCCACUUGCCGCCCAUGUUCCCUUGCAUUUUCUUGGGACAAAACCAAAGUAUACAGAUUCCUUUCACAGUGAAGUUUCCUAUGUCCAUUCCUGGAAGAAGUGAAAACGAGUGAUCUAAUUUGCAUCGACUCAUUGACUUCAUAUCUACUAGACCAAUUUUCGGUGAUCCAAUUUGUAGAUCAAUUGAGUAUUUCUGUUCUUACAUCACUCUUAGUCUUAGCUGCUCAAUCAUCGCUGACCAGUUGCGAUCGUUUAAUGGCUGCUUCUUCUUCUUCUGACGUUCGUUGGAAAUACGACGUGUUCAUCAAUUUCAGAGGGGAAGACACUCACACCGGCUUCAUCAGCCAUCUCUACAGAGCUCUGCUGCAGAAACCGAUCAACACCUUCAUUGAUGCCGAAGAGCUCAGAAAAGGCGACCGCCUUUGCGAGGUCCGGACAGGGAUUCAAGAGUCAAGGCUUUCGCUUGUAGUUUUCUCUCAAAACUAUGCUCUUUCCACUUGCUGCUUGAAAGAACUCGUGGAAAUCUUGGAACGCAGCUAUACUAAGAACCAGAUUGUGGUCCCCAUUUUCUACCAAGUUGAUCCGGCUACCGUUCGUAAACUCAAGGGAACUUUCGCCAAAGCUUUUGUUCAGCAUGAUCACGAUUCUAACCUCUAUUCUAAAUCCAAAAUGCUAGAGGUUGAGAGCUGGAGAUCCGCUCUUACAACGGCCACCAAUAUUUCCGGCUUGGGGGAUCCGCGAAACUAUAAGUAAAUUCUAAUUUGUUUUAGUUUCCUAUUAAUUUUUGAGAUUUUUGUAAUGUUUAGGCAUAAAUAUUUUGUUUUAAAUUUAUGCAAAACGGUUGUAAAAGUUCAUUAGAUCUCUGUAUGCAAGAUCUAUUGUUGCUUUUUGAGACUAUUAUAUAUCAUGAAGGAAAAAAAUGGAAAACCCAUUUACAAUCUACUUUCUAUGAAACUAAAAAUUAAAAACUAGAGGCCAACAUUUGAAAACUAAAAAUUUAGAUUAAAAAAAAUUAAAAACAAAAUAGUAUCAAAACGACCCAAUAAUUAUUAUUUGGUGUUUUUAUUAUAUUGUUUUUAAUUUUGACAGGAAUGAAGCAGAGCUUAUUGAGAAAAUUGUAGAAGAUGUUUAUACGAAAUUGAUGCAAUUCUCAUCAACAUCAAGCAAAUAUGACGUGUUCAUCAAUUUCAGAGAGGAAGACAUUGACAAAGGCUUCAUCAGCCAUCUCGAAGGAGCCCUGCUGCAGAAACAGAUCAACACCUUCAUUGAUGCUGAGAAGCUCCGAAAAGGCGACCGCCUUCCCGAGCUCCUGACGGUGAUUCGAGAGUCAAGUCUUUCGCUUGUAGUUUUCUCUCGAAACUAUGCUCGUUCCACUUGCUGCUUGAAAGAACUCAUGGAAAUCUUGGAAUGCAGAGAUACUAAGAACCAGAUUGUGGUCCCCAUUUUCUACCAAGUUGAUCAGGCUAACGUUCGUGAAGUCGAGGGAACUUUCGCCAAAGAUUUGUCUCAGCAUAAGCACGAUUCUAACUCCAAAAUGUUAGAGGUUGGGAGAUGGAGGGCUGGUUUGGUAUUGCUGUGCUUUGAAAAAAAGCUGCUGUGAGAAUAAGCGACUGUGAAAUAAAUCAGCAGAGCGUUUGGUAAAUUUUUUUGUAAAAGUGCUUUUGAAAAAAAAAACAGUCUGAUAGUGGGUCUUUUCAUUAAAGGAGCACUGUAGCCCCAUGUGCUUUGAAAAAAAGCCAGUUUUCCAAAGCUGCAAAUAGCAGCUUCAGCUUUUUCCUUUGAUUUCAGUUUAUUCUCACAGCAGCUUCCAAAAUAAGCCUUUUUUUUCAGUUUACCAAACACCUAAAACCCUAACAGUUUUUUUUCAUAGGUGCUUUUUUUUUAAGCACCUCACUCCCAAACUAGGUCGGAGAUCCGCUCUUACAACGGCCACCAAUUUUUCCGGCUGGGACCCGCGAAACUAUAAGUAAAUUCUAAUUUGUUUUAGUUUCCUAUUAAUUUUUGAGAUUUUUGUAAUGUUUAGGCAUAAAUAUUUUGUUUUAAAUUUGUGCAAAACGGAUGAAAAAUUCAUUAGAUCUCCAUAUGCAAGAUCUAUUGUUGGUUUUUCAGACUAUUAUAUAUCAUGAAAGAAAAAAAUGGAAAACCUAUUUAAAAUCUACUCUCAAUGAAACUAAAAAUUUAGAUCCAAAAAAAUUUAAAAACAAAAUAGUUAUCAAAACGCCCCAAUAAUUAUUAUUUGGUGUUGUUAUUAUAUUGAUUUUAAUUUUGACAGGGAUGAUGCAGAGCUUAUUGAGGAAAUUGUAGAAGAUGUUUUUACGAAAUUGAUGCAAUUCUCAUCAACAUUAAGCAAAUACGAUGUGUUCAUCAAUUUCAGAGGGGAAGACACUCGCAGGGGCUUCGUCAGCCAUGUUUACAAAGCUCUGUGUCAGAAAUCAAUCAACACCUACAUUGAUGCCAAAGAGCUCAGAAGAGGCGACCCCCUUACCAAGCUCCUGAUUGCCGUUCAAGAGUCAAAGAUUUCGCUUCUAGUUUUAUCUGAAAACUAUGCUUCUUCCACUUGGAGCUUGAAAGAACUCGUGGAAAUAUGGAAAUCCAAGAACACCAAGAACCAGAUUGUGCUCCCCAUUUUCUACCAAGUUAAUCCAUCUGAUGUUCGUGGACUCAAGAGAAGUUUUGCGGAAGCUUUUGCUCAGCAUGAUCUCGAUUCUAAUGCCGAAGUGGAAAUGGUUCGGAGCUGGAGACACGCUCUUAGAACGACCCCCCAUCUACCCGGCUGGGUUUCGGGAGACUUUGGGUAAAUUCUAAACUGUUUUAAUUUCCUAUUAUUUUUUGAGAUUUUUUAAAGAUCCAUUAGAUUCCUAUAUUGCAAGAUCUAAUUGUUGAUUUUUGGAACUGUAUUAUACCAUGAAAGAAAAAUUGAAAAACUUGUUUGAUAACUAUUUUGAGUGAAACUAAAAAUUGAAAACCCAAAAUUUGAAAACUCAAAAUCUAGAUUUUCUUUUUUUAAAAAAAAUUUAAAACGAGAUAAUUACCAAAAGGACCCAUUAAUUGUUAUUCGGUGUUGUUAUUAUAUUGUUUAUUAAACGUGACAGGGAUGAUGCGAAGCUUAUUGAGGAGAUUGUGGAAGAUGUUUCUAGAAAAUUGAUCCACAUCUCAUCAACAUCAAGCAAAGAUAAUGACUUGGUUGAAAUGGAUUCUCAUAUGCUUGAAAUGCGUGUAUUAUUAAAUCAUCCUGGAUUUAAAACGAAUGAUGUUCGCAUUGUUGGAAUAUGGGGUAUGGGUGGUUUAGGCAAAACAACCAUCGCUAGAGCUGUUUAUGAUGAAAUCUCAUGUCAAUUUGAAGCUAGUUGCUUCCUUGAAAAUAUCAGGGAAGGUUUCAUGAAGCAAGGCACACUACAUAUGCAGGCAGAACUUCUAUCUAGUAUCUCGAACAACAAGGUGGAGAGUUCCGACAUUUCGAAGAAAGGUUUCCAGGUGAUGUUAAAUAGCCUAGGUCAGAGAAAAGUUCUUAUUGUUCUGGAUGAUGUGGACAGAUUAGAUCAAAUUGAAGCUUUACUUGGAGGGCAACAUUCCUUUUAUGGUGGAAGUAGAAUCAUUAUAACAACUAGAGUGGGGCAUUUACUAAGAUUAGCUGAUGCUGUAUAUAGGCCUAAUGUUUUGAGUGAUCUUGGAGCUUUGAAACUCUUUAGGCAGUACGCCUUCAGAACAAACCAACCCACCAGAGAUUAUGACAAUCUUUCGAGUCGUGUCAUACAAUAUGCUCAAGGUCUGCCUUUCGCACUCAAAGUCUUGGGAGCAUUUCUUGAUAACAAAAUUGUACCCGAGUGGGAGAAUGUGUUAGAAAAAAUAAGGAAAAUCCCGCAAAGGGGAAUUCAUGAUGUGCUUAAAACAAGUUUCGAUGGACUAGAUGACACAGAGAAGGACAUCUUUCUAGAUAUUGCAUGUUUCUUUAAAGGGAUGAAGAAAGACUAUGCAACCGAAAUUCUGGACAGUUGUGGUUUCUAUAUCCUCAUACAGGAAUAAGAGUUCUGUUCGAUCGAGCUCUCAUAACUGUCUCAAAGGAGGGGAAAUUGGAGAUUCAUGAUUUACUAGUGGAAAUGGGUAGGGAAAUUGUCCGCCAAGAAUCCAAUGAGCCUGGGAAACAAAGUAGGUUGUGAAGUUAUGAAGAUGUUUAUCAUGUGCUAACUCAAAAUACGGUGAGAAAUAUUUUCUUAUGCAAUUGUUAGUAGAAAGCUGCAACUUUUGAUCAAAAUCUAUUUUUUAGGCCCGUUUGAUAACAAUUUUUGUUUUCAAUUUUUAAUCUUUAGUUUUCAUUUUUUAAUAAUUGAAAAUUGAAGACAAUUACCAAACAAGGUAUGUGCUUUCAAUUUUCAAAUUUCAAAAAAAAAUAAUAAUCAAAACAAAAGUUGAAAAAUGAAAACGAAAUAAUUAUCAAACGGCUCUUUAAUAAUUGAAAAAUGGAAACAUUUACCAAACAAGUUAUGUGUAUUCAAUUUUUCAGAUUUUUGGAAAAUAAUCAAAACAAAAGGUAAAAUCUAAAAACGAAAUUUUAUCAAAUAGCUCCUUAAGAAACAAGCAUUAACUUCCUAUUCUAAACUAUGGUUCUCUGUUCUUUCCUUCAUUUUGAUUUGCGUAGGGUACCGAAGCAGUUGAAAGCAUAACCAUGUCGAUCUCAAAUGAUGAAUACUUAAAUGCUGCAGCUUUUGUUAAAAUGACUCGACUAAGACUUCUUAAGAUCAGUCAGAUGUAUUCCAGACCUCAUUAUGGCAAACAACACCUGAAUGGGCACUUAGAGUUUCUUUCUAGUCAGUUGAGGUGCCUCUCCUGGCAUGGAUUCCCUCGCAAGUCUUUGCCAUCCAGUUGUCAAUUCGAAAAUCUUGUUGACAUUGACAUGCGAUAUAGUCACAUUGAACGACUUUGGGAAGGAAUCCAGGUACGUACAAUCAUCAUUUACAUAUAUAUGUUUCUUUUAAAUGUUUGGGUUAUGAGAUGUCUUAUCAAUUAAUGCAUGUUUUCCUAAAUGUUUUGACAGAAGCUGGAGAAGUUGAAGUUCAUCUAUUUAAGUUAUUGUCUAUACCUUGAGGAAACCCCUAACUUCACAGAGAUGCCCAAUCUUGAGAAGCUAAUUCUUCGAAGUUGUACAAGUUUAGUUAAGGUUCACCCAUCUAUUUCGACCCUUACAAACCUUGUGUUAUUGAAUCUGAAUGGAUGCAAAAAACUUGAGAUUCUAGCCAGCAGCAUACGUAUGCAAUCUCUAGAAACCCUUGAUCUUUCUGGCUGCUCGAAUCUUGAGAUGUUUCCAGAGCCUCUAGAAGUUAUGAAGAAACUAUCGGAGCUUAAUUUAUCCGGGCCAAAAAUUAAAGAACUGCCCUUGUCAAUUAGAAAUCUAACUGGGCUUCGUAUUUUGGGCCUAGAAUACUAAGGGGUCUACCAGUCAGCAUUUGUCAACUUAAAUCCCUGAUUUAUCUCCUUCUGGUUGUACAAAGUUUGAGGUGAUUCUAAGCAUUGUAGAAUUCAUAAGGUGUGUAGAGCUCCUGGCAUGGGUGUUUACACCACCCCCUUACCUGUUGCUCGUGGCCAUUUUUUGAGGUUCAGCUUGGUUUGAUUUUAGAUAAUUGCAGGGGAAUCUGGUUUCAGAUGGGUGGAAAGUGGCGUUCCGGGGUGGAGUUGGUUGAAAGAUACUAGGUUCUUUUAGUUUUUUUUUGUUUUUUUCUGUGUUGGGCUCAACAGUCUGUUUUUUAUUUUUUUUUAUUUUUUUUCUCCCUGGUGGCCGAUAUUUUGGCUGUGUGCAUAUUGUAAUUGGGUUUCGUUUCUUGUAAUUAUGUUGUGUUGGUAUAAGAAAAAAAAUAAGAAAAAAAGAAAAAAAAAAGCAUUGUUGACUGGCACUUUUGGAUGAGUAAGUUUGUGUUCUAUGGACACUUUUGGAUGAGCGGUAUUUCGAGGAAGGUUCAUUUGUUGUCAUAUUAAGCGGUUAUUUUUUGGGAUGACCACAACCUGGAAUACUUCCAGCAGUUGGAUUGGCUACAAUUGCGUUUUUCUUUGGCUAAUACUUUCGUUGUUCCUCACGUUUUGAGUCAAAACAGAUGUUUGUUGCGAUAGCAGAGCUAAUGGAGCUUGCUCACCAUGAACAACAAAAUGGACUUUUACUUUCUUCCAAGGAUUUACAGGACAAUGGCAUUUGUAAGUCUUUCGGAUUCAUUCAGUUAACUAAUCCCCUACUGAUUCUAGCAGUUUUUAGUGCUCUGCAAUUUUUUGGAUAUAUUCAACACACAACAAUUUAUGUUCAUAUAUCGCUUUUUGACAUGCUGCUUGGGGAAAUCUGUUAGCACGAGGAUUUUGAAUGCGUUAGGUUUUAAUUUGGACCAAACGGAUUGGGGAAUCCAUUUUGAUACAAUUGACAGGUUGCAGCAAACUGCACUAGACUUCUAGAUUACUGUUCCAUGAUUUGUUCUACAAUUUGGAACAAUAUUCUAACUUUGAUGGCCAAUGGUGUUUUCUCCGCUUUCAUGAGUGGCUUGACUAAAGCAAUUUCCACUUUUACUUUAUCUAGACAUAUGAUUGAUACUAUGACAUCAGUUUGUCUAGUUGUCUACGAUUGUAUCUCGUACUAUAUAUUUUCAGGCGGGUAGGAGAGAGAGGGUGUCGUCGAGAAGGUUGUCGUUUAGCAGAUGAGGCAAGGAGGGAGAGGGGAAGAAGCGGUGAAGAUGCAGAAGGCGAUGCAUAGUCGAAGCGGAGCAUCCCACGAUGAUCGACGCGUGGGCACCAGGCACAAACGCAGAAAUCAAACCCAAAACACUGUCGCUGGGUAUGCAAUUCCAUCCCUUUCUUUAGAUUAAAGAAAUGAUACGACGUCAAAGACUCAAAAGUAAAGACUCAAAAGUAACAUGAGAAGUCAGACAGGAGAUUGAAAACACAAAGCAGCACAACCAACUGAAUUUUUAUACGACAUGACGUUUGUAGUUACACGUUGAAAGUGAUUCCUGCCCUUUUGAGAUAUUUAAUUGAAUUGAUAAAAAAAGAAUCAACGACAACGAACAUGAAGGAGCACAGAAUGAGGGAAUUGGUUCCAAAAACCAUAAAUAGGUGCACUGCUUUAUAACUUAAUAAAAGAAAUAAGGCAGUCUCUCUGUACAGAUUCUGGUUAGUGGUUUAAUAAACAAAUACAAUAGAAACUACCAUGAAAAAUACUCUAAUUGGAGCUAUAAAACCACUACAUUGCAAGGUACAACAUAAAACUAUCAGCACAUGAGGUUACGGUUACUUGCCACAUCGAAAACUCUUACAGGGCCUCCUCUUCGUUUGCCAAUCACAAAGAAAGGUUCCGCUUCGUCGCUUCCAUUUUUAACAAAAGAUCCUUUAUAUCCGCUUCCAUUCUCAUCUUCAAAUUGGAGUAUUCACGAUGCGCUCGGUCUAAAGCUUGUAGUUCUUCAAGUUUCUUGCUGUGCAUUUCUUCUGCCUCCACUAAGCGCAACUUUGCUAUCCUGCUCCUAAAUUCUUCUUCAAUUUUUUCAUUCUUUGCCAUUGCUCUGCGUUUCAGCCCCUCAGCUUCUCUUCUUACGUCAUCUGCUCGUGUUCGGAACAUUUUUGCCUCGGCCUGCUUGAUCCUCACAAUGCUCUCCAACUCAUCGAAACGAGGUUCUUUUUGGGCACUUGUGUGCAACUCUGUGUCCAUAAUGCGUUUCUCAUGCUGGUCGUAGUUAAAGCUAGGAUGAAUGUUAGCUGCAGUCUCCAACCGAGGGACCUUCUCUGUGUAUAUUGAUUUCAGCCAUGCAGGUUCCUGGCUUGGCCCAGCAAUCCCAUUGCUCACUUUAUUCGGAUACUUCCCCGAUACAAUGGGUGUUUUGCCUAGCUUGGAACUGUCAGCAUCUGAAACAAAAGUGAAGGACUUAUUCAACAAUGGUACAGUUCCCAAAUAACUAAACACAGUAUUACAACACAGAACAAAAGGGCACAACUUUAUGACUCAAUAAAGGCGUCGAAUUUUCUUCUUCAGCAUUUUGUACGCUUGCUACCCGGUAUGCUACACUACCCCCUUAAUAUUCUCAUAUUAUCUAAUAAAUAUUUAUUAAGAGUAUAAAUUAUACAUAAAUAUAGAAAUAUGUAAUCUAUUAGGAAAAAUACAUUGUUAGUUCAUUUAAAUAAAAUUGACAUCCUAAAAUACUAAAUAAAAAAUAAGCAUAAAAAAGCAGAUGUAAAGGCAGUUGAUGAGGAGGAUAUUAUAAUGUCAAUGUAAGUAUUGCAACCCCAUUCAAAUCUAAAGCAGUUGAUCAUGGCAAGUUAUGGUGGUGUAAGGUUUGCGAGUUGGUUUUCUUCUCUCAUAAAUAUUGUUAAUCUCUAAUUGUAUACAUGUGAGAGAUGCCAACAUCUUCCACCCUUGGAUCAUUUGCCCUCCCUUAAGUCUCUUCAUCUUUCACAUUUGUGGAAGUUGGAGUACAUAUCAGGAAUGAGAGCAGUAACAGUAUGAGUGAUGAGAUGAUGAGGAUCUCAUUCUUUCCCUCCCUGAAGUCCCUCUACAUAUAUAAGUGCCCUGUUCUGAAGGGAUGGUGGAAGGCGGACACUCUACACUGCUUCUUCUUCUUCUUCAAUGAAAAAUCUGUCGUUGCCUUCUUUUCCCUGUCUUUCUACAUUGAGGAUCUGGGAUUGUCCUAAUCUAACUUCACAGAAGGGACUCGUGGACUCCCCUGUUUAAAUGCAUUGUACAUUUCUGGUUGCCCCAUGUUAAGCGAAAGGUGCAAGAAAGAAACAGGUGAGGACUGGCCAAAGAUUGCUCACAUCCCAAACAUUGCCAUUGAUUAAGGUUCAUUUUCUAACUUGUUUCAAUUUACACUUGCCUAAUUCAAUAUAAACUAUGAAAUAUUCAAUUUUUUUUUUUCAGUAUAUUCGAGACUUGGGAGCAGCCUCCUCAUAAAUGGGGGGGUCAGGCUAGCCGACAUUCACCUCUCCCAGACCAUGCGUAAAGCGGGAGCCUUGUGCACUGGAUACGACCUUAUAGUCUUAUAUGCAGUGAAUGGGGUGUCAGCCUUUUAGAUUCAAUAUGUGAUGGCCAUGUUGACUACUUAGAGUGGUUGUACAUCUACAUCAUUUUGAUUUUGAUCUUUGGGCUUUAGGUACUAUGCCCACCCCCCCCCCCUCCCCCCGCGCGGUUGUAUGUUUUUUCUUCAAGUAACAUAAUAUGGGCACGAGGGGCUAGCCUCCUAGCUUCUACUGUUUAAAUAUUUCCUUUUAAUAUAUGUUGAUGUAUUGGAAGCAAAACAACCUUUGUUAGCAUAUAAGUCGCAUAAUUAUACACAAACAAUGGUAAAAAGAAUUACGUCUAUUAAUUGUCAAUGCACUGGAGUAACCGAAUAUUCGACCGAAUGAACUCCAAAAUCUACUCUAGAUACGGCUCAGGACACCAAUAUUUGCACCCCAUACCCGAAAUUAAUCGCAAUAAACACUAUUCUCAGUAAAGCAAAUAAACUGAUUAUGUUUUGUUUAGUCCUAAGGAAAUUCAUGACAACCAUUACAAAAAUUAAAAUAUUUGUUGUCUUUUCUAAGUCCUCUCUCUAUAAACAACUCAGACAACUCUUAGUUUCUUUGUUUUCUUUUCCUCGAUUUCCUUAGCAAUCAAAUGGUCUCCAUAACUCAAAACAAAUUCUUAAAACGUACCGAAUGUUUACUAAUAUUUUUCUUCUCUUUCCUUUUUUUUCAGCUACCCAAUUGAACCGGUCUCUUAAAUUUUUUUAAUCUGCAAUCAAAAUCUAUUGCUUUCUUAAGUUUUCUUCAAAAAAUUUACUUAUUUGUAAUCAGAAUCUAUUGGUUUCUUAAGUUUUCUUUUCCAUCUUCUAUCCCGCAUAUCUAAGUUCAUUAUUAACCCACACCAGUUCAUACUUAUAAUAUGUUAUAGGUUUAUUUUUGAAAAGCUGAAGUCUGAAGAUGCUAGUAUUGCCAAGAACUAAAAAGGGAAAAGUACAGACCUUGAUAUUCACACAGAGAUCUUCCAUGUAGUUCUCUGGCAUCUACAAAAACAAACUUAUCAACAGAUCAGUCAAAGAAAAAUUAUUACAAACUCUGCAAAAACAAAAAAACGAUAUGGUUGUCAAGUGGGCCCUUCAGUUAAAAGGCCCUAGUGUUAAAGAAAACUAUUAGCAUCUAUUGUUGAAAACGAUGUGGUUGAGUAAGUCUUUAGCAUAGCCAGGAAUGCCAACUCCAAGGAAGAAUUUUGCCAGACACAAUAUCUUGUCCCCUGGAACCCGCAAACUCUAAGCUAAAGCAUUAAUAUGCAUAUAAUACAAACCUCAUUUUUCCCCAGGAGGAAAUUGCAUUGCAACAGAAGAGCAGGAGCGAAACCGGCAUUUAAUCAAGCAAAAUAGAACCAAAUUUUCCUCUUUAAAUCAGAAAAACGAAAAGAAAUUUAAGCUCAUUUUUCUUUUCUUUGCUUUUCAAUCAUUUUAUCGGGAAACAAACAGAAAGUUAGGAAAAUGAUGAGAUGCGGAGAGAGUGAGGGACAGACGGAUUGGAUAAGAGACUUGUCGGAAGCGGGAUCGUUGGCAACAACACCCAAACCGACGAACCCCAAUUUUCACAUUCUGUCAUACAUGCCCCUACACAUUUUUCAGAUCUGUUACACCAAAAACAACACAGAAAAUCACAAAAAACCCCAAAACAAACCCAAAACAAACAGUCACAUCCUACUUUACAGCACUAUGAACAAAUGAAAGAUGAUCGGCAUGGUACAUAGUUGAUUCUCAUAUCGUCCUUCGACAACUUACCAUCGUUAAGCUCAUCCACUCCUGCACAAUGAUAUAUAGAAGAAGGUCUACUUAAUCUGAUAGAAAUAUUGACAUAAAUAUUACUCCACAGACGCUAAAUCCAUACUUUUAAAAGAACCCAGAAAAAAAAAUAUAACAAAAUUAGAUCCAAAACAACAAAACAACCCAUGUUUAGAGAGAGAGAGAGAGAGAGAGAUGUCAAAGCGAUUUGCUACCUGUUUGGCAGUGCUUGUGCGGGUUGAAAUUCGAAGACUUUGAGAUGUGAUUUUGGGGCGUCGGUGAUUCCACUGAACUGGAAAAUCAGAACUCAUUUCCAAAAGUAAAAAAGUAUACGUAAUAGUAUUGGAAAAUAAAAAACCCGAGCGAUUUUUCAUUUUUUAUGAUGAAAAAUAAAAAAUAAAAUGAAUGGAGUCGAGUGGAAGCAGAGGAAGAGACUGACCUCCAACAACGGCGGCCGUCAAAAGAGCUUCCCAAAAGCGACAUGAUCUUGCUGCCAUGAUAAUCCUUUGUACACAGGCAAUUCUAAAACCAUAAGAUACAUAAAACAAACUUACUGAUUUAAUAGAAUGGUUAAACCCAAAGUUAUUUAAUUCAAACACCUAACUCAAACCCUAAGCACCAUGAUAAUCCUCAAACCCGGGAAAGUGUGUAUAUACAGUAGCAGAAUCGCAAAGCCACACUUGAAUGUCUGAAGUUGAGGCUUGAGCUUAAGUUGUUCCAUGAGUGCAUUAGCUUCUUUCCACCCAUCUCAGCUGUCAAUGUGGCACUUUCAACAGCCCAGAUAGCAUCAUCCACCUACAAAUAUUGCAAAAGAAAAAUAUUUUACGUCCUAAAUCCAAACAGCAAAAGAAAAAACAUAAAAAAUUAAGUAAACAGAAUGCAACUGAACUUGCACAGCUUGCUUCUCAAAUUCAUGAAAUGUUGCUAGAAUGUCGUAGAUGCACGGCAAAUUCAUCAGGUAAUUUCUGUUGCCAAUGAUUUUCUAUCACACGAAUUCAUUUUGUGUUCAAAUUCCAAGUAAUUAAUAAUAAGAAGGAUACCAUGAAUUUUAUUACCCAAAUCUUGUAAUUAAUAAUAAGAAAAAUACCAUGAAUUUCAUUUUGGAAAGCUGCUUUUAGUUAGUAGAUCCAUUUGAGAAUGCAAAUAUGGCAUACCAGUCAAGGGUCCGACCCAAAGGAAGUGAAAGCUUUUUUGACAGUUCAAUACCUUCCUCUGGUGAAAACAUAUCCUACAAUGCAGCAAGAACUAGAGUAGAAGGAAUAAUAGUUGGUUUCCAUUUCGAACCUCAAAACCCUACUUUAGUCUCUCUUACCGGAGAAAACAGCAUCUCCGGUGAAAGUGAAUUCGAACUUGGCAUCCAUUCCUCCAUCAUACUUAGAAGCAACCACAUCCUGAAGUAAGUCCCCUGAUGAACUUCCCAUCCAUCCACUGACUCCGGAGUCUUGAACUUUACAAUUGUAAGUUUGCUCUUGCUACUCUUUCCUGCUCGUAAUUGCGCCAUUUUGUUGUUAUAGUCCUGCAAUGCAAACAGUCAAAAGGUUCACAUAAGCAACUCUUGAAGGGUAAAAUUCAAAUCCAACAUUGAACCAACCCAUGAACUUAAGGACAUCAAAACCGAAACAGAUUACUAAAUGUCAAAAAGGAGUAUUUCAAGGAUAUGGCAAUAAUGAUCACACCUGAAAUGCUUUAGUAAGAUGGUAGACCCCUUUGAUCAACCCUGUAGAAGUCUUGCAGUAGUGCAAUAGAUAUUCUUGUUACAGCCUUGUACUGCGGCGUACAGGACAGGGUAGCAGGAUCACCCACAUCCCCAGUCAAUGGCAAGACAGAUAUGAGAGAGACAGAAAAUGACAACAACCACCGUUUAAAGGAGUAAAAGCAGAGUUAACACAGAGAAAACAACAAAAAAUAUCGGUAAAGCACCCAGACCCUGCGUAAAGCGGGAGCCUUGUGCACUGGGUACGACGACCGUCUUCAAUCUGUGGCACUUCAUUCUUAAUAAAGAACAUUUCACAAAAUUCCAAAUCUGCUACAACAUCAAAGGACGGACCGAAUAGGAAACGACAUCGUUCAUUAUCCAGAUUGAAACAACAAUCCUACUAAAAUUGACUACUCAUAAGUAUCUCAUUCCACUAAACUUUCUUCAGUCUAAGCCUAAAUAACUGCAAGCAAAAAAAUUCCAAGAUACAUACUUUCAUCCAAAUCAUCCACCGCAAUGACAACACCACAACCUGUAUGUUCCUUCGGCUAAGAUUAAAGCAAAAAUUGAAACCCUAAUCGUUCCCAAACAUGCUUUUGGAAUCAGAAGAGAAAGGAAACUUGAAAUUAGAGGAUCAUACAGAAUUGGGCUGGGGAUUGGACUCGUGCACGGAAUCGCCCUCUUCCUCCUCCUCUUCAAAUUGAUCACAUCUGCAUCAAAACCCACUAUCAAAAAUCAUAUAAAAAUCAAGGCAUUCACCGAAAAAUCUCUAAAACCCACAAACCCAACAACAACAACAACAACAACAAAGCCUUUUCCCACUAAGUGGGGUCGGCUAUAUGAAUCCUAGAACGCCAUUGCGCUCGGUUUUGUGUCAUGUCUUCCGUUAGAUCCAAGUACUCAAGUCUUUUCUUAGGGUCUCUUCCAAAGUUUUCCUAGGUCUUCCUCUACCCCUUUGGCCCUGAACCUUUGUCCCGUAGUCACAUUUUCAAACCGGAGCGUCAGUAGGCCUUCUUUGCACAUGUCCAAACCACCGGAACCGAUUUUCUCUCAUAUUUCCUUCAAUUUUGGCUACUCCUACUUUACCUCGGAUAUCCUCAUUCCCAAUCUUAUCCUUUCUCGUGUGCCCAUACAUCCCACGAAGCAUCCUCAUCUCCGCUACACCCAUUUUGUUUACGUGUUGAUGCUUCACCGCCCAACAUUUUGUGCCAUACAACAUCACUGGCCUUAUUGCCGUCCUAUAAAAUUUUCCCUUGAGCUUCAGUGGCCUACGACGGUCACACAACAUGCCGGAUGCACUCUUACACUUCAUCCAUCCAGCUUGUAUUCUAUGGUUGAGAUCUCCAUCUAAUUCUCCGUUCUCUUGCAAGAUAGAUCCUAGGUAGCGAAAACGGUCACUUUUUGUGAUCUUCGCUAGAUUGCUCCGGUCAUUAGUGUGGAUAAGUAUAUAAAUGGAUAGAGAUAGGAAAGCAAACACAAGAUGUACGUGGUUCACCCAGAUUGGCUACGUCCACGGAAUAGAGGAGUUCUCAUUAAUUGUGAAGGGUUUACACAAAUACAUAGGUUCAAGCUCUCCUUUAGUGAGUACAAGUGAAUGAUUUAGUACAAUGACAUUAGGAAAUAUUGUGGGAGAAUGAUCUCGUAACCACGAAACUUCUAAGUACCGGAGUGUGGUAUCGUCUUGACUUGCCUUAUCUGUCUCAUAGGUAGAUGUGGCAUCUUCUCUGGAAGUACUCUUCCUCCAUCCAGGGGUGGUAUCUGUAACUGGUGGAGAUGCACAAGGUAAUGUAUCAAUUUCACUUGAAGCUUACUUGUAGUUUCAGGCUUGGUCAAGCGCGAUACAAACCAUGUAGUAGGAGUCCUCCAAGUCGCCGAGUUAGGGGAUCUGCUGAAAGAGGUGACAGACAAGGUAAGCAAUCAGAGCUCCGGCUGAUUGUUCACAUUCUCCCUAUCUUGCAGGCAACAUGAAGGAUAAAGAGAAGAAAAAUGAGAAGAGAUGAUAUGGGAUACUUUUGCUUUUGAAGAAGUAACUUUCCACAUGCUUAUUCUUGAACUGGACUGGAGGGUUUUCUGGUUUCCUCCAGAGUAUAAGGCCGAUUGAAGAAUUUGAGGGUCAAAACAAGUCCAUCAAAUCUAGAGUACGUUCGACCCUGCUGAUAUGGGAUACUUUUGCUUUUGACAGAGUAGUGGACGUAUCGGCACGUGUGCUGUUACGCUUGUCUCCACAUGCUUCCUUGUAUCCUUCUCACUUGCUCUAUCUGUUCCUCAGACAGAUGCGGUAUCUUCCCUGGAAGCAUAAGAUGUUGAAGAUGAGUACUCGAGAGCAAUGCCAGGUAAGUAAUCAGGUAAGGGGUUCCAGGCAGUCAGUUCCUGGCUGGAAGCUUGAUUCCAAGUGCUGACUGAUUGCUCUCAUUCUCCUUGUCUUGCAAGUAAGAACAAGGUCAAAGAAAAAGACAGGGAAAACGCAUGAUAUGGGAUACUCUUGCUUUUAACCCUGAUGAUAUGAGAUAUUCUUGCUCUAGUAUAUCUUGUUUACAGAGGUAUUAUCGGGGGGAAAUAAAGCUGAAUAUUUCGAAAGGCUUCGUUGGGAGUGCCCUCUCAGAUAAGAUGAAGGGUUGAGCAUUUUUGCAGGUCUGCCUGUCCGUUGGGGAUGGAGGUCGACAUAUAUAGGAGUCUCCCUAACAUCAAGUAAUAAUGCUAUUCCUUUACCCUGUUUGGUCAUAGCACGGUAGUGGGAGCUGCCAGCUUCACAUGUUUUAACUCUGUCAGAGCACUUUGAAAAAGUGGUCUGUGGUAUCUGGAAAGCUGAUGUUGUGUGUGAAGAUUACAGACAAGCUUUAUCCAAGGAGAUCCAGCUCUUGAAGUUGGGAAAGUGGUGCCUCUUCGGUUUUCGAACAAGCAAUCCUGUCGGGGAUCUGGCUCUCAAGAUUCGGAGAACGAUGCCUCUUCGAUUUUUGAGAAAGCAAUCUUACUAGGGGUCUGGCUCUCGAGAUUCGGAGAGCGGUGUCUCUUCGAUUUUUGAGAAAGUAAUCAUGUUGGGAGUCUGGCUCUCGAGAUUCAGAGGGCGGUGCCUCUUCGAUUUUGGAGCAAGCAAUCUUGUUGGGAGUGUUUUCUCGAAUGUGAGUAAAGGUUGGGCAUGUUUGCUAGUCUACCUUGCCACGAAACACAGAGGUUGACACACAGGGACUUUCCAAUUAUCCAGCAGUGGUACUGUUCCUUUACCCUUUCUUCGAUUUUUGAGAAAGUAAUCAUGUUGGGAGUCUGGCUCUCGAGAUUCGGAGGGCGAUGCCUCUUCGAUUUUGGAGCAAGCAAUCUUGUUGGGAGUGUUUUCUCGAAUGUGAGUAAAGGUUGGGCAUGUUUGCUAGUCUACCUUGCCACGAAGCACAGAGGUUGACACACAUGGACUUUCCAAUUAUCCAGCAGUGGUACUGUUCCUUUACCCUCUCUUCGAUUUUUGAGAAAGUAAUCAUGUUGGGAGUCUGGCUCUCGAGAUUCGGAGGGCGGUGCCUCUUCGAUUUUGGGGCAAGCAAUCUUGUUGGGAGUGUUUUCUCAAAUGUGAGUAAAGGUUGGGCAUGUUUGAUAGUCUACCUUGCCACGAAGCACAGAGGUUAACACACCGGGACUUUCCAAUUAUCCAGCAGUGGUACUGUUCCUUUACCCUUGUGGGUAAUAAUAUGGUAGCUAGACCUUCAAAAUUUAUGUGUCUAAACUUUGUUAGUGUUGUUUCUUUGCUAUUCUUUUACCCUUCUUGGUCAGAGCGAUGUAGUGGGAGCUGCAAGCUUCACGUUUCUCAACUUUGUCAGAGAACUUUGGCAAAGUUAUCUGUGGUACCCAUGAGCUACUGUUGCGUGUGGGAAGUGGGUGAUUGAACAGUACGAUUCAUGUGCUUUCUACUUCGCCAGAAAUCUUCGACAGAAUGCCCAUAAAGCUGAGUGUGCGUGUGACAGGUGCUGACAAGGCUGGAAAAGUAGGUGCCUCUUCGAUUUCUAAGAUCGGCCCUCAUGGUCUCUGAGCAGCCCAGCUUUUGAGAAAGCAAGCCUCUUCGAUUUCUGAGAUCGGCCUUCGUGGUCUUUGAGCAGCCCAGCUUUUGAGAGAGCAAACACCUCUUCGAUUUCUGAGAUCGACCCUCGUGGUCUCUGAGCAGCCCAGCUUUUGAGAAAGCAAACGCCUCUUCGAUUUCUGAGCAGGCGCCUCUUCGAUUUCUGAAGCUUCGUCGAGUGCAGAUUUUUAUAGGGGCUGACAUUAAGUUCCAAAGCACACUUGAAUAUCCACCAGUAAAAGCUCCAUUCUUGCACUUCUAAGAUCUUGAUUUGUCCGACCUCUUCUCUCUUCAACACCUUUGAAAAUGUCUGGCCCCUCCGACCGUCGUUUUGACUUGAACCUUGUUGAAGAGGCAGCCUCGCCUUCUCCAGACAACAUAUGGCGUCCAUCCUUCGUCUCCCCUACUGGUCCUCUUACCGUUGGGGAUUCCGUGAUGAAGAAUGAUAUGACCGCUGCGGUAGUGGCCAGGAACCUUCUCACUCCCAAAGAUAACAGACUACUUUCCAAACGGUCUGAUGAGUUGGCUGUUAAGGAUUCUCUGGCUCUCAGUGUUCAGUGUGCAGGUUCUGUGUCUAAUAUGGCCCAACGCCUAUUUGCUCGAACCCGCCAAGUUGAAUCAUUGGUGGCUGAAGUGAUGAGUCUCAAACAGGAAAUUAGAGGGCUCAAGCUUGAGAAUAAACAGUUGCACCGGCUCGCACAUGACUAUGCUACAAACAUGAAGAGGAAGCUUGACCAGAUGAAGGAAUCUGAUGGUCAGGUUUUACUUGAUCAUCAGAGAUUUGUGGGUUUAUUCCAAAGGCAUUUAUUGCCUUCGUCUUCUGGGGCUGUACCGCGUAAUGAAGCUCCAAAUGAUCAACCUCUGAUGCCUCCUCCUUCUAGGGUUCUGUCCAGUACUGAGGCUCCGAAUGAUCCCCCUUCUGUGCCUUCUAUUUCUGGGGCUCUACCGACUGCUGAGACUUCUCCUAAGCAACCUUUGUGAAGGCUCCCUCUUGUUUUUUUAUUUUGACUCAAGUAUAUGUACAUAUUUGUAACUUAUCGGGGAUAUUAAUAAAUAAGCUUUCCUUCAUUUCAACGUAUUGUGUUAAAUACACCAAAGUCUUCUUCGCUAAGUUCUUUGAAUUUUCUUUUGUUGAAGCUUGUAUGUUGAAGCUUUGUGAGUGGAGCAUGUAGGUUGAGGUAGUGUUCCCUUAAUUUCCCGAGUGAGGAAGACUUUUCGGUUGGAGACUUGGAAAAUCCAAGUCACUGAGUGGGAUCGGCUAUAUGAAUCUUAGAACGCCAUUGUGUUUUGUCCUGUGUCAUAUCCUCCGUUAGAUCCAAGUACUCUAAGUCUUUUCUUAGGGUCUCUUCCAAAGUUUUCCUAGGUCUUCCUUUACCCCUUCGGCCCUGAACCUCUGUCCCAUAGUCGCAUCUUCUAAUCGGAGCGUCAGUAGGCCUUCUUUGCACAUGUCCAAACCACCGUAACCGAUUUUCUCUCAUCUUUCCUUCAAUUUCGGCUACUCCUACUUUACCCCGGAUAUCCUCAUUCCUAAUCUUAUCCUUUCUCGUGUGCCCACACAUCCAACGAAGCAUCCUCAUCUCCGCUACACUCAUUUUGUGUACGUGUUGAUGCUUCACCGCCCAACAUUCUGUGCCAUACAGCAUCGCCGGCCUUAUUGCCGUCCUAUAAAAUUUUCCCUUGAGCUUCAGUGGCAUCCGGCGGUCACAUAACACGCCGGAUGCACUCUUCCACUUCAUCCAUAAUUAAGAUUAAGGGGUUUAUAUGAGCAAGAACACAAACAAACUUGGAAAUGUCAUAUAAUCCAAACCCACUUCCAAUAUUUGCCACAACGAAAUGAGGCCGUAUCAGCCCAGCCAGAACCUUCUCGAUAACCUCCUUCACCGCAACCUAUCAAUUCCAACACAAAAAUUGAGAAAAUGUGCGAGAAAAUUUGAGCUUGUUUUUUCUCCGAAACCAAACAGGGGGCACAGAUGAGCCUGCUCCUGCUCCCAAAAACAUCCUCCAUGCCUUCAAACUUGUAUAAUCCAAUGAGUCUUCUCAAAAUUCUGCAAAUACCCAAAUCAAAGACGCAAAAUUUAAUGCAAUUGCAUUCGAAUUCCAAACCAAAAAUUAGGAAGGGUUUCGUUUUCCUUGGAAAUUUUUCUCGGAAAACAAACAGAAGACGGAAAAUAGAAAAAGGGAAAAGCGGGACUUACUUGUAUGAUGAGAUACAGACGAGAAGAAACAUCAGCUUAAUUAAUUAAUUGAUCCUUCGAGUUCAAAUCUGCUGUGCCCAAAAAGCCUUUGCCCACUCUCUUCCUACACUGUCCUUGUGACACCUGUCUUUUUACUUUUUUGAGGGAAACCUGUCUUUUUACGUAACAGAGAAUAUUAGCUGUUUUGAACCCGGGGCUAUUUAUUAUCCUAAAACUAUUGUAUAUUUUUAUAAUUAAAUCGUUUUAUUUUUUAAUUUUUAUUAAAUGAUAAUUUUUAGAAGAAGUUAUUUUGAAUCGUAAAUUGUUUAUGCAUCUUAAUAGAUGAAAUAAAUAAAUGGUGUGAGUAUUAAGGAACAUAUUUAUGAUGACUGUUUAUUCAUUUAACACAUUUCGACAUAAACGAAGGCAUCAUAUGCCCAAUGGGGGAAGCUGCUCCCACUCAAUUUUUUUUUGUCAUGAAAAAUGCUAUAAUUAAUAUGUAUACUCAUAAAUAAAGUCUCAGUCAAAAUAAUAUCUUGUGUUCUAUAAUUUUCUUACCAUCUCACCCUUUGGAUCAUGUAAUUUUUCCAGUAGCUAAUAAUUUACAAUUUUACUGUUCUAACACCCGUUAUCCAACAUCAUGUUGUUUGACAAUAAGUUGUCCCCACUAGAAUAGUAUUUGAUGUGUUAUAAGGUAAGAAAUUUUAUCUAAAGUAGUUUGUGUGUGACAUAAAGUACUGUUAAUUGUGAUGUAGAGAAAAUUCUUCCUUAUCUUAUAUAAGCAACAAAAGAAAACGAUGACUUUUGUCUCUGGAUAGUUUUAGGUGAGGUUCGGGAAAUUUCCUCCUAGGCCUAUAGAUAUGUGUGUAUUCUAUGUAAGAACGCAUACUUGAAUGGAAAUCAGUUCUUUGUAUAAACUUCUCUUGUUGAGUAAAUAUCCUUGCUUGAGUCAUCCUUAAUUUGUAACAAUCCUAAUUAGAGUAAAGCCUUUAGUUUCUCUAGGUUCAAGCACAACACAAGCUUGAGCACCAUCUGAGAACUCAACAAGGGACAUUUGAGAGCGGGGUGUGAACCCAUGUUCUCCCAACAACAAAAACACCACAAUUUCCUCAUGCUCCAACUUCAUCAUUUUUGAACCAAAGGAGAAAGCUAAGGCAGCAAGGAGAUUGCAUAUAUCGGUCUCAAUCCUUUUGACAUAGCGCACCUGGAUUUAGGGUGAAGAAUUCCUACUCCUGUGGCCAUCAGCUGUGGUGGUAGACAAGUAGGAUGCACUGCAGGGUUUAUGGGGUGUAGCAGCAGAACCAAGAAUUGAGGGUGCACCUUGAAAUGGUUCUCUUGGAACUUAAAAGAGAGAGUGUUUAACUUUAUAGCUGUAGUUAAGGCAUCUCCCGGAUCCCAUACAGGCCAAAGGUCAAGGUUACUAGUCAACAACAGUGAGAAAUCAACAUGUAGAUCAAUAGUCAAGGCACCAAAAAAACUGUCGUCUUAUUGCAGUAAUUGGGAUAGCUGCAUCUUCUGAUGCCAGCAUAGUUUCAAAGAUAAUUCCCCAUUUAGCACCAGCUUGGGCAAUCUCAACUAGAUAGGAAUUUCCUUUCAAAGACGUUCUACCUGAAGUCUUGAUCGAUUGGAGAUGACAACAAACAACUAGACUUGAACCCAGGUUCUUAUGCCUCACUAAUGCCCAUACGGUCAUCAUGUCUUCUUCUGCCAUUGUGAAAACCCAGCACGCAUCUAUAACAAAAAUGCCAUCAGACCACAGAGGAGCGUGCUGCAUAUUUCGUCCAUGAAGCAUUUGGCUGCCAAUUGUGUUUGUAAACAGAUGCUCCUAAAAUAUGUAGUAGGAGAUACAAUAAUUGUGUUGCCAAGUAUAAACUUAUAGCACAAGUGUUGCAAUCAUAGACAACUAGACAAACUGAUGUCAUAGUAUCAAUCAUAUGUCUAGAUAAAGUAACAGUGGAAAUUGUUUUAGUUAAGUCAUUCGUGAAAGUGGAGAAAAUACCAUUGGCCAUCAGAGUUAGAAUAUUGUUCCAAAUUGUAGAACAAAUCAUGGAACCUCUAUCAGUAAAUCUAGAAGUCUGUAGUGCAGUUUGCUGCAGCCUGUCAAUUGUAUCAAAAUUAUCAAAAUGGAUUCCCCAGUCCUUACUGUCCAAAGUAAAACGUAACGCAUUCAAAAUCCUCGUGCUGACGGAUUUCCCCAAGCAGUAUGUCAAAAAGCGAUAUAUGAACAUAAAUUGUUGUGUGUUGUAUAUAUCCAAAAAAUUGCAGAGCACUAAAAACUGCUAGAAUCAGUUGGGGAUUAGUGAACUGAAUGAAUCCAAAAGACUUGUGAAUGCCAAUGUCCUGUAAAUCCUUGGAAGAAAGUAAAAGUCCAUUUUGUUGUUCAUGGUGAGCAAGCUCCAUUAGCUCUGCUAUCGCAACAAAUAUCUGUUUUGAGCUCAAAACGUGCUGAAGAAGGGAAGUAUUACCCAAAGAAAAAUGCAAUUGUAGCCAGUCCAACUGCUAGAAGUAUUUCAGGUUGUGGUCAUCCCCAAAAAAUAACUGUUGAAUAUGACAACAAAGGAACCUUCCUUGGAAUACCGCUCUCCGUCCACUUGAGUGAUUUCGCUCCCUUCUAAACAAAAUUCCCACUUCAGUGCUUUCCCAAUCAUCCUUACAUAAGUACCCACAGAACACAAACUUACCCAUCCAAAAGUGCCAGUCAACAAGAAGGUAAUGGGAGAACCCAAAAUGAUCUCAAUAUCACGCUGAACAUAUCGAGUCAGGAAAGAAUUAUUGAUGAACCCAAUCAGGGAAAUGAAGUGAUAUAAGGCAGGGUAAACAUUUUUGUUCACAAUACAAACAGAUUCGAAUACAUAAAUAAACACAUCCCUGGUGCAACGUUCCCCAAUUUCAACAAGCAGAAAGUCAGGAACCGAUUUAGGAAUCUCCAUCCAACGGUGCAGAUUAAGUAAAAGGUCAGGUCUAUAUUUCUAGCCAAAUUCUCUCUGCUGCAUUUUGUCAAACACAUCGGCAAAUAUGUUUCUUCUACUCCCAGAGGAAUUAAACACACAAUCAUUCCCAAGGUCACAAGAUGUCUUAAUCCUUAAGAUAUCCUAAUUUGACUUUAACUAGGAUUUUCAUUUUGGAUACAAGUAAUAUCGUUAUUAGGCCUAAGCCUAUCCUACCAGACUACGCUCCAUGGACUUCGGACAUUCUGAUUAUCCCUUCCACGUGUCAUAGACCAAAAAAAUCAUGGUCUCACAUCACUCUCGAGACUUAAAUGAGUGAACCUUCAGGCCAUCUCCAAUGGAAAUGGUUAUGGGGCCAUACGUCAAGUUUUAGCCCGAAAUGCCACAAAACUCAACUCCAAUGGAGAGUUGGACAAAAAAAAAAAAACCAUGAGGAAAAUCAUGCUUCUCUGUUUAGACAAAAACAUGGCCUGAUUUGGCCAUAUUUUACUUAAUUAGAACACAUGAUUUGGAAAACACGCAAAUUGUAGGUAUUUUAAUUGAAAAAGAUGCGGAGCUCUUAGAAAUACAUUAUGUUUGCUGAUUGUAAAUCAGGACCCAUAUUUAAAAACAUGAAUCUUUAUUAUCUUGACUCAUUUUAAUCAAUUUUCUCACAUUCUAUCCACCUUAAAAAUUAUGUCUCGAUAAUCUUAUUUUCACAUGAUAUAAGUAGUAAAUAAAUUUAAAAAGUAAAAUUAAAGCUAAUAAAUUAAUAAGGAGCUAUAUUUAGGGGAUGUAGUCAAAUUAAGAUUUUAUAGGAUUUUAAUGGACUUUAAAAUCCAAGUAUAGUCAAUUAGAAUUUUAAAAUGGAUUUUAAAGGACUUUGAAAUCAUAGUAUAGUCAAAUUAAGAUUUAAGAUGAUUUUAAAGAAUAUACCAAAAUCCAAGGAUAGUCGAUUAUGAUUUUAAAAAAUACAUCGAAAUUCAUGUGUAGUGAGAAUGCUAAAGAUUUAUUAGGAUUUUAAUGGAAGAGGGAUUUUGAUGGAUUUAAGAGGGAAAGUAUAAAUAGAAAAUGACUUCAACAAUCCAACUUUCACCCCUAGGAUUUCAUUUCAAGGCCAAAGAGUUCUAUCUACAAUAGUCUUCCUCAUUUUUGGCCCUGCCUGAGAUCCAGUGACUAUCUCACCACCUAUACAUACAAGGUUUCCUAAAUCCCCAUUUCCCUAACUUCCUUUCGCCGCCCCUCAUCCCUCCCCGAGACCCACCCACUGUAACCGCAGUUUGCUCAUCCAUUUUCUAAAUUUUUAUGGGUUGAGGAGGUGGUUGCGUGCCAAGCAAGAACAAGCCACCAACGGCGUUUCCGAUCAUAAGCUUCCAAACCUGAAACCAAUGGCCCUGUUUCAUACCAGAAUUAAUUCCAAACCACACCAAAACAAAACCCAAUUGAUAUUAGGCUCCCACAUCAAGAACAACAAACACAAAGGAAGUUGAGGGUUUUCAUAGUGUUUUACUCAAUGUAUGGGCAUGUGGAGAUUUUGGCCUGGAGGAUAAAGAAAGGGGUCGAUUCCAUUGAUGGGGUUGAAGGGUUUCUGUUUCAAAUUGCUUCAAAUAGAGGAAGAUAAGGUUUUCUCAGUGAAAGAGUUAAGGGAUAGUAAAAUUUUUUGGCCAAUACUGGGAUGAAAGCUAGUGGAAAAGUUAUCCCUCUUUGCAUCUUUUGGUGUAUACAUCUCCAUAUACACCAUUGACUAGAGUGCUUUCCAUUAUUUAUUAGUUUUUCAUUACUAUGUGUAAACUGUGAGAACGGAAUUGGUAUUCGUAUGCCUUGUAAUACAAAUAGUGGUCGGUGGUUUUGCAAGUUUAUAGAAUGUAGUACCGACUCGUUUCAGAAAUUCAUUCAUGUUGUUGGAGUCUAAAUCCUAAGAAAUCCAUAAAGAAUUCUAUACAAAUCCAAAGAAAUCUAUAAUAAAAAUCUAUAUAAAUAUGCCAAAAUCCAUAUAGAUUUUAGAGUCUAUUAAAAUCCUUUAAAAUCUAUCACUUAAAAAAAAAUCUAUUAAAAUCCUCUGAAAUCCAAAUCGACUAUACCUCUUAGUCAUUUCGAUCGAAGAUGAUAUAUGAAUAUGGUCUAAUUCUGUUCAUGAAAAAAUAAUUUCUUUAUAACUCUAGACGAAACUAUACGUAUCCCUUUUAGUUGAAGAUGACCUCAAGGUCACAAUUCAUAGUCUUGUUUGUUAGCAAGUUCAAUACACGAAUUUCCUCAUUUAUCAUAGAAUGGGGGUAAGGCUAGCCGACAUUCACCUCUCCCAGACCAUGCGUAAAGUGGGAGCCUUGUGCACUGGGUACGAUUAAUCAUAGAAGACCAAAAAGGAUAAAGAAAAAAAAACUUCAAGAUCUUUGACUUCUCAGCUUUACGCCUUUCGCGCCUGAAGACGUAACUCUCUUGCAAUAGCAUUGUUUUGAGGUGCAAAUUUGCGUGCCUUUAGAAAGUCUUCCCGCGCAGCAUCUGAGCAGCAAAGUAUGUUUACUCAUACUUUUGGCCUUAACUUACACUCACUCAAAUCUUUCAGCUACACUUGGUUUCUGUAAAAGCAAAUAUAUGUCAAAUCUUAGACUCUUAGUAGCUUUUUAGCUUCAAAUAUAUGCCAAAUUAACCUCAUAAGUGGAUUUUCGAGUGAUCGAGUUGGACUGAAUGAAUACAUGAAGAUGUUUUCUUACCCUUUUCUACUUAGUUUCUUCAAGAACAAUUCAUCUUUAGGUCAUUAUCAAGCCGGAAACUUAUUGUUUUUAUUUACGAAUUGAUAAGAUUUUGGAAAUAAUUUGUAUAUCGAGAAGGAAUGCAAUAGUUGGAUAUUAUGACUACCGCUUCUCCGAUUCAUCAUUCCUCCAUGCUUUUAUAUUGAGUAACUCAGAAAUCCUGUGUUCCAAAACUCAUGUAGUAUAAGUGGCGAUGGCAGCUAUAUGGUCCGUGUACAAUGUGCAGGAGAAAGAAGAAGAUUGUCGUUCCCCUCUGCGUACGAGUGAAUUAGAUUUCCAAAUAAUCAAAUAUUAUGGGGCACUAUAAUUCCUAUAGGGUAUUACAAUCCAUGUGAGCCUCAGAAAGGGCCGUCACAUAUAGACUACUGCUCAUUUUUUCAUCUUGUUUGUAGGUCAAGACGGUGAAAAUGAAAUAGUAACUGAAGAUGCUACCUUCGUUCAUGGGGAACCUUCUCAAGAUGCUAAUGGUCCCCCAAAAGUUGAUUCUGCGGUGGAAAUCCUUCACGAGAAUGUGACAAAGCAAAUCAUUAAGGAAGGUCAUGGUCAAAUACCAUCCAAGUAUUCUGUUGUGCUAGGAUAACACCAAACCCGUUGGAACCAACUCAAGCUAACCCACAAGAAAUUUACCAAAUGAAAUGCAAGAACAAAAUAUUAAAGAACACCAAGAUUUUAACGAGGUUCCUCAACAGUCAGUGUAACUGGAGUACGUCCUCGGAGCAGUAGGAGCUCACCCAAUAAUCCACUAUCAACCAAAUGGGAGUUUACAAAGUGUUGGCAAUCUCACAACCCAUAAGCCCAAUACACCCAAUAGCUCUCACACACCAAAGAAACAAAUAGAGAAAGAAAUAUAAUGAAUAAUUUCUUCUCUACACAUAUAGCUCAAAGCUAUUACAACAACUAUUUUUUGUGGAUGAUAACUAACCAAAAUGAAGCAUCAACUUCUUCUUUCUGUUUGGGCUCUCUGCAACUCUCUUGCUCUCGGCAGCUAUUUCUCAUUUUCUUCCGCUCUCUGUUUUCUUCUUAUCACCACACAAGCAGCAAUUGAUGCUAACAAUUCAUUAAGUCACCCCGUGACUUCUCACAUGGACCAAAGAAAAAACACAAAAAACUUUAGACAAGACCCAUGUUUUCCUCCCCAAAACAAGGAAAUAUGUUGUCCACUUUUGGUUUGUUUAUUCUAAAGUAUAUGGCCACUUGGCCACAUAAUCCAACAAUCUCCACCUUGGCCAAGUUCCGAAAAACGCCAUGAUAAGCCAACCAACACAAUUAACACACAACAUCACUCCCAAACACUAGCAAGAGAACAACUCAUGCCGAGCCAAAUGCUCCAAAACUCCUACUGCUCAACGCCUUCUUUAUAUAGGCAUAAUGUGAGCCAAGUUCAAACAGUGAACAAACUUGGCUACACCAACAACCUUAGUCAACAUAUCAGCGGGGUUGUCUUUAGUUGGAAUCUUCUGGAGAAUGAUUUCCCCUUCACCAACAAUUUCACGAACAAAGUGAUAACGCACAUCUAUGUGCUUGGUCCUCGCAUGAUGAACCUGAUACUUAGCCAAAUAAAUGGCACUCUGACUAUCACAAUGUACCUCCACCUGCUUCUGAUCAACCCCCAAAUCUCUAAUCAGCCCAUGUAUCCAAAUGGCAUCCUUUAUAGCUUCAGCAACUGCCAUAUAUUCAGCCUCUGUAGUAGACAAGGCAACAGACGACUGCAAAAUGGACCUCCAACAAAACUGGCCCUUUAGCCAUAGUAAACACAUAGCCUGUAGUAGACUUCCUUCCAUCCAGAUCACCUGCAUAAUCUGAAUCAACAUAACCAACUGCAAAAUGACCAAUACCAGAGUCAUCGCUCUCAAAGCAUAAACCAACAUCUCGAGUACCAUGGAGAUACCUCAAUAUCCACUUAGCUGCUUGCCAAUGCUCUUUACCUGGAUUAUGCAUAUAUCGACUCACCAUGCCAACUGCAUGAGCAAUAUCCGGUCUAGAGCAUACCAUUGCAUACAUCAAACUACCAACCAAAUUUGCAUAUGGUACAUUUUUCAUUUGCAGCUUCUCUUUAUCAUUUUUAGGACAUUGUAGAGAACUCAAUUUAAAAUGAGGAGCCAAAGGGGUACUAACCGGUUUGGUUGAAUCAUGAACUCCAAACUUCCGAAUCAACUUCUCAAGGUAUUGUCUUUGAUUCAAACUGACCAAAACCCUUCUCUCUAUCUAUCUCUAGUGAUCUCCAUGCCAAGGAUCUUCUUUGCUUCACCAAGAUCCUUCAUCUCAAACUCAUUCUUCAUUUGUUUCUUCAAUUUCUCAAUCUCUUCAACAUUCUUUGAGGCAAUCAACAUAUCAUCAACAUAUAUCAAUAAAUAAAUGAAAGACUCAUCUUGCAAAUUCUUGAAGUACACACAAUGAUCAUAUUGACUUCUAGAAUAAUUUUGGCCUCUCAUAAAUUUAUCAAACCUCAAAUACCAUUGUCUUGGAGAUUGCUUCAAGCCAUAUAGUGAUUUCUUCAAUUUGCAAAACAAGUUCUCCUUCCCUUUCACUAUAUACCCAUCCGGUUGACACAUAUAAAUCUCUUCAUUCAAAUCACCAUGUAGGAAAGCCGUCUUCACAUCAAGUUGCACAAGCUCAAGAUCAUAUUGUGCAACAAGAGCUAACAUAAUACGAAUUGAGGAGUGCUUCACAACUGGAGAAAAUAUUUCAUUGUAGUCAAUGCCUUCCUUUUGUGCAUACCCUUUAGCAACUAAUCUUGCUUUGAAUCUCACAUUGCUUUUCUCAUCAGCAUCUUCCUUCUUGGCAUACACACCCAUUUGCAACCGAUAGCUUUCUUGCCCUUAGGCAAUUUAGCUAACUCCCAAGUCUUGUUCUUCAAGAGAGAAUUCAUUUCAUCACCCAUGGCAUUGCACCACCUCUUCUUCUCCUCACUCUCAAUAGCUUCCUCAAAAUUGGAUGGAAUCUCUUCAGUGAUAAUAGGAAGAGCAAAAGCAACAUAGUCACUAUACCGAGCUGGCUUGGUAAUUUGUCUCUUUCCUAUGUUCUUGGCAAUAGACUCUUGAGGUGAAACUUGCUCUUCAACUUGAAUAGAAUCUUCAAGUUCAACUUCUUCAACAUCCUCAUGGUCUCCAACUUCCUCACUUGUAGUGGCUUCGACAUCAGCGGAAAUAGGAUUUGAAGUACCAGAGGCAACUUUCUCAAGCUCCACCUGUUGGACAUUUUUCACAUUCUUCUCAGAGCCUUUGUACAUACUUUCUUCAUCAAAUGUCACAUCUCUACUGAUUACAAGUUUUUUCAUCUCUAGACACCACAACCUGUAACCUUUGACACCACUACUACUAAAACCAAGAAAGAUAGCCUUUUUGGCUCUAGGAUCAAGUUUAUUUUCAGUCACAUGAAAAAUAAGCAGGUGAACCAAAAAUACGGAUAUAGUCAUAAUCAGAAGAAGGUUUUCCAGUCCAUACCUCCAUUGGUGUCUUACCCUGAACAGCAGCUGAGGGUAACUGGUUGAUGAUGUGACAUGCAUAAUUAACUGCUUCUGCCCAAAAUGACUUGCUUAAACCCGACUGAGACAACAUACAUCUAACCUUCUCAAGCAAGGUUCGAUUCAAUCUUUCUGCAACUCCAUUUUGUUGUGGAGUUCCCCGAACACUGAAAUGUCUCACAAUUCCUUCCUCUUUGCAAACUUUAAAGAAAGGGUCGGAUGUGUAUUCACCACCAUUAUCCGAUCUCAAAAUCUUAAUAUUUCUCCCAGUCUGGUUCUCAACCAUUUUCUUCCAACUCAAGAAAAUGCUCAAUACCUCACUAUUGUGCUUCAUAGUGUAAACCCAAGACCUUCUUGAAUAAUCAUCAACAAAGGUCACGAACCAAUGUCUACCACUCAAAGAGGGAGUCUUUGUAGGACCCCAAACAUCCGAAUGCACAUAAUCAAGAAUGUCCUUCGUCUGAUGUACAGCAGUACCAAACUUCACUCUAGUUUGCUUCCCCAAGACACAAUGCUCGCAGAAAUCAAGCUUACAAGUCGUGGCACCUUUUAGAAGACCUUUUUUCACAAGCCCUUGUAGAGCUUUCUCACCGGCAUGGCCUAAUCUCAUAUGCCACAAUCUAGUAGUAUCUGAAUCAGAUGUGCCCAUAUUUUCAGAGACUACAGAUGCUUCACCUAUCACAGUGUUUCCCUGCAAUAAAUACAAAUGGCCACAUCUAGGAGCUUUCAUCACAACAAGUGCACCAUAAGUAACUUUCAAUGUCUGUCCAUCUGAAUGAAACCUGAAGCCCUUGGAUUCCAAAGUACCCAAAGAAAUAAGAUUUUUCUUCAAAUUCGGUACAUACCGAACACCUGUCAACUCUUUAACCAUGCCAUCAUGCAACUUCAAACGAACUGUACCAAUCCCUUUUGUUGUGCAAGGAUUGUCAUCUCCCAUGAACACAACGCCACCAUCAAACUCUUUCAAGCUUGAAAACCAAUCCUUGUGAGGAGUCAUAUGAUGAGUACAACCCGUAUCCAACACCCACUUAGUAGCACAAUCAAAUGAUGAGGAAGUGGUUAAAGCAAAAUCAGAAAAAUCAGUUUCAACCUCAGCAACAUUAGCUUCAGAACUUUCUUUGCCUUUGGUCUUCAAUUUUGGACAAUCUUUCUUCCAAUGGCCCUUAUUACGACAAAAGGCACAUUCAUCCCUUUCCAAAGGUUUUCUACCUUUAGAGUUUCCUCUAGGUCGAGACUGUGAUUUUUUCCUGCUAGAAGAUGACCUCCUCUCCGAUGAUCUACCUCUAACAAAUAAAGCUUCAGAGGUACUAUCAUGAUUUUUAUCUCUAUGCCUCAUUUCAUAAUUCAUCAAGGCAUUUGACACAUCUUCAAAUUUCACAGCUUCUUUACCAUGCAUAAUAAUGGUAACAAAAUGCUCAUAAGAGUCCGGCAAUGAAUUCAACAAUAUUAAGGCCUUAUCUUCAUCCUUAAUAUCCUCAUCUAAAUUUAACAAGUCGGCAAUCAACUUAUUAAAAGCAUCAAGGUGUCUAAUCAUUUUUGUACCUUCUUUGUAUUGGAAGCGGUAGAGCUUUUUCUUCAAGUGUAGCCGGUUCUCUGCACUCUUUGUCAUAUACUUGUCUUCCAAUUUUUGCCACAACACACUUGCCAAUGUCUCCCGCAUCACAAAAUACUUCUGAGUUUUUGCAAGGCACAACCGAAUUGAAGAGCAAGCCCACAAAUUUAAUUUUUCCCAUUCCGGCUUCGACAUAGCUUCCGGCUUCUCUCCCAAAGCGGCAAGUAGAUCUUGUUGAGCCAACACAUCUUUGACCUCACAUUGCCACAUCCCGAAGUUGUUUGUGCCAUCAAACUUUUCCACUUCGAACUUUGCAUUUUGCACCGUAGUUCUUGCAAACCCGGAGCUGCUUCCAAAAGGAUUUUCAUCUUGCCCGUCUGACAUCUUUUGGCAACUAGACAGUACCCAAGAGCAACCAGUGCUCUGAUACCAAUUGUUGUGCUAGGAUAACACCAAACCCGUUGGAACCAACUCAAGCUAACCCACAAGAAAUUUACCAAAUGAAAUGCAAGAACAAAAAAUAUUAAAGAACACCAAGAUUUUAACGAGGUUCCUCAACAAUCAGUGUAACUGGAGUACGUCCUCGGAGCAGUAGGAGCUCACCCAAUAAUCCACUAUCAACCAAAUGGGAGUUUACAAAGUGUUGGCAAUCUCACAACCCAUAAGCCCAAUACACCCAAUAGCUCUCACACACCAAAGAAACAAAUAGAGAAAGAAAUAUAAUAAAUAAUUUCUUCUCUACACAUAUAGCUCAAAGCUAUUACAACAACUAUUUUUUGUGGAUGAAAACUAACCAAAAUGAAGCAUCAACUUCUUCUUUCUGUUUGGGCUCUCUGCAACUCUCUUGCUCUCGGCAGCUAUUUCUCAUUUUCUUCCGCUCUCUGUUUUCUUCUUAUCACCACACAAGCAGCAAUUGCUGCUAACAAUUCAUUAAGUCACCCCGUGACUUCUCACAUGGACCAAAGAAAAAACACAAAAAACUUUAGACAAGACCCAUGUUUUCCUCCCCAAAACAAGGAAAUAUUUUGUCCACUUUUGGUUUGUUUAUUCUAAAGUAUAUGGCCACUUGGCCACAUAAUCCAACAUAUUCAACAUGCUUCUGUAAGUGUCAAGUGGUUUCCUUUUUGGUAGUGCUGUGCUGUGUACAUUAGUUGAAAAUCCAAUAAUUGUUAUGUGUGCAUGUAUUUGUUAGUAUGGGAGUAAGACAUGAAUGAGCUUGUGACAUGCAAACAAACACACAACAUCCACGUUCACAGAGUUGUGUACGCGUAUAGGAGAAUUAAUUCUGCAUGCAUUAAGAUUUAUAAAAGGGAUGCCUAAGAUACAUGUAGAAAGGUUUGGCAGUGAAUUUUUCCUCUGGUUUUUUCAGUCACUGAGUGAUUGGCAUAUGUGUGUUAGUGCACUACAGGGCAUGGACUAAAAGCACAGGACACAAGUUUGAGACACAUGGGAUGAACAACGUGUUAGACAUAUUCUGAAAUCACAACAACAAGACAUUAGGAUCACAAAUAAAUCAAAUCAAUAUAAAAUAGAAAUUAACUAAUUAUAUUAAACUUAUCUGUAGAAUACGGAAGACAUUGCAAAUUUCUAGGUUGUCUUCUACUUCCAGUACUUCAAUAAUAUCUCUCUGCUGUGAAUAGGGUUUAGCGUAUUUUGAGAGAUUAAGCGUAUGGAAGCAGGGACUUAACCAUAGUAUUUAUAUUAUUAGGGUUUAAUCAUAACCAGCCUAUUAUUGGUUGUGAAAGUCGAACCCUAUCACUUAAGUGUUUAAGUCCCACCAUGAUACUGUAUCUUUGUAGUGAAAUCCAUCAUAUUUCUUUUAGGUCAAUUGCAAAGGAUAAGACUCCAUAAUCCUUAUUUCAUUUGGACUAUCAGAUUACUUAAGUUGUUAACAACUCAAUAAACAAGUGGCCUACAACAUAAGUAAUCCAAUACAUCAUUCAUUGUCAUUCACAACCUUACAUUCUCCCACUUGAAUGUCAAUGAUUCAUCCUAACAAAAUAAGAACUCAUGGUGAUCACUGAGUCUUCAUAAGUAUGCAAUAACCUUUCCUAGCAACCUGUCACUUUGAAUCGAAUGCAGAACCAAAGAAAACAAAGAACAACUUGGUCUGUUCCUUGCACUCCAAGAUCACAUACACAUUCAACUUAAAGCACUUUGUUGCUAACAAAGUCAUGGUGUCAAGAGCUAAUACUCAAAACAUUAGCUCAUAAUAGUCGAACUGAAAAUAUGAAAAAUAUAUUUCAGUACAAAAGUAGUUCACAAAAGAACUCAACAGCGUUGGUCACAAAAUCCAACUUUUCUGUCAAUUUAGAAUAUAAUAAGAGAACAAGUAAAAUACAACAUACUGUUUACAAAAUCAGGACCUCUUAUUAAAACUUAUGAACAAAAUUUAAACCAAAUUUACUCUUAAAGUAUCAGCCACUAAGACUUCAAAUUUUCAAUACAAAAGGUAAUCUCUUACUCCCACUGAUUAACAGAGACAAAAUUAUAUAGAUAAAUUAGUAUUACUCCCACUGAUUAAGAGAGUAAAACAAAACUUUGUAAAUGGCUACAAAAUGAAACAGAUACCUUUCAUGUACUCCCAUUGGCAAAACAUUAGUCAUGGGAUUUAGAACAUAAAAUUUGUGAGCUCAACAUCUUUAUUCUAGAUAUCUGUAGGAAGUAACUCUUAUGACUGAAAAACUAUACAAAAUCAUUUGGUUAGUUUUGUUCAUCUAACAUUUGACAGAAAUAGAAAACUUUAACUAAAUGUUUUCUUAUCGCAUCAAAAGCAUAUAAUUCCAGAAUCAUCUUUGGACAGAAACUAAUUAUAUUACGUUUGCAUAGCUAAAACAUAAAAUACAAGGGUAAACUUAUAUAGCUUCAACACUUUUGAGCAGAUGAAGUAUAUACAAUCUUGUCAAUUCCAUGUUUCACUAUACAUUGAUUUAUAGUUGUACUGAAUAAGAAAACACUUUUGAGCAGAUUAAUUAUUCCUUAAUAACAUAUAAAUCACAAGUCCAAUUUCUUGAACAACAAACAAGAAUUAAUAAGCAAAACACUUUUGAGCAGAAUAUACUCAUUAACCCUUCUUGAAUUUCUAGCAAGAUUAGUUGCAUAUAUAAAAUAUAAACAAGUAUGAUAAUGUACGUUUUAUCUACCAAAACUAUGACCAUUAAAAGCAUGCAAAAUUGAUGAGUGUGAAGCCCAUAAUACAUUAUUUCUCCCACUUGGGCAAACACUCAAAAUUGCAAGAUUAAACACUAGAGAAAGUGAUUUUCAUAUAACAAAAUAUAGGCUAGUUGAAUCAAUAAAGAUCAAAUACAUAUAUAUAUAUAUAUAUAUAUAUAUAUAUAUUUUUUAAUAGGUUCGAAUUAAAAGUUCCAUAACUUAUGCAAUUACUACAAAUUUUAUUUUAUUUUAGUGUAAGAGAGAAGACUCACAUAUGUGUUAAUGAUUAGGUCAUAAAUUAAAAUGAAACCUAAUAAGAGAAUCCAAACUCAAAAUUUAUGUUUUAAUUCUAAAACAAAUUCGAUUAAAAUAAACACUUAGAUAUCUCAAUAACAUCAAUUUUUCAACAAUAAUUUUAAUCCAAUUUAGAACUCAGAGAAAAUUAAGACAAAAGAUUGGUAAACUUACCUACUUAUUCUCGAUGCUUCAAGAUUCAUCAUGGAAGUAGUCGAGUUGUGGAGGAUCAAACCAAACGCAAAUUGCAUGAUCGUUACACCUUUGGGCAGAAACUAAUCAUGCAAAUAAAAUACUUGCAUAGCUAGCCAAAACAUAAAAUACACAAAAUACAUAUAGCUUCAACAGCUUUGGCCAGAUGAACAUAUGUUAAAAGUAUUUUAUGAUUUGCUGUAACAGUAAUUUAUAAUUGGUGAGUGAUUUCCUGAAAUUCCCAUUGGGACAAAAGUAUUCACCAUAUAAAUUAGAAUUCUGAUUUUUCAAAAUAAUCUUUUAGAACAAUAUUAAAUAACCAUUUUCUGGAUAUUCAAUGAUUCUCAAAAGAUUCAAUCAGACACAAAAAGUAUGUCAUUGUUUGACAUUGAACAAUAGAGUUCUCGAAAGAGGAAACAUGGUUAUUCAGUUAUUCGAUAGAGACCCAAAUGAUCAAUUAGUAAACUGAUGCCACUUUCCAAUUUUGUCUCAAAAGACAAUUAUCAUCAUAAUUAGAAUUGAUGACCAAACAAAACAUUGGUUUAAACAAAACAAACCAAUACAUCUUUUAAAUCAAAAUUUAAUCAGUGUUGUCUAUAAAAUUCAUUAGUAUUGAGAAUUUGCAUAAAACAAGGACAUAUUGGAACCAUAACCUUGUAUAAUAAUCAGUAGCAAUAGAUGUGCACAAAUCAGUGAAACAAUAUCACAUAAGAAAACUAGUUUUGAAGUACCAAAAUUCAGCAGUACUACUUUAGUUUGCAAAUUUACUAAAAAAUUCAAUUCUCUUUAGAUUGUCUUGAAAAUUUUCUAGUAUGAACUAGACAUAUAUGACUACUAUUUCACAAAAUUUCAUGAUUUUUAAAAUUUUUAAGCGAGCCAAAAAUGAAUUCGAAAAGAGAGGUGCUGCAGAAACUGCAGAAAAUGUUCAGUACAGACCUGAGAUUACAAAUUCACAAAAUAUUCAUUGUUCAUCCGAUAUGCAUGAAAAUUUUCAGACAUAAAGAAAACAUACAAAACUGUUAAUUCCCAAAAUUUCAUAAUUUUUGAGAUUUUACAAGUGUACUAAAAACAAAAUCGAAGUAAGUUGUGCUGCUGAAACAACAGAAAUUCUGCAAAACAUACCCGAGAUUAAAUAAUUCACCAAAACUUCAAUCUUCCUCCAAUGUGCAUGAAAAUUUCUAGAAAUGAGUAGACAUAUAUAUUUACUAUCACUCAAAAUUCCAUAGUUUGUUCGAUUUUACAAGUGAGCUAAACAUAAAAUCUAAAUGGAAUGUGCUGCAGAAACUCCAUAAAUUCUGCAGUACAGCCUCGAGAUUAAAAAUUCACCAAUAAUUCAUUUUCAAACAAAUGCUCGUGAAAAUUUUCUUCUUUAAAAAAGACAUCUCAAUGCAUAUCAUACUAAAAUUCCAUGAAUUUAGGAGUUGCGUAGGUAUAUCAAAAUAAUAUCACAAACAUAUUAUGCUGCAAAAUUCCAGUAACAUAGUAUCACACUUAAAAACAAUUUACCAUAAAUGCAUUUCUUGUACAAAAAAAAAAAAAAAAAAAAAAAGGAACGAAAAUUUUUCUGUAUAUACAAUCCAUUUAAUAUUACGACAUAACCGAAUUUCAAAAUAUUUGGAGUUAUGGAAGUCUAUCAAGCCCAGGUUAUCGACAUGAAUGGGUUUCCUUUUAAUGAGACUUUAAUGGAGUCAUACCCCUAUAAUAUUAUAGUUUGGAAGGACUAUAAUUUAGCAUGAUUAAUUUUGACAAAAUUUUAGCAAGAAAUAAUUCACACCACAAUGAAUCAAUUUAUUAAAAAAUUGAAAACCCCAAUACGAACCGACUGAAAGCAAUUCAUAAUAAUGUAAUUAACCACACAUCAAAAUUAUGACAGCAAGCAAUCCUUCAUAAUACAAUAAUUUGUUUAUGUAUACAUAAGUUGCAAAUAGUUUCACCAGUAUCGGUUCAUCGAAAACAAACAGAUUGGGAAUGCCUUUUAUAACAUGUUAAUUAACAAUUGUAACUCAAAAUUUGCAAGCAUGAAAGCCGAUAAAAUCUUCUAUGAUGGCUCACCUAGGAAACCAGUAUCCAUAAGGUUAAUUUGAUCCAUCAACUCAAAAUAAUAUGAAUACAAGCAAACUUACCAAAUUUAAAAAUUUAAAGGCUAGUUUAUAUGGCAAUAAGCGGAAACAAGAAAAAACACCAGAAUCAUAUCAAUUAGUCGAACCAAUAUAUAUGUAUGUAUGUAUAUAUAUAUAUAUAUAUAUAUAUAUAUAUAUAUAUAUAUAUAUAUAUAUAUAUAUAUAUAUAUAUAAUUUUAGGGUUUAUAGGAGACAAAGAAACCUGAGAAAAAUAGAGCCAAAAACCGCCGGAAAAAUAUUUGAGUCUCAAGCUUAUGUUAAUUAGUUGAACCUCUAACCAAGAACCAUUAAGCAAACACUCACAUGGUUCAUCCAAAAUAAAAUCAAUCAUCGAUUUAUCUGUCAAGUCGUUUAGUGAUAGAUAAAUGAUAUUGAUUCCUAAAGUUUUACUUCAUUUGUUGAAGUCUGAUACUCCUUCUAUUUGAUGCCAUUCUGAUGGAAGCAAUUAGCCAAUAUGCAAAGUACCAGUUUUGAUGCGUGCGAAAUAUGCAGCAAGUUUACAACAAACUCAUUCAAGAUUGCGGAAGCAUUUAACCAAGAUCAUCCAAGUGUUUUCAUUACUCUGAAUGGAUGUAAUUCUCUGCAUAAAUGUAACAAACACAACUCGAAGAAUACCAUGAAAAAUUAAUCAUGCAAUUGAGUGUAAAAGAAAUUGCAGAAGAAUUGGUUAGAGUAUAGCGGAAGCAUUAAUUUAACCAGAAUCAAAUAUAUACCUCAGUUCCUUUAGUAAAAAUAAAGAACCCUAGCCACGUUGGGUGGCUCUGAUGGAGUCGCCAUGGAACAAACAAUUGAAUCAGUCUUCUAUAAACAAAUUUGCUUAUACCUUUAUAUCGGACCCUAAGCUUGUUGUGCGGCUCUGAUACCACAUGUUAGACAUAUUCUGAAAUCACAACAACAAGACAUUAGGAUCACAAAUAAAUCAAAUCAAUAUAAAAUAGAAAUUAACUAAUUAUAUUAAACUUAUCUGUAGAAUACGGAAGACAUUGCAAAUUUCUAGGUUGUCUUCUACUUCCAGUACUUCAAUAAUAUCUCUCUGCUGUGAAUAGGGUUUAGCGUAUUUUGAGAGAUUAAGCGUAUGGAAGCAGGGACUUAACCAUAGUAUUUAUAUUAUUAGGGUUUAAUCAUAACCAGUCUAUUAUUGGUUGUGAAAGUCGAACCCUAUCACUUAAGUGUUUAAGUCCCACCAUGAUACUGUAUCUUUGUAGUGAAAUCCAUCAGAUUUCUUUUAGGUCAAUUGCAAAGGAUAAGACUCCAUAAUCCUUAUUUCAUUUGGACUAUCAGAUUACUUAAGUUGUUAACAACUCAAUAAACAAGUGGCCUACAACAUAAGUAAUCCAAUACAUCAUUCAUUGUCAUUCACAACCUUACACAACGACCACUUGAAAUGAUUUUAGGAAAAGGUAUUAGCCUUGCCGAGGAGUCUGUUUCUUUUGAUAUAUACAAAAUAUAUACAAACGAGUUCUGGCAUGUUCCUUGUUCAGUCUGCAAUUAGUUUAGUGAUUUCUUUAUUGCUUUUAUUCUCAGUAAUUACUUAUCAUUUCAGAUGACUUGGGUCCAUAAGCAUUUAAGCAUUAUGUAGUGGUAUUAAAUGCAAUGGACUUGUUAUUAGUAGUGUAUUUUUGUUACUGCAACAGAGAAAAAAGAAAUGACUGGCUUGGCUCUUGGGGUGUCCAGCAUGAAGUCUGGAGAGCGGGCCCUAUUACAUGUAGGCUGGGAGUUAGGGUAUGGGAAAGAAGAGAGCUUUUCUUUUCCAAAUGUUCCACCAUUGGCAGAUAUAUCAUAUGAAGUUGAGCUUAUUGGAUUUGUUGAAACCAAAGAAGUAAGUUGCUCACUUGCGUUCAAAUGUCUUCCCAAGUAGUUACCAAUGGAAGUUUCAGAAUCUCUUUUCCAGGGAUUUGCUUCAGUAAUAUAGUAACAUGUAUAUUUGUGGGUUCUGCCUUUCAUAGGGGAAAGCUCGUAGUGACAUGACUGUGGAGGAAAGGAUUGGAGCAGCAGCAGAUAGAAGAAAGAUGGAUGGAAAUGCUUUAUUUAAAGAGGAAAAACUAGAGGAGGCAAUGCAACAGUAUGAAAUGGUUACGCACUUGUAAUUCUUACAUAUGUUAUUACUUAUGGCUGAUGAGCUUUUGAGUUGUACAGUCUGUUUUUUAUAUUUCCUAUCUGACAAGAUUCUGGUGGGUUUUCUCAGGCUAUAGCAUAUAUGGGUGACGACUUCAUGUUUUUUAUAAAGCUCAUGCAUUAUGAAGAAGCCAUUGGACAAUGCAGUAUUGUAAGUAUAAUGCUAUCACAAGAAAGUCAUCUAAUUUCAUGUGUUCAGCAAUUGUGCUAUUCAUCAUUAGAUACUAGAAAGUUGGGUUUGUAGGCUUAUUUGGGAGCAUAACUGCAUCCCAAAAAGUUUGAAUGUUCGUUCACUUUAACCUGCCAUUUUGGAUUGCCGUAGAAAAUGAAAAUGCUCUUAUUAUGGACCAGUGAAAUAUUUGUAGGCUCACUGGCACCAUUCUUCAGUCAAUAAUCGAAUUUUAGGUCCCAUGCGACUCUUGUGAUCUCUGUAGUAUGUUACUGUCCAUGCUUAUCCUGUUGUUCAAACUAUAUGGCUGUUAUAACUUUAAAAUUUUCAAUGCAACUAACGUCUAAUAAUUGAUUUUUCUGCAUCGUACGGAGUCGGGUGAUAUUUACCAUUUUCAUGAAUACCCAUAAAUUGUCAAUGCAACUAACCUCUAUUAAUUGAUUUUUCUGCGUCGCUUGGAGUUGGCAGAUAUUUACCUUUCAUGAAUACCCUUAAAUUGUCAAUGCAACUGUGAACUGUAAUUGGACAAGUGAAUGCUCGCAGAUACUGGCAGAGGAUGAAAACAACGUCAAAGCGCUAUUUAGGCGAGGAAAAGCCAGAGCAGAGCUUGGGCAGACAGAUGCGGCGCGGGAAGACUUUCUAAAGGCGCACAAAUUUGCACCUCAAGACAAAGCUAUUGCAAGAGAGUUACGUCUGCUUAUUGAACACGACAAGGCUGUUUAUCAGAAACAAAAAGAAAUCUACAAGGGAAUUUUCGGACCAACCCCAGAACCUAAACCCAAACGGGAUAAUUGGUUGAUCAUCUUUUGGCACUGGCUGUUGUCGUUGAUCUAUCGUCUCUUCAGGCGCGACAGGCAUAAAGCUGAGUAGUCAAAGAACUUAAGCUCUUGAAUUGUAUGAUAAAUGAAGAAAUUUGUGUAUUGAACUUGCUAAUAAACAAGACUAUGAAAUGUGACCCUGAAGGUUCACUCAUUUAGCCGGGGACGAAGAUACGGUGAUCAGAUUAAAGUCUAGGGGUAAUCUAUAAUGGGUAGAAUCUGGGGCUGUAAUGGAAUUUCAUACAAACUAAGUGUUGAUGUUUUUUUUUCAAACUUUACCUACAUGUUAUCAUAGCAUCUCUCAUUUAAAAAAAAUAAAAGAACUCACAUUUUCCCUUUUCCAUUUAUAUUUACAAAUGGCAGACAUUCUUACAAAGGCUCUACCGAUUGACAAGUUCUUGUAUUUCAAAGCAAUGCUCGGAGUAAAAUCAGCUGCAAGCUUAGGAGGGAGUGUUGAUGUCUAAUAAGCUUUGUAGCCAUGUUCAUGAAGAAAAAGGAUGCUUGAUCCAUUUAGGAAGCUUUAUAUUUCAGUUGUAAUGCUUUGUAAAUGAACGACCAAGAUUAGAAAGGGUCAUGAUGAGUAGCAUCUACCGAUCACUCACUUAAUUGACCCAUGUGCAUUGCACAUGUUUAAUUUUGUUUGUCUGGUAGUGGUGGAGGUCCAACGGCUAUAUGCUUAUAGCCUCUCACACCCAUUUGAUGCUUGAAUUCCUUCACCGAGAAUUAAGGAAGUGGAGUAACUACUCCGUCGUCUUCAACGUCUCUCACUCUCCAUUGAUCGCUGCAAUUUCUCAUUUCAAUUCCUUGUUGAAGUUUAUUGCAGCAUAAACCACCCUAAAACACCUAAAAAUACAGAAUCUAACAUUCACAACAUCCACAUGUAAGAGAAGCAGCUUGUUGAUUAGUUUUGGUCAUGAGGCAUUGCUUAGUUAUAGUGAGAUAUCAAUUAGUUCAGGAAUAAGUUGGUGUUGCAAAAAUAAUUUCAUUGUAUCCAGCCAUCAUUUCAAAUACAAACUUAAAAAAAAGAAGGCUUUUUAGCCAAAAUGGUUUCUGAGAUUUGCAUAACCCUUCACUUUGAUCCCUGACAUUUGAAAUCAAUAGAAGUGGUCUCUGAGUUUGUCCACUAUCAAUCAUUUUGGUUAUUCCUUUAAAAAUCUCUAUUAAAUAAAGAUAAAAUGACAAAAAGACCCUCAAUUUUUGUGAAAUCAUUUUGGCCCAUUGUUUAUUAAAUUGAGGGUAUUUUUGUCAUUUGGUCCUUAAUUUUUCAAGGAAUGACUAAAAUGAUUGAUGGUGGACAAACUUAGGGACCACUUCUAUUGAUUUCAAAUCUCAAGAACCAAAAUGAUGAGUUAUGCAAAUAUCAGGGACCAUUUUGGCUAAAAAGCCAAAAAAAGUUAUUUGCUCUAAUGUUGCCUCCCUCUAAUGACAUUACAGGUCCAUCGUCUUACCUUUCAAUUCUUCAUGAUUUAAUAGAAGUCAAGAACGAAAUCAAAAUAAAUAAAAAUUAGUAGGAAUUAAUUUAUCAUUUUAGGGCGUGUUUGUUUGCACUCACUAAGUAUCACUGGAUUGGACUGGCUUACUAAGAAUAUUAAUCCCGUGUUUGGUGCGAGCCAGGAUUGUGUUUAAUGGGACUACGUCGGACUCGUGCCGACUACACUCUUCACUAACCGGUCUUAGCGAGACCGCCCAAAAAGGAUGGGAUUGCUAAGACCAUCGCUUCGCUUCGUCUGCUUAGUCUUCGUCUUCCUCAACUCACUUUGUCUUUGUCUUCCUCAACUUGCUUCUUCUUUUAGAUCCCGCACCAACCGUCGCGCCCUACUCGAGUUUGCCAAGAGCUUCGCCCGGAAGAUGCGCCAGCAAGUUUGUCUCUUUCUUCUGCAAUAUUGAUUGAAGUUGAUUUCGUGAGGUCAAUUGAAAUGAAUUUGCAGAUCCGACGAUCCGACAAAGCCUCUGCAAAUUUAAAAAAAAAUGGGGAUUUUUCUGGGUUUGAUUUGAAGAGAAAGUUAGUAAAUUAAAAGAAGAAAAAUAUAGGUUUGAAUUCAAGAGAGCAAAUGCAAAGAAGAAAAAAUGUGGGUUUUUUUUUUCUGGUUUGAGUUUUACUAGGAGCGAAUCUGGGCGUGAAGAACCAAAGCAAAUGAAUGAAGAAAAGAGAGAGACAGGGAGGAAGACGCAGGGAGACGCAGGGGGGAGGGGGGUGGAGAGAAAGAGAGUCAAAUAAAAAUAGUUGUAUUUUGUUUUGUUUUUUUUUUAAGAUAAAAAAUGUGUAUUAAUAAUAGUAAAAUGAAUUAAUGAAUGACAAAAGAAGUAUUUGAACUCUAAACACUCCACUAUUCUUAUCCAGCUUAGUCUAAGCCAAGUUAGGCUAACUUAGUCUCGAAAGUUAGUCUAAUCCGAGAUAGUCCGGUACAACAAACGUAUCCUGAAUCAUGUAUGUUUCUUUCAUUGGCAAGAAAAUUUGGUUUUUAUUUUUUUAUUGAGUCUCACUCUAAUCCAAUAUUAUUAAUUUUAAUAAUAUCUUUAAUAUAAAAAGUAAUUAAAAUAGAACAAUAAUGUAGUCCUAAUCUAAGCAAACAUCAAACUGGUAAAAGUAUUGUUUUAAUUAUCCUGCUUCUUAGUUCGACACUGCACCAAACGCUUCACUAAGCUAGUCCAACUUAGUCUAGUCUAAGUCAGUCCAGCUUAGUCUCUGCAACUAGUCUAGUUCGGAAUAGUCCGAUAUAACAAACGCACCCUUAGGGUUUACGGGGAGGAUGGCAUAAAGUCCUUUAUGCGAUUACCAUGUUGGAAAAGCUUGGUCUAUUGAGGUUAAGUUCCAUGGAGUGGGCUAUUACCAAUGUUGUAAAAACUUGGUAACACCCUUUUCGGCCACUUGUUAUGCUUCCAUGAGCAAGUUGGGGCGCAAGAUGGAACGAAAAGUUUAAGCGGCCCAACUUGGUCAUCACUCGAACUGUGAAACCAAAAAAAAAAAAAAAAAAAACUUGCAUAAAUUGAUUCAUCCUUAUUGGUAAGAUCCAAAAUUUUUAAAUCACCAUUCAUCCAUCAAAAAGAACUUGAUAAGCGUCUUAGGAUUUUAGCCAAAUAGAUCGUUAGAGAAAAAUUAUGUGAUGGUAAGAUUUAAUUGUUAGCUGUGGGUUUAUUGAUAAAUUUUAGAUGGGUAAAGUACAAAAAACUAUCUCAACUAUUGAUGUCACGACACUUUCAUACCUCAUCUUUUAAAAUUGACAAUGUCAUACCUCAUCUUAGGAAUUUGUGACAAUGUCAGACCCCCGUUAGUUUUUCUGUUAAUUUCUUUGUUAAAUGCUAACGUGGCCCGACACGUGUCCCACUCACUAAUCCAACUGGAUUAAAAAAUAAUAAAAUAUAUUUUUAAUAAUUAAAUAUUCAAAAAUUAAAAAAAUUAAAAAUUAAAAAACUAAAAAAAAAUUUAAAAAAUGGCCUAAGAUCCGGCCUUCCCUUCCACCCGCAGCACCAACCCUUUUUUUUUUUCUCUCUCUCUCUCUCUCUCCUCUUUCUUCCUCCUUCUUUCUGUAGCCAUUUUUUUUUCUUUUUCUUUUUCUUUUUCUUCCUCUUCUUUUUCUUCCUUCUCCUUCUUCUUUCUGGGUUGUUUGUUUGUUUUUUUUUUCUUCUUCUUCCUCCUUCGUUCUGGGUUGCAGUGUUUUUUUUCUUCUUCUUCCUCCUCCUCCUUCUUUCUGGGUUGCAACGUUUUUUUUUUCUUCUUAUUCCUCUUCUCUUCUUCUUCCUCCUCCUUCUUCUUUCUGGGUUGCAGCGUUUUUUUUUCCCUUCUUCCUCUUCUUCUUUUUCCUCCUCCUUCUUCUUUAUGGGUUACAACAUUUUUUUUUCCUUCUUCCUCUUCUUCUUCUUCAUUAUGGGUUGCAGGGGGUGGACCUGGUCGAGCGAGGCGCUAAGGCAGAGCUCCAUAGCGAGAGCUUGGAGAAGUGGGUCUGUGGCUGGUGGCGGUGGCGGUGGCGGGUAGGGGUGGUGGGUUUGGGUGUAGCAACAUGUAUUGUAAGAGCUUUUGCAGCAAAUGGCAGUGGUGGGAGGGGGAGAUGUUGGGGCGGGUGGGAUUUGGGUUUGGGGUGGUUCUGGUUUUGGGUUGGGGUUAGGGGAAGACGGGAAAGGGAAGAAAUGGUGAGGGGAUAAAGGUGCAUAGAGAGGGAGAUGAGAGAGAGAAGAGAGAGAGGAGAGAGAGGGGUCCCAACAUCCCUUUAGGCCAUUUUUUUUUAGUUUUUUAAUUUUUAAUUUUUGAAUAUUUAAUUAUUAAAAAUAUAUUUUAUUAUUUUUUAAUCCAGUUGGAUUAGUGGGUGGGACACGUGUCGGGCCACGUCAGCAUUUAACAGAGAAAUUAACAGAAAAACUGACGGAGGUCUGACAUUGUCACAAAUUCGUAAGAUGAGGUAUGACAUUGUCAAUUUUAAAAGAUGAGGUAUGAAAGUGUCAUGACACCAAUAAUUGAGGUAGUUUUUUGUACUUGAUAGUACUUUACACAUUUUUUUUUUUAGUCAAAGGUAAUUUACACAAUAGGGUAAAAAGACAAUUCACAUUUAAUAUUUAAAUUAGGUGUAAAGUGAGGUUAUAUGAGUUUAAAUAAAUUUUCCCAUAAAUAAUUUGGUAUUGGAGACCGAUGAAAUUGCAAAUGGAUUUAAAAAAGUUAACUUUUUUCAUACAUGUUCGUUUUGUUGUUUAUUAUUAUGGGAACUGUUAUUAGCACUCCAAAAAUUUUCUUUUACACUUUUCACGAGUGUGUUUUUCUUUAUAAUUAUAAAAAAAAUUAAAGUACAAAAUGAAAAUUUUCAAGUGCUAAUAAUAAUUCCCAUCGCAAUCUUAGUUGAUAUUGAUGUAACUUUAAUGCUUUUUGCGGAUAGCUAACUAUAGUUAAGUUGUUUGUGCGAGACAUUCUUUUUCCUUCGACCGGGUUGAAUUCCCCGGCAAGAUUUGUUAUCGAAUCUCUUUUAUGCACACUAUCCUCUUACUUUGUACGUAUUCUCCUCUUUAAUGAAUAUCCUACUUAUUUCAAAAAUUCCCAUUAUUAUUCCAGCUUCUCCUCUUUAUUUUAUGCAUGGAAUGAUGAUGUAUGAGUGGUUGGAUGAAACUAUUAAUUCAUAAUAAAUUGUCGGUGGCGUUGGUUCUGGUCAAAUUAUUUUAAUGUUUCACCCACCAAGCCGGCAUUAAUAAUAUAGUGACAAUUCUUUUGUUUUUAUCCACAGAAUGCUGCAUGAGUGGUUGGAUGAGAGGGGCAUAUAAAGACUAGCAGAAGGAGCCAUCUUUCACUACGCAAAACCAUAUUCUCGGUUACAAGCUUCUACUUUAAUUCACUUCAUUUGUGUUUUACCUUGUCCUGAAUACAAGAAAUGGCGGAAGGAGUUCUUUUCAACAUUGCAGAAGGGAUCAUCGGAAGGCUAGGCUCCCUUGCUUUCCAAGAGAUUGGAUUGAUUUGGGGUGUCCAAGAUGAGUUCCAAAAGCUCAAGGAGACAGUUGCCGGAUUCCAAGCUGUUCUUCUUGACGCUGAGCAAAAGCAAGCCAACAAUGAAGUCAAACUGUGGCUGGAAUGCGUAGAAGAUGCAGUUUAUGAAGCCGAUGACGUGUUGGAUGAGUUUAAUACUGAAGUUCAGCGGAGACGUAAUACUAAGGUGUUAAAAAAGGUACGCAUGUUCUUCUCUUGCUCAAAUCAACUUGCUUUUGGGCUAAAGAUGUGUCAUAAGAUAAAAGAUAUUAACAAGUGGCUUAGUGCAGUUGCAUCUAGUAGAACCUUUUUAUAGUCACAUGAGCCUAUUGAUAUCCACCUAUUAGGAAUACAAUAGGUCUCUCAAUAACUCAUAAUUAACUGCAAUAAAUCCUAUACAUUAUUGUUUAGAAUGUUUCAUAUAACUUACCAUUACAAAACUAUAUUAACUUAAUAAUACAGUUCUAUUGAAAUAAUGAUUGUGUUUACUCAAAUUCUUGCAUGUGCGCAUCUUCUUUUCUAGCUCAAAUCAACUUGUUUUUGGGCUAAAGAUGGAUCAUAAGAUAAAAGAUAUGAAUAAUUAGGAUCCGAUCCCUAAUCACCAAUGUUUAUUAAUUGAAACAUUAUUGGUUUUAAAUUUUUUAUUGAAGUCCUUUGACUUAUGCCCACAUCAAAUUCUUAAAAUUAAUCAAAUUUUAUGUCAAAUUUUCCUUUUUAUUAAAAAAAACUCAUUAUUCAUUUCCUUUUAUGUCAUUUCAGUUUAGGAUAAUUGAUUAUGCACAUAAUUUAAGGGAUUUUAUUGCAACUAGAUAUCCCUAACAUCCUUUUAAUUUGAAAUUUAAAAAUGAAUUUUUAUACGUUCCAAUAGUUUCAUCUCGUUUUUCUUUUGACUGAAUUUAAUCCAUCUUUUAUCAUAAUCAUGGGUACGUACAUUAUAUUUCCUAGAACGCAUAUGGAUACACUUUCUUUUUUUGGGAAUAAUUAGGAUCCGAGUCCAAGUCACCAAUGUUUAAUUGUUUAUUGAUUGAAACAUUAUUGGUUUUAAAUUUUUUAUUGAAGUCCUUUGACUUGUGUCCACAUCAAAUUCUUAAAGUUAAUCAAACUCCAUGAUUUUCCUUUUCUUUAUUUAAAAAAACUCAUGUAUUCAUUUCCUUUUAUGUCAUUUCUGUUGAGGAUAAUUGAUUAUUUACAUAAUUUAAGGGAUUUUAUUGCAGCUAGAUAUCCCUAACAUCCUUUUAAUUUGAUAUUUAAAUGUGAAUUUUUAUACGUUCCAAUAGUUUCAUCUCAUUUUUCUUUUGACUGGAUUUAAUCCAUCUUUUAUCAUAAUCAUGGGUACAUUUUAUUUGCUAGAACGCAUAUGGAAACCCUUUUUUUCAAUCGAAUUGGGUACAUUCUUUUGAAAUUUAUAAUUACGUAUAAUUGUACUCAUCUAAUUAUAUGGGUACAUUCUUUUUAUAAAAAAAUAUUAGGGGUAUACACAUAUCAAAACAAUUUUCUUUUGGGAGGAUGUUGGAAUUGUACCAUAAUUUAUGUUUGCAACUGUAUGGGUACAUUCUUUUAACAAGUAACUACUAUUAUAUCAUCCGUAUCACUGUGAUAGGUACAAUUGCAAUUGUCUCCCAUAUAUAUGAGUUGAUUUUUUAGUCUCAUGUUUUCUAUGAGUUUAGAAUUUACCCACUUGAUUAUUAGUAGAUUAAUGUUGUGGUGGUUUCAAAUUUUACUAUUUUUAUACUUUUUUAUGUGUUUAGAAUGCACCCGCUUGAUUCAUGGUUUUAAUGUGUUUAGAGUGUACCCGCUUGAUUAUCAGUAGAUUAUUGUUUUGUUGGUUUCAUAUAGAAUAAUUAUUAUAAAAUUUGAGGUUCAUAAAUUAAGGAAUUUCAAAAAUAGAUAGUUGACAUGGAAAUACUUUAAUAGCAAUAUGAUGAGAUGUACAAAGUCAAAGGACAUUGAUAAAAAAUAAAAAUAAAACUAAUAAGGUUUCAGUCAAACAAUAUUGGUGAUUAGGGAUCGCAUCCAAAGUCUAUUGACUAAAAAGAUAUUGACGAGAGGCUUCAUGCUGUUGAAUCUCGUAGAACCUUUUUGUAGUCACAUAAGCUUAUUGAUAUCCACCUAUUAGGAAUACAAUAGAUCUCUAAAUAACUCAUAACUAACUGCAAUAAAUCUUCUACAUUAUUGUUUUGAAUGUUUCAUAUAACCUACCGUUACAAAACUCUAAUAACUUAAUUAAUACAAUUCUAUCUAAAUAAUGAUUAUGUCCACUCAAAUUCUUACAGGUGCGUCUUUUCUUUUCUAGCUCAAAUCAACUUGUUUUUGGGCUAAAGAUGGGUCAUAAGAUAAAAGAUAUUAACAAGAGGCUUACUGAGGUUGCAUCUCGUAGAACCUCUCUACCCUUAGAAGUAAAUCGUGAAGAUACACCAUUUAUAAUGAGAGAGAGGGUCACUCACUCAUUUAUCCCUAAGGAAAAUAUUAUUAUAGGGAGAGAUGAAGAUAAAAAGGCAAUAAUCCAACUUUUGUUGGAUCCCAUCUCAACUGAGAAUGUGUCAACCAUUUCCAUAGUUGGAUUUGGAGGAUUGGGGAAAACUGCACUUGCCCAACUGAUAUUCAACGAUGAGGAGAUUCAAAAUCAUUUUGAGUUGAAAAUAUGGACAUGUGUCUCUAACGUAUUUGAGUUGGAUAAAGUUGUAAAGAAAAUCCUUCAAUCCGAACAUAAUGGGAUAGAGCAGUUGCAAAAUGAUCUUAGAAAAAAAGUAGAUGGGAAGAAGUACCUACUUGUGUUGGAUGAUGUGUGGAAUGAGGAUCAGGAGAAAUGGCUUAGCUUGAAGUACUUGUUAAUGUGUGGUGGAAAAGGUAGUAGAAUACUAAUUACCACUCGCAGUGAAACCGUUGCGACAAUAUCAGACACAGCUAAACCAUACACCUUAAGGGGUUUGAAUAAAGAGCAAAGUUGGUAUUUAUUUAAGAAAAUGGCUUUUAAAGAUGGAAAAGAGCCAACAAAUUCAACAAUUAAGACAGUUGGGACGGAGGUUGCAAGAAAAUGUCAGGGAGUUCCACUUGCUAUUCGGACGAUAGGUGGGAUGUUGCACACCAAACUUCACGAAAUAGAAUGGUUGAAUUUCAAAGAAAAGAAACUUUCAAAAAUAAGCCAGAAAGAAAAUGAUAUUUUACCAACACUUAAACUAAGUUAUGAUGUGCUCCCAUCACAUUUGAAACAUUGUUUUGCUUAUUGUAGCUUGUUCCCACCUGAUUAUAAGAUCUCUGUACAGAGAUUGAUUAGACUUUGGGUGGCGCAAGGGUUCAUUAAGUCAUCUGAUGAAAACGAGUGUUUGGAGGAUGUUGCGUUUGGAUAUUACAGGGAAUUGUUGUGUAGAUCGUUUUUUCAAGAAGAAGAAGAAGACGAGUCUGGUAGAAUAGAAAGUUGUAAAAUGCACGAUCUCAUGAAUGAACUUGCAAUCUUAGUGUCGGGGGUUGGAAGCGCCGUAGUUGAUCUUAACCAAAAGAAUUUUCAUGAAAAGCUUCAUCAUGUGUCUUUCAAUUUUAAGGUUGAUCCGUUGGAAUGGGAAGUUCCAACUUCUUUGCUAAAUGCAAAAAGGAUACGAACUUUUCUUCUUCCUUGCCAAGAGUAUUCGAUUGAUAAAGAUGGGUCAUUAUGUAAUUCAUUUUGUGCUACAAUUGUUUCAAAUUUCAAGUCAUUGCGUAUGUUGAGUCUCAACAGAUUAGGAAUUAUAACAUUACCUAAUUGUCUUAAAAAAGUGAAACAUUUGAGGUAUCUUGAUCUUUGUGAUAAUCCCAUGGAGAGACUUCCGGAUUGGAUAGUUGGACUUUCGAAUUUGGAAACACUAGAUCUCACAGGCUGUAGUAAACUUGUGGAAUUGCCUAGAAACAUUAAAAAAAUGAUCAACUUAAGGCAUCUCAUCUUGGAAGGCUGUUGGAAGUUGACUCGAAUGCCACGUGGAUUGGGUGAGCUGACUGGUCUUCGUACAUUGAAUAAUUUUGUUUUGAGCGAAAACAAUUCCAUGUUGAGAGACAGUGCUAGUCUUGGUGAACUGGGGAGGCUUAAGGAAUUAAGGGGACAAUUAUUUAUUUCCAAUUUGAGGCACGAGAAAGAUGUGAUGUCGGAGUCAAAUGGUGGUGCAUUACUGAAGGAGAAACAGCAUCUCCAUUCGUUGGGUUUAUUCUGGAAAAAGGGAGACGAUGUGAACGCGGUUGAUGAGGAGGAUAUUAUAAUGUCAAUGGAAGCAUUGCAACCCCAUUCUAAUCUAAAACAGUUGUUCGUGUCUGAUUAUGGUGGUGUGAGGUUUGCGAGUUGGUUUUCUUCUCUCAUUAAUAUUGUUCAUCUCACAUUGGUUUCCUGUGAGAGAUGCCAACAUCUUCCACCCUUGGAUAAUUUGCCUUCCCUUAAGAUUCUUGUACUUUCAAGGUUGAAGAAGUUGGAGUACAUAUCAGCGAAUGAGAGCAGUAAUAGUAAGAGUGAUGAGAUGAUGAGGAUGUCAUUCUUUCCCUCCCUGGAGUACCUCUGCUUAGAAAGCUGCCCUGUUCUGAAGGGAUGGUGGAGGGCGCACACUCAUGACAGUGCUUCUUCUUUUCCCUGUCUUUCUGAAUUGACUAUCAUGUCUUGUCCUAAUCUAACUUCCAUGCCCCUGUAUCCGAAUGUGGUUGCAAUACUUCUCGAUCAAACCAGCUCGAAGGUUGUUCCCUCCCUUGUUAGAGGAGCAUCUGAUAUUACACAUGAUGUUGGUAUUGAUGUUUCUGUCUCUUCUUCUUCCCCUCAUCUCUCCAAAUUAACACAUCUGACACUUUAUCGAAUUGAGGAUUUGGAAUGUAUAUCGUCGGAAGGGAUGGGGAACCUCAUAUCACUCCAAUCGUUUUCCAUUCAACAUUGCCCAAAUUUGGCAUCACUGCCAGAAGGGAUCGCCAGCCUCACAGCACUCCAAUCGCUUACGAUUGAAGAUUGCCCAAACUUGGCAGCAUUACCAGAAGGGAUCGUCGGCCUCACAGCACUCCAAUCGCUUACGAUUGAAGAUUGCCCAAACUUGGCAGCACUACCAGAAGGGAUCGCCGGCCUCACAUCACUCCAAAGGCUUACGAUUAAAGAUUGCCCAAAUUUGGCAUCACUGCCUGAAGGGAUUCGUUGACUUCGCUGUUUAAAUACAUUGCAAAUUUGGGACUGCCCCAUGUUAAGUUAAACAUGCAAGAAAGAAACAGGUAAGGACUGGCCUAAGAUUGCUCACAUUCCAGACAUUCAAUUGGUUCAGGUGUGUUUUCUAACUUGUUUGAAUUUACACUUGCCUAAUUCAAUAAACUAUGAAAUGUUCAAAUGCCAUUCUCGUUUCUUAAUUUUGUUCUUCUUUCAUCAUCACCAGCAUUUCUUUUCUUUUUUCAGAUGACAUACCAUGUGGAUCGAAAAUUUCGUCGUCCACAGUUUUGCUUUCUCACCCACUAACUUCCAAGUAUUUUUUUUUAAUUUCGUUCUUUUCUAUUAUGUAGUCUUAUAUGCAGUGAAUGGGGCGUCAACCCUUUGAAUUCAAUAUGUGAUGACUAUGUUGACUACUUAGAGUGGUUGUAUACGAUUUUGCUUUUGAUCGUUAGGGUUUAGAUACUAUGCCCCCCUGCUGUAUGUUUUCUUUUUAAAUAAUAUAAUAUGGGCGUGAGGGCCUAGCCCCCCAGCUUCGACUGGGUUCCAGCCCUCUUUAAAUAUUUCUUUUUAAUAUUUGUUGAUGUAUUGGAAGUGGAAUCACCUUUCUCACGUUAUAACAUACAAGUCGCAUAAUUAUACACAAACAAUGAUAAAAGAAAAUGACGUCUAUUAAUUGUCAAUGCACUGAAGUAACCAAAUAUUCUAAGACCGAAGGAACUCCAAAAUCUACUCUGGAUGCGGCUCCUGACACAAAUAUCUGCUCCAAAACCCGAAACUAAUCACAAUAAACGCUACAUUCUCAGUAAAGCAAAUAAACUGAUUAUGUUUUGUUUAGUCAAAAGGAAAUUCAAGACAACCAUUACAAAACAAAAAUAUUUGUUGUGUUUUCUAAGUCCUCUCUCUAUAAACAAAAAUAAAAAAUAAAAUGGAUGGAGUGGAGUGGAGUGGAAGCAGAGGAAGAGACUGACCUCCGACAAGGGCGACCGUCAAAAGAGCUUCCCAGAGCAACAUGAUCUCGCUGCCAUGAUAACCUUUGUACACAGGCAAUUCUAAAACCAUAAGAUACCUAAAACAAACUUACUGAUAUAACAGAAUGGUUACACCCAAAGUUAUUUAAUUCAAACACCUAACUCAAACCAUAAGCACCAUGAUAAUCCUCAAACCCGGUAAAGAGUGUAUUCUCACAGUUGUAGAAUCCCAAAGCCACGCUUGAAAUGUCUGAAGUUGCAAAAGAUAGCAUCAUCCACCUAAACAUAUUGCAAAUGAAAAAUGUUUUAGCUCCUAAAUCCAAACAGCAAAAGAAAAAACACAGAAAAUUAAGUAAACAAAAUGGAACUGAACUUGCACAGCUCGCUUCUCAAAUUCACGAAAUGUUGCUAGAAUGUCGUAGUUGCGCGUCAAAUUCAUCAGGUAAUUUCUGUUGCCAACGAUUUUCUAUCAAAUGAAUUCAUUUUGUAUUCAAAUUCUGAGUAAUUAAUAAUAAGAAGGAUACCAUGAAUUUUAUUUACCUAAAUCUUGUAAUUAAUAAUAAGAAAAAUAUCAUGAAUUUCAUUUUGGGAAGCUGCUUUUAGCUUUAGUAGCUUCAUUUGAGAACGCAAAUAUGGCAUACCAAUUCUAUAUUUCUAAUCAGAAGAUGUUAAAUUUUUUUUUAGUCGUCUUCAAUUUGUGGCACUUCAUUCUCAAUAAAGAACAUUUCACAAAAUUCCAUAUCUAAUACAACAUCAAAGGACCGACUGAACAGGAAAACGACAUCAUUCAUUAUCCAGAUUGAAACAAAAAUCCCACUAAAAUGACUACUCAUAAGAAUCUCAUUCCACAAAACUUCUUCAGUCCAAGCCUAAACAACUGCAACCAAACAAAUCCCCAAGAUAUUUCAUCCACUGCCAUUAACAAAACCACAACCUAUAUCUUCCUUCAGCUAAGAUUAAAGCAAAAAUUGAAACCCUAAUCAUUCCCAAACAUGCUUUUGGAAUCAGAAUAGAAAGGAAACUUGAAAUUAGAGGAUCAUACAGAAUUCGACUGGGGAUUGGACUCGUGCUCGAAAUCGACCUCUUCCUUUUCCUUUUCAGAUUGAUCACCUAAUAGGUUCUGCAUCACCUGGUGCCACUUCUCCUCCCCCAUCGCUACUGCAGUGUGUUGCGGUCGGAGCCCUCAAACUACUGACAUUAAAUCGUUCAUUUGAUUAGAUCAAAGAAAAUAUCACCAUAGCAUCCUGCAAAUUUCAAGAAGUAUGUGUCGAAACAAAUCUGAAAAGAAUGAAAACCCUGUUAACCAAACACAUCAACAAUAACAUAAGCCUCACCACCAAUCCGACAUGGCAAAAUCCAGUCAACAAAACAAAAAAUACUCUGUAAUCCAUCAGCCAAUAUACAGCAAGUAGAAGCAACGCAAUUUUCUUUUUAAAAAAAAAAAAAAAAAACCAAAUCCGUAAUGAUCCGAACAGUUAAAAUUAGGGUUUGAUAACUAAUGCACCUAUUGCUAUUAGACUUUGAUCCCCGGGAAUUACUGGAUACUGUUGCUGAUGCCAUUGUGUUCAAGCCAAUGGAUUUCAACCCUUUUCGGCAAAACAUCACAAACUCCAUCAGAAAAAAUAUUCUCAAAGAUAAUGGGUGAGGGAAUUUCAUUUGAAUUGCCAGAGGAUGCUGUUGAAAAGAUCCUGACUGGAAUAUGGCUAGGCCGGACUGGCUUAGAGGAAUGGGCAGAAAAGGUUCUAGCUCCGAGCAUCCAGCAGCUUAAAUACCCAAAUUAAUAACCAAAUAAUCCAAAAUCAUACAAAAACCAAUGCUUUCAUAGAAAAAUCUCUAAAACCCACAAACCCCAAAAAAAAAACAAAACAAAAUCAUACAAAAAUCUCACCUUGCUCAAAAAUACUAAUUAAGAUUAAGGGAGCAAGAACACAUACAAACUUGGAAAUGUCAUACAAUCCAAACCCGAUUCCAAUAUUAGCCACAACGAAAUGAGGCUGUAUGGCCCAGCCAGAACCUUCUCGAUAACCUCCUUCACCGCAACAUGUCAAGUCCAACACAAAAAUUGAGUAACUGUGCGAGAAAAUUUGAGCUUGUGAUGGACUCUAAACCAAACCUUAGGCGAGGGGUGGAGAGAGAGGGCAGAGGCGAGCUUCGGGCGAGCAAGGAUUCGGCUGCAGAUUUGGUUCCAGGAUUUGCUAACGCACGCCGCUGAUACAAAGGAUAAGGCGGGUAGGUGCGAGAGGAUGUCGUCGAGAAGGUCGUCGUUUAGCAGAUGAUGCGAGGAGGGAGAGGGGAAGAAGCUGUGAAGAAGCAGAAGGCGAUGCGUAGUCGAAGCGGAGCAUCCCACGAUGAUUGACGCGUGGGCAGGCAGAAAGCAGACUUAAAUCAACCAACCUGAUUCUUAUACGACAUGACGUUUGUGUUUUCAAAAGUGAUUUCCGUCAUUCUUAUAAGCAUUUAAUUGAACUGACCAAAAGAGAAUCAAAGAACAAAAAGAAGCUUAGAAUGAGAAAACGGAAGUAAAAAUCAAACCACUUGGUUCCAAAAAUCAUAAAUAGGAGCACUGCUUUAUAACAUAAUAAAAGAGAUGAGGCAGUCUUACUGUACAGAUUCUGGUUAGUGGUUCAAUAAACAAAUACAACAGAAACUACCAUGAAAAAUACCCUAAUUGGAGCUAUAAACCACUACAUUGCAAGGAACAACAUAAAACUAUCAGCAUACGAGGUUACGGUUAGUCGCCACAUCGAAAACUCUUACAGGGACUCCUCUUCGUUUGCCAAUCACAAAGAAAGGUUCCGCUUCGUUGCUUCCAUUUUUAACAAAAGAUCCCUUAUAUCGGCUUCCAUUCUCAGCUUCAUAUUGGAGUAUUCACGAUGCGCUCGGUCUAGAGCUUGCAGUUCUUCAAGUUUCUUGCUGUUCUGCCUCGACUAAGCGCAACUUUGCUAUCCUGUUCCUAAAUUCUUCUUCAAUUUUUUCAUUCUUUGCCAUUGCUAUGCGUUUCAGCCCCUCAGCUUCUCUUCUUGCGUCAUCUGCUCGUGUUUGGAAUAUUUUUGCCUCGGCCUGCUUGAUCCUCACAAUGCUCUCCAGCUCAUCAAAAAGAGGUUCUUUUUGGGCACUUGUGUGCAACUCUGCGUCCAUAAUGCGUUUCUCAUGCUGAUCGUAGUUAAAACUGGGAUGAGUGUUAGCUGCAGUCUCCAACUGAGGGACCUUCUCAGCGUAUAUUGAUUUCAGCCACGCGGGUUCCUGGCUUGGCUCAACAAUUCCAUUGCUCGCUUUAAUUUGAUCCUUCUCCGAUAAGAUGGGUGUUUUGCCUAGCUUGGAACUGUCAGCAUCUGAAACAAAAGUGGAAGACUUAUUUAAAAACAGUACAGUUUCCAGUUAACUAAGCACAGUAUUACAACAGAGAACAAAAAGGCACAACUUUGAGACUCAAUAAGGGCUUGAGUUUUCUGCUUCGGGAUUUUGUACUCCUGCUAUGUCAUAAAUAUUCUCACAUCAGCACAAAAAAGCGGUUCAGAGACAUGGAUACGGAUGUAUUUAGGCCAGGCAUCAAACUGAAUCCCGAAAGCCAUAAUCCUAAGAACACGAAGCUUCAAGCAAGCCAAGCAAAUAAUGUAAGUUCUAUAGAGAGCAAACACUUGUUUAUCGUGUAAAAGUGUUUUGGAAUAAUAAGGAGACUAACAUUAGCUACGUGGAAUGGCUUUACAGAAAUUGUAUAAUAAGGAUAAUAGCCUCAAGCAAUCUCGAUAGAGCUAGGACUCUAUUAUCUGAUAUGUUUAUUAGGGUUUUCACGGUGAUAAAGAUAGUUUGAUAAGGAUUACAUAAUGGGAAGUGUCCUGAUGAACUCCAUCGUUUAUGGUAUAAAACUAGGGUCCCUGCGCUCUCACAAACACACAAGUUUUCAGAUACUCAAGCCCCAUUGAUUGAGCCUUGUAUUCGGUAGUGCAGAGUUGCAGAAGAAUCCUUUUAAUUCAAGCAGCAAUGUCUUCAUCAGGUAAGUGAUGAAGUUGGUAUCGUGAUUUAGUUUCUAUAAGUUAUACACUUACAGUUGGUAUCAGAGCCUUCACAUAUCAUCUUAAUCCUAUGUUGGAGGCAUCGAGAAUUUUUGUUUUCUUAUUGCUGUGCAGGUUACAGAACUGGUAACAUAUUAUCUGGGAAAAACAACACGAGUAUGUGAUGGCUAAGGCCAUUCUUAUUCGUGUGGGUUUUUCAUCUUAAUAUGUAUACCAAAAAUGGCACUUGAACACAAAUCGUGGACGCUGAUCUUCUAAAGAAGUUCAGAUGUUCAUAUUUAGUUUUUUGAGUGGCAUAUCAUUUUGGUAGCCAAUACAUGAAUACAACUAUCAUUGUCAGAUCAUAAAGAUCUAUAAUCAUAGUUAAAGAAAUUCAUGUAUCAGCUACAAAAGUGAUAUGAACAAAGAAAAUAAUCACAGCUUUCAUCAAUCUAAAGAAUGUUGAUUUUUGUGAUAUAUGGUUUGGGGAUAAGGAUUAAUAUUCGAAAGUUUUAUGCUUUGACAGCGUUGAACCCUAGCUCCAUGAACCUCAACACUGUUGAACCACUUACUUGUAUCAACUAUAAGAAAUGGAAACAGGAUCUAGAGAUCGUGCUGGGAGUCAUGGAUUGGGAUUUAGCACUCAGAACUGAAGAACCUCCUAUGCCGACAGAUGGGAGCACAUCCAGCCAACGGUCCAAGUAUGAAAAAUGGCAAAAAUCAAACAGGAUUUCCCCGAUGAUUAUCAAGAGGAGUAUGACCAAAGGCGGAGCCACAGUGGGGUCAAUGGGGUCGCACGACCCCUUGGAAGCCAUGGAAAUAACCUUAGAGGUCCCUUGGAGCUGCUGGUGCGACCCCUUGGAGCUGCUGGUGCGACCUCUUGGAGCUGCACACCACGUGUUCGAUGAAAUGUCUGAAAGAAGAAAAAGACUUCGGUUGCAGGUUGAAGAAGAAGGAACGGAGAACAGCAGCCAUGGCUGCCGAUGCACUGCUCCUUCUAUUGCAGAAUGAGAAAGAAGACGACCUGUUUUAAAAUGACUUGGCCAAACACACCGUUUUGAGCCAAGCCAAUAAAAAAAGUUUUAAAAGCACUCCCGACUGCUUUUCUCAUAUGAUUGGACAUCCUUUAGACUCCAUGUGAUUGGUUUUUGAUCAAUUCCCAAGCAAUUUAGAGAUUUUACUAAAAAUGAGAGAGUAAAUUAUUAAGUGGGUCCCAAUCUCAUUCAAGUAAACAUUUCGUUUUACCUUUGGCAUUUUGCCUUUUGCAAUGCACCUUUGCCAUUUGGUUGCUGAAGAAGAGACAAUUCUGGUCGGAUUUUCUUUGUGAGGAUUCUGAAGAUUUUUUUUAAUCACAUUCGUUUAUUAUAAUUCGUGCAGAUAGAAAUUAUUGUAUUUUUUUAUUUAAAAUUGAAUAUAAAUAACGAUAUGAAUAUAAUUAUUGUAAUUUUUUUUAAUCACAUUCGUUUAAAAUUGAAUAUAAUUCGCACUAUCCUACCAAGACCCGAUGAAAUGACGAUAUGCAUGCCAUUUCUGUUAAAAAAAAAUUUCGCGCUGCGCGCACUAUCCUUAUUGACCCCCCAAACAUUAUUUCCUGGAUCCACCACUGAGUAUGACUGAUGUGGUUCGAGGUGGUUUCAUGCUACUAAUGCCAAGGAAUUUCUUGCAUCCAUCGAAGAAAAGUACAAGGAGUCUCCAAAAUCCAAGACAGGUAAUCUCAUGAACUCACUUACCACCAUGAGAUAUGAUGGUAUUGAAAGCGUGCGUGAAUAUAUCUUGAAGAUGAUGGAUGUUGCUGGAAAGCUUAAGGCUCUCGAGGUACCUAUAUCUGAAACAUUCCUUGUGCAUGUGAUAAUGAACUCACUACCUGAUAGCCACACUCAACUGAAAGCAUCUUAUAAUGCUUUGCGUGAAAAAAUGGGAUGUGAAUGAGUUAAUUGCUAUAUGUGUAAGUGAAGAAGAAAGGAUGAAAAAGGAGAAGUAUGAAAAGGAAAAGGUUGAGUCUGUUAACCUUGUGCAUGGUGCCUAUAAAGCACACAAAUCUCCGGCUGUUGAUGUUACCAGGAAAGAAACUACCAAAAGGGCUCCAUCUCCUACCAAAAGGAACUUUAAACCUAACAAACCAUCGAUUUUCAAAUGCUAUUUUUGCAAGAAAACAGGUCAUAUGAAGAGAAAUUGUCCAAAAUACAAGGCUUGGCUUGCUAAACAAGAGUCAAAGAAAGGUAAAAAUAUUUUUGCUUGUUUUGAGUCAAAUUUGAUUGAUAUACUUAGCACUGCAUGGUGGCUUGACUCAGGCUCUUCUAUUCAUGUUACGAAUUCAUUGCAGGACUUCAUAACAAAGAGAACACCAAAUAAAGAUGAAGUCAAAGUCUCUGUUGGCAAUGGAAGAAGAGUUGAAGUCAAAGCUUUAGGAAGUGUUAGGCUAAAGUUAGAAUUUGGUUUUUGUUUAGAAUUGGAAAAUGUCGUUUAUAUACCUUCUAUGAGAAGGAAGUUGAUUUCGGUUUCAAAACUAGUUAUGUUGGGUUUUUAUUUUACUAUCAAUAAUAUUGGCUUCAACAUUUUUUAUAAGUCAUCUCAAAUUGGUUCUGGUUUUUUGAGUGAUGGGAUGUUCCAAAUAAAGUUAAACCUUGAUGAACACGUUUUUAACAUCCAAAAUGGGAACACCAAAACUCAAUCUUCAAACCUAUGGCAUAAGAGACUUUGCCAUAUUUUGAAACAAAGAAUGGAGUUGCUUGUUAAAAAUGACAUUUUACCAUCUUUGAAUUUUAAUGAUUUUGAUUUUUGUGUGGAUUGCAUCAAAGGUAAAAUGACAAAUAGUAGGAAAGAAGGAUCAACUAGAAGUAAACAAGUCCUAGAAAUUAUUCACACGGACAUUUGUGGUCCUUUUCCAACACCUACAAUAGAAGGAAACAAAUACUUUAUAACCUUCAUUGAUGAUUUUUCAAGGUUUUGUUUCAUUUAUUUGAUCAAUGAGAAAUCUAAAGCUUUUGAAGUUUUCAAAAUUUAUAAGAAUGAAGUUGAAAAUCAGUUGGAAAGAAAAAUAAAGAUUGUUAGGUCUGAUAGGGGUGGAGAAUAUUAUGGUAGAUAUACUCAAACUGGUAGACAUCCUGGACCUUUUGCACUAUUCUUCCAAGAACAUGGGAUUGUAGCUCAAUACACUACACCUGGAACCCCCGAGCAAAAUGGGGUUGCAGAAAGAAGAAACAGGACCUUAAUGGACAUGGUAAGAAGCAUGAUAUGUAGAGCUAAUUUGCCGAGUUCUUUGUGGGGAGAAGCAAUGAAGACUGCAAAUUAUAUUUUGAAUAGGGUGCCAUCAAAAUCUGUUGAGGGUACUCCUUUUGAGCUGUGGACAGGGAGAAAACACAGCUUGAAUCAUCUUCAUGUUUGGGGUUGUAGAGCAGAAGCAAAAGUGUAUAGUCCUAACAACAAAAAGCUCGAUCCCAAGACCAUCAGUUGUUUUUUCGUAGGGUAUGCAGAAAGGUCGAAGGGCUUUAGAUUUUAUUGUCCUAAUUACACUUCCAAAAUAGUUGAAACUGGCAAGGCAAUCUUCUUAGAGCAUGAAAUCGAUACUGGUUCUGGGACUGAGGUUGACACUUUUGAAUUUGAAGAAGAAGAAAAAGAAAUCAUAGUCCAACCAAUGGAAACUGAGAUAAGUGUGGCAGCUCCACUUCUUAAAAUUGUUGGGCACAUGGAGGACAGUGAAACUAAUGCAUGUGAUGAAGAUCACGAAGUUGAUGCAACAGUUUAAGAAGUGAUAAAUGAUGAUCGAGGUACCAUAACAAUUGAGGCAUCAGUACCCACCAUGGGUCAGCAACAUCAAAUACAAGAGGGCAGCAUCGACACCAUCACUAAUUUCAGAAGAUCAACUAGGGUCAGGAAACCUACGACACUAGAAGAUUUUGUAUACUUGGCUGAGAGUGACACUGAUUUAUCAGAAUUUAAUGACCCUAUAAGUUUUAAAGAAGCAAUCUCAAGACCAAAUGCUGACAAGUGGAUAGAAGCUAUGAAUAGUGAGCUGACCUCAAUGGAAAACAAUCGUGUAUGGGAAUUAGUUGAACAGACAGAAGGAAUGAAACUCAUAGGAAGCAAGUGGGUUUUCAAAACUAAAAAGGAUUCGAAUGGAAAUAUUGAAAGGCACAAAGCUAGAUUGGUCGCGAAAGGAUUUACACAAAGAGAGGGUGUUGAUUACAAAGAGACCUUUAGUCCAGUUUCAACCAAAGAUGCUUUUAGGGUUAUAAUGGCUAUGGUAGCACACUUUGAUCUUACUUUGCAUCAAAUGGACGUCAAAACGGCCUUCUUAAAUGGAGAUUUGGAGGAGUGUAUCUACAUGAGACAACCAGAUGGGUUCAAAGAAGAAGGGAAAGAUAACUUGGUCUGCAAGUUAAAGAAAUCUAUUUACGGACUCAAGCAGGCAUUGAGGCAAUGGUACCUCAAGUUUCAUCAAGUGGUAAGAGAAUAUGGUUUCACUGAAAAUCUCUCUGACAACUGCAUUUACAUGAAGGUUAGUGGGAGCAGUUUUAUUAUUUUAAUUCUUUAUGUUGAUGAUAUACUGCUAGCCACUAAUAGUCAGAGUUUAUUAAGUGAAACAAAGUCUUUCUUGCAAAGAAAUUUUGAAAUGAAAGACUUGGGAGAGGCAACGUAUGUCUUAGGGAUUGAGAUCAAAAGGGACAGAAUGAGAGGUUUGUUGGGACUAUCGCAAAGAGGGUACAUAGAGAAGGUUUUAAAAAGAUUCAACAUGUCCAGUUGUGGAACUACUGAAGUGCCGAUUUCAAAGGGAGAAAAGUUGAGUAAGUUGCAGUGCCCUAAAAAUGAUUUGGAAAAAAAGAUCAUGGAAGAUAAGCCAUAUGCUUCCUUGGUAGGAAGCCUAAUGUACGCUCAGGUCUGCACAAGACCUGAUCUUGCAUUCACAAUAAGUGUACUUGGAAGGUUCCAAUCGAAUGCUGGUGAAGCUCACUGGAAUGCAGCAAAGAGAGUGUUGCGAUAUCUUCAAAGAACUAAAGCACAUAUGUUGGUUUUCAGAAGGACGGAUGAGUUGGUGUUAGAAGGGUAUAGUGACUCCGAUUUUGCUGGAUGUUUGGAUGAUCUUAAAUUUACAUCAGGUUAUGUUUUCUUGAUGGCAUGUGGAGCUGUUUCUUGGAAAAGUGUAAAGCAAGACACAGUGGCUGCAUCUACAAUGGUAGCUGAAUAUUUAUCUUGUUGUGAGACUGUUAACCAAGCUGUUUGGUUAAAGAAUUUCAUAAUGGGACUUAAAGUUAUUGAUUCAAUUGCAAGGCCGAUCCAAAUCUACUGUGACAAUAAUGCUGCAAUAUUCUUCUCCAAGAACAAUAAGAGAUCAGCUGCAACCAGGAACUUGGACAUUAAAUACCUUAUUGCAAGAGAGAAAGUUGUGGCUAGGUUAGUUAAAAUUGAUUAUUUGGAGACAGGUUCAAUGAUUGCAGAUCCUAUGAACAAAGCAGUGACCAAUGCGGUGUUCAAGAAGCAUGUGAUGAGUAUGGGAGUGCUGGAUGAUUUUGAUACAGUGAAUUAGUGGGAGCCAAGUAUUAAUUUCUUUCUCUGCGAGUUAUCUAGUUCUGAAUGUUUUGAAUAUUGAUAAUAAAGAACACUUAGCUAAUAAAGUGAAAUGCUGAAUGGUUGUUAAAGUUUUCCUAUCAAGCUCAGCAAUUAGUUAUGAAAGUGCAUGUAUUUCUUUAUAAUGUAGGAUGGAUAAUGAUUCUCAGAAUUGUUAUAAGGCAUAAACAACUUGAAGACUUCACUAUGAAGUAUUUGGAAUUGAUUGUUUUAUCAAUCUUGUGGAGGACCAAGUGUAAGAUGUGUUACUCGAAUAUACAUGCGAACAUGUGUUACAUUAAAUUACAUAUCUUGUUGGAGUUCCAUGUGUUAUAUAGCUUCAUUACAGUGACUAUGGGGACAGUACUUCUUCAGUGAGAGUGUGAUGCCCUUUGGUUCUUUAUGAAUGCUUAUUAAUGACAGGAACUUGUAAUCGAGUUUAGCUGAUAUUAGUCUCUUGGCCAAUCAAGUAUUAUUCCACUUCUGUAAGUGUACAUGAUAAACAAAUAUUAGCUCUAGUGGGAGAAUGUAAGUUCUAUAGAGAGCAAACACUUGUUUAUCGUGUAAAAGUGUUUUGGAAUAAUAAGGAGACUAACAUUAGCUACGUGGAAUGGCUUUACAGAAAUUGUAUAAUAAGGAUAAUAGCCUCAAGCAAUCUCGAUAGAGCUAGGACUCUAUUAUCUGAUAUGUUUAUUAGGGUUUUCACGGUGAUAAAGAUAGUUUGAUAAGGAUUACAUAAUGGGAAGUGUCCUGAUUGAACUCCAUCGUUUAUGGUAUAAAACUAGGGUCCCUGCGCUCUCACAAACACACAAGUUUUCAGAUACUCAAGCCCCAUUGAUUGAGCCUUGUAUUCGGUAGUGCAGAGUUGCAGAAGAAUCCUUUUAAUUCAAGCAGCAAUGUCUUCAUCAGGUAAGUGAUGAAGUUGGUAUCGUGAUUUAGUUUCUAUAAGUUAUACACUUACAAAUAAUGUAUGUACUAUAGAAACCAUCAGUUGUAAUGGUUGAAGCAGAAAGAAGAAUACUUCCUCUGAAAGAUUAGUAUUUCCAUCUUCAAUAUCAAAACAAAAGGCUUCAAGUAGCUUCAAUAUAUCAAAGGGCUUCCAUACAUGUCAAAACAAAGAACACGACUGAUAAAACUUUUAUUUGCAGCAAUUCACAAGUAUCAAAAUCUCUAAGUAACAUCAAUAUCUUGUAAACCAUGGAGAAAGGAAGCAUCUGUAAAUUUCACAAGAGAUGUAGUAUAUAUACCAAAGCCAUUUUCCCGAUAAAAAAUCCAACAAAAGCAAGUGUAAGUCAUAUAAGAAAAGCUACGAAGUGUCAAAUGACUCUUCUUUUAUAACUCAAUAUCAUUAAACACUCUCUUUACUGCAAACAAAUAUAUGGCAAAUUGAAAAUAUAAUUUUAGAUCAUUUUUUUUUUUAAGAAAAAGGCAUGAUCCUAAACAAUGAUAUUAUGCCGAUGCAAGCAGAUUAUGACCCCGAAUAGUAUUGUAAGAACGAAACAAUAAACUAUUUCUGAUAAAACAAAUAACUUACCCAAAAGAAAAGCCAUGACAUAAUUGUACACCUCCGGAAGGUCAGACUUGUUUACCAAUCUUGCCAGUGAUUGAUCAGCAAUUUCAUAAAGUCGUCUCCCUCUCAUGUCCUUGCUGACAACAAAUAUUUUCUUAACGUAUUCAAGUUCCCUAGCAAGAUUUUCAAUUGUCCAAUCCUUUGCGAAAUUCUGAAAUGUUGUACUUUUAUGCGCAAACGGAAGCGAAUUAUAACAAAGUACCAAAUAUCGUCGCAGGAGAAAGCUAAAACAAACAAUCUCAAACUAACACGAGAUUUACGUGGUUCGGCGUAAAGCCUACUCCACAGGCGAAGCACGGCAAGGAAUUUCACUAAAUAAACGGAGAUUACAAAAGAGUGUUUAAACUCUCACAACCCAAAUCCCACAAAUUACAAACCCUAAACCAAACGAGUAGAGAACUCAAACAAACAGAGAAGAUUCUCCCAAAUUGCUCUCUAACAAACUCACAAAUUGACUCUCACCAAAUUGCCACACGAAUGAGCCACACAAUAUACAUUAACCCUAAGGUCCUAUUUAUAGUGCAUAGGACUUAGGUUACAAUAGGAAUCCUAAUAGGAAAUAAAUCCAAAUCCUAAUCAAAUAGGUAAUUAACAAAAUCUCUCCACCAAGGAAAGUAACUAAGAAGUCAAAACCAAACCCAAAUAUGACACCAAAAUCAAAUAGGUAACACAAACCUAAUUUAUUGCAUCAUCCUAAUUUUGAGCCAAAAACCCAACAAUCUCCACCUCGGCGAGAAAUUAGCAAACUUCCAAAUUUGGGAUACCAGAAUACAAAUGCAAACGUGCACCAAAUUCUUUCGAAACUGAUCUCCACCUAGACUCAAAAAAUCCAAAAGUCUUCAUACUUGAAAUUUCCUCCAACGCCUUCUCCAACAAAUUCCAUUAUGGAAACUAACAAAUACGAAACAAAAUACAAGCAAAAGCUUGAACAUAUGAACAAAAAGUGCGAAUUGCACUCCACCUAAAGAGCUUGAGUACCAAGCUCCACCUCUUCACAUAACCUUUAGAGGAGUUCAGAACAACGAUCUUCUGCAAUGUUUGCAUCAACACUAGCAAAAGACUUAUCAAACAACUUUUUUUUCGCCCUUGAGUUUAGGGCAAUCUACUUUCCAAUGACCAUCCUUAUAACAAUAGCUACAAGUGUUCUUUCCAAGUUUGCUCAUUUCCUUAUUCCUUCCUUGAACUACCAAAGCUCCAUCUUGUGUGUCAGACACUUUAUUCUUCAGCUCUUUAGAAUUCAAAGUGACUUUAACAUCUUCCAAACUAAGACUUUCUCUACCAAAUAGCAUGGUAUCGACAAAGUGUUCAUACGAAGGAGAUAAAGAACACAACAAAGUUAUCGCAUAAUCCUCAUCACUAAUUUGGUUGUCCACACUUUUCAAAUCCAUCAUAAGUUUAUUGAAUUCAUCAACAUGCUUAUGAAUUGACGUACCUUCAUCCAUACGAAGAGUAUGCAAACUUUUCUUCAAAUACAACCGUUUAGCAAGGGAUUUGGUCAUAUACAAGCUCUCCAAUUUUAUCCACAACUCUGGUGCAGAUUUGAUGCUACCAACUUCACGCAAGACUUCAUUUGAUAAAGUCAGCAGGAUUGCUCUAAGUGCCCGUUCCAUAACGUCUUCUUUUUCUUCAUCAGUCCACGAAUCCGGCAAAGUCUUCACACCCUUUAGCGUUUUCAAAAGCCCUUGUUGAACUAACAAAGCACGCAUCUUCAAUUGCCAAAUACCAAAGUCAUUGCCGUCGAACUUUUCAAUAUCAACUUUCACCGAUGACACAGAAGGCUUCAUAGUGACUGUGAAAACGGAGCUAAUGGAGAUUGCUCACCAUGAACAACAAAAUGGACAUUUACUUUCUUCCAAGGAUUUACAGGACAAUGGCAUCCGUAACUCAUUCGGAUUCAUUCAGUCCACUAAUUCCCAACUGAUUCUAGCAGUUUUUAGUGCUUCGCAAUUUUUUGGAUAUAUACAACACACAACAAUUUCUAUUUAUAUAUCGCUUUUUGACAUACUGCUUGGGGAAAUCUGUCAGCACAUACAUAUUUUGAAUGCGUUAGGUUUUAAUUUGGACAGUAAGGACUAGGGAAUCCAUUUGGAUAAUUUUGACACAAUUGACAAGCUGCAAUAGACUGCACUAUAGACUUCUAGAUUUACUGAUAGAGGUUCCAUGAUUUGUUCUAGAAUUUGGAACAAUAUUCUAAUUCUGAUGGCCAAUGGUAAUUUCUCCACUUUCAUGAGUGGCUUAACUAAAGCAAUUUCCACUUUUACUUUAUCUAGACAUAUGAUUGAUACUAUGACAUCGGUUUGUCUAGUUGUCUACGAUUGCAACACUUGUGCGAUAUAGUUUAUACUCGGCAGCACAAUUAUUGUAUCUCCUCGUAUAUUCUCUGGAGUACCUGUUUACAAACACAAUUGGCAGCCAAAUGCUUCAUGGACGAAAAAUGCAGCACGCCUCUCCGUGGUCUGAUGGCUUUUUUGUUAUUAUAUGGGAGGUCUUCUUGAUAGCUGCGUGCUGGGUUUUGACAAUGGCAGAAGAAGACAUGAUCAUAUGGGCAUUAAUGAGGCAUAAGAAUCUGGGUUCAAGUCUAGUUGUUUGUUGUCAUCUUCAAUCGAUCAAGACUUCAGUUAGAACAUCUUUGAAGGGAAAUUCCUAUCUAAUUGAGAUUGUCUAAGGUGGUGCUAAAUGGGGAGUUAGCUUUGAAACUAUGCUGGCAGAACAAGAUGCAACUAUCCUAACGGCUGCAAUAAGACGACAGUAUUUUAGUGCCUUGACAAUUGAUCUACAUGUUGAUUUCUCACUGCUGUUCACUAGUAACCUUAACCUUUGGCCUGUAUGGGAUCCGGGAGAUGCUUUAACUACAGCUAUAAAGUUGAUGAUUUGUUUUAAGUUCCAAGAGAACCAUUUCAAGGUGCACCCUCAAUUCUUGGUUCUGCAGCUACACCCCAUAAAUCCUGCAGUGCAUCCUACUUGUCUACCACCACAGUUGUUGGCCACAAGAUUAGGAAUUCUUCACCCUAAAUCCAGGCUUCACCCUUAUCAGGUGCUCUCUGUCAAAAGGAUUGAGGCCGGUAUAUGCAAUCUCCUUGCUGCCCUUAGCUUUCUCCUUUGGUUCAAAAAUGAUGAAGUUGGAGCAUGACGAAAUUGUGGUAUUUUUGUUGUUUGGAGAACAUGGGUUCACACCCCACUCUCAAGUGUCCCUUGUUGAGUUCUCAGAUGGUGCUCAGGCUCGUGUUGUGCUUGAACCUAGAGAAACCAAAGGCUUUACUUUAAUUAGGAUCGUUACAAAUUAAGGAUGACUCAAGCAAGGAUAUUUACUCAACGAGAGAAGUUCAUACAAAGAACUAAUUUUUCAUUUAAGUUGGCGUUCUUACAUAGAAUACACACGUAUCUAAAGGCCUAGGAGGAACUUUUCCGAACCUCACCUAAAACUAUCUGGAGACAAGAGGCAUCGUUCUCUUUUGUCCGUUACAUAAUAUAAGGAUGAAUCUCCUCUACAUCACAAUCAACAAUAUUUUACGUCACGCUCAAACUAUUAUAGAUAAGAUUCUUUACUUUACAACACAUCGAAUAUUAUUCUAGUGGUAACAACUUAUUGUCUAACAACAUGAUGUUGGAUAAUUGGUGUUAGAACAUUAAAAUUGUAAAUUAUUAGCUAAUGGAAAAAUUACAUUAUUAGAAGGGUGGAAGGGUAAGAAAAAUAUAGAACGCGAGAGAGAGUAUUUUGAGUUGAGUGUUUAGACGAAGAUUUUGUUUCUAAGUAUACAUAUUAGUUAGAGCAUUUUUCAUGGCAAAAAGAGUUAAGUAAGGGCAGCUGCCCCCAUUAGGCAUAUAAUGCCUCCGUUUAUGUAGAAAUGUGUUAAAUGAAUAGACAAUCAUCAUAAAUUGUUCCUUAAUACUCACACCAUUUAUUUAUUCCAUCUAUUUAGAGGCAUAAACAAUUUACAAUUCGAAAUAACUUCUUAUAAAACUUCUUUUAAUAAAAAUUAAAUAAUUAAAUAAUUUUAAUUAUAAAAAUAUACAAUUAUACAUUAAGUGGUUUUAGGAUAAUUAAACAGCUAAUCUGUAAAAAGACAGGUGUCACAAGGAUAGUGUAGGAAGAGCGUGCCGCCGGGCACAGAUAAUCUUCUCUUCCUGUCUGUAUUUCAUCAUACAAGUCACUUCCGCUUUUUCCUUUUUCUAUUUUCCGUGUUCCCGGGAAAAGUCCAAGGAAAACGAAACCCUUCCUAAUUUUUGGUUUGGAAUUCGAAUGCAAUUGCGUUAAAUUUUGCGCCUUUGAUUUGGGUAUUUGCAGAAUUUUGAGAAGACUCAUUGGAUUAUACAAGUUAGAAGUAAUGGAGGAUGUUUCUGGGACCUGGAGCAGGCUGAGCAGCAAAGUCCACCACUUGGUAUGUUUACUCAUACUUUUGGCCCUAACUUACACUCAUUCAAUCUUUCAGCUACACUUGGUUUCUGUAAAAGCAAAUAUAUGUCAAAUCUUAGACUCUUAGUAGCUUUUUAGCUUCAAAUAUAUGCCAAAUUAACCUCAUAAGUGGGUUUUCGAGCGAUCGAGUUGGACUGAAUGAAUACAUGAUGAUGUUUUCUUACCCUUUUCUGCUUAGUUUCUUCAAGAACAAUUCAUCUUUAGGUCAAGCCGGAAACUUAUUGUUCAUCUUGUUUGUAGGUCAAGAUGGUGAAAGAAAAUGAAACAGUAACUGAAUAUGCUACCUUAGUUCAUGGAGAACCUUCUCAAGAUGCUAAUGACCCCCCAAAAGUUGAUUCCAAGGCGGAAAUCCUUCACGAGAAAGUCACAAAGCAAAUCAUUAAGGAAGGUCAUGGUCAAAUACCAUCCAAGUAUUCAACAUGCUUCUGUAAGUGUCCGGUGGUUUCCUUUUUGGUAGUGCUGUGCUUUGUACAUUAGUUGAAAAUCCAAUAAUUGUUAUGUGUGUAUGUAUUUGUUAGUACGGGAGUACGACAUGAAUGAGCUUGUGACUUGCAAACAGACACACACAACAUUCAUGUUCACAGAGUUGUGUAUGCGUAUAGGAGAAUUAUUUGUGCGUGCAUUAAAUUUUAUAAAAGGGAUGCCUAAGAUACAUGUAGAAAGGUCUUGCAGUGAAGUUUUACUCUGAUUUUUUCAAUCACUGAGUGAUUGGCAUAUGUGUGAUAGUGCACUACAGGGCAUGGACUGAAAGCACAAGACACGAGUUUGAGGACACAUGGGAUGAACAACGACAACUUGAAAUGAUUUUAGGAAAAGGUAUUAUAGCCCUUGCCGAGUUGUCUGGUACUUUUGAUAUAUACAAAAUAUAUGCAGAAUAAUUCUGGCAUGUUCCUUGUUCAGUCUGCAAUUAGUUCUGUGAGUUCUUUAUUGCUUUUAUUCUCUGUAGUUAACUUGUCAUUUGAUAUGAUUUGGGUCCAUAAGCAUUUAAUCAUUAUGUGGUGGUAUUAAAUGCAAUGAACUUCUUAUUAGUAGUAUAUUUUUGUUACCGCAACAGAGAAAAAAGAAAUGACUGGCUGGGCUAUUGGGGUGUCCAGCAUGAAGUCGGGAGGGCGUGCCCUAUUACAUGUAGGCUGGGAGUUAGGGUUUGGGAAAGAAGGGAGCUUUUCUUUUCCGAAUGUUCCACCAGUGGCAGAUAUAUCAUAUGAAGUUGAGCUUAUUGGAUUUGAUGAAACCAAAGAAGUAAGUUGGUCACUUGCUUUCAAAUGUCUUCCCAAGUAGAUGCCAAUAGUUUUAGCCGGGAACGAAGACACAGUAUCAAAUUUAGUGAUCUAAACUGUUAGCAGUGGAGGAGUUAAGAAUUUACGAUGAUGGGGUCAAAAAAUCGAUCAUACUUUCAUUACGAUUACCCACUACAUGUUCUCAUAUUUUGGAAACGUUGUAUCACAACAAAAUUAUAAAUCAAAUCAAACACAUCAUUCUCAAUGUAUACAAUCAAACUAUCAUUCAAUCAUUCAUCACAUGUCUAUUACGAUGUGGAUGAUUCACAAUAUUCAUCAUCGAAAAAGCUCUUUCAACAGAAGCAGUCGCUACGGUAAAAUUUUUGUUAAUUUUGUGGAUGCAAAUUUCUUCCUCUUUGAUCUUGGACAAAAUUGCACCUACAAAACAAUUAACACCUUAGGUCAAGGCUAAGAGCCUCACGCGCCCACGAUAAAUGGGGGGGCUUUGGCCGAUGAACAUCCGAUGCCAAAGUUAGAAUUUAGAGAGAAAAAGUGUUUGACAAUUCUAGAGAAUUUUAGCAAGAGUUGCAACUAGGUUUUGGUGAGAAAUGUGGGGCUUUUUAUAGAGGAGUGGCUGGCCUCUUAGGGUGAGAGAGGACCGGCCACAUAGUCUUGUUUGUGGGUUUUGUUCAUGAUUUAAGAUGAUUUUGGGAGUUAUAUGAUUAAUUGACUAAUUAAUUUGGCAAAAUAAAAUUAUUACCAAAUGAAUUAGCUAAUUAAUGGGAUGAAAUGGGCAAAUAUCAAGAGAUAAACAAAACAUGGCCAAUUCCUUUUCUAACAAUAGGUGGCCGGCCCUUCACUUGUUUUUGGGGUUGAAAGGAUCACUUAAUUGACAAUUUAAGGGAUUAAAUAGGCAAUUAACCUCUUAAUUGGCCAUUUAUCAUGAUUUUUAGAAGGAAGGCUUUAGAAGUUAUGGAAAGAAUAAAAUAAAUAGCUAAUUGAUUAGCUAAAAGAGGGAAAAAGAGGUAAGAAAUAUAUGGAAUGAAAUAGGUUUUAAGUUGAUACCUAUUUUGGGCACUUUUGACUUGGUUUAGGGAUGAUUACUCGCGCGUAGGAAUCCCAGUAUGUCUCAAGGGUAUUUUUGUUCUCUUUUACCCAAGAAUCCACGUGUCGUCUUGUGAUUAUUUUUUGCUCCACAAAUUUCAUUAGCAAGUACACUAAGGGAUACUGCCUAUCCCUCUUUAUCUCCACUAACUUUUGUGCAAAACUACUAAUUUCUUUCAACACAAAAAUUUCAUUAUGCAAACGUAUGUCAAAGAUAUAAUUUUUAAGUUCGUCAUCAAGAAGUGAGAGCUCCGUAUUUGGAUAAAAUUGGGUAAGGCGAACUAACUAAACCACAUAAUAUAAGUUGGGGUGUGCUAUUCACAAUCCUUAUUUUAUUUUUCACACACUAAUUUUUUUUCGUUGAUCUUUUGAUAGGACUCGCUCGGAUUAAUGACUUCGCUAGGAGUUCUUAGACAAGAACCCCAAAUUCGGCCGGACUCGUAAGACCUUCUGCGAGAGAGAACCUCGGUCAUCCUGCGAGAGAGAGUCGUCGCCAUCGCUCCCUGCUUGCCCUGCUCCCUCAUCCUCGUCCUCCUCACCCUCAUCUCUGCGUCCUGCUUGCCCUCAUCUGCAUCCUGCUUGCCCUCAUCUGCUCCUCUUGCCUCUUGCCUGGUAAACUUCGAAUCUUCGAUUUAUUUCUCCGAUUUGUUUUUCAGAUCGUGAUAUUACUGAGCUUUAUUUGAUUUAGUUGUUUGAGAAAUUUUCAAAGAUUUAUCGCUUUGUCAUUGAAAAUGCAAAUGCAAUGCUCAGUCAGUGCGAGUCUGAGUCCGAGCAGAAGAGGCAGAGGCACCGCUGUCGAUUCACUUCCAAUGGCAGCCGUCGGUGGUCCUAAGUGGGCACAGAAGACCAUAACUCUGCCUCCCCUCAAGAGGGGUUGUCAUCUCGUCACCCCUAAGGUACCUACUCUUUUGAAUUUUGAUUCUUGAGUUGAUCCAUCCGUCAAACCCUAACCCUUGAUUUGAAAUCAAUUGAGUUGGAUUCACGGUGAAACAUGUGUUUAGGUCUCUUAGAAAUUUAAUUUCUAUUUGAAAUUUCAGAUAGUGAAGGAAAUUGGGGAGGACUUGUCAGAAUUCAAGUGUGGCCUUGCCCACCUCUUCUGUAAGUUUGCCUGCCUAAUACUGUUUUCUUUCAAUACUUGUUUUUGCUUGUUUUGAAUGAACAUAUAACAUCUGUGUAUAUUUAUUUGUGGGUAAUAUUUCAGUGCAGCACACAAGUGCUUCUCUUACUAUCAAUGAGAAUUAUGACUCUGAUGUUCGUCACGAUGCAGAGACAUUCCUCAAUACCAUUGUUCCUGAGGUUACUUACUUUCGUUUUGUUUCCUUUCCUGUGUAUUAUGAUCACAUGAUUCACAUCUUAUGUACCAGUAGCACUAGCAAGCAUUAUAUGAUGUUCUCGUCUUCAUUUAUUUUCAGGGGACCUCUGCACCAUGGAAGCAUACCCUUGAAGGUUAGUAUUCGAUUCCAUUUCAUUGUUUCAUUCAUGGCCUUCGUCUCUUCUUUCGAAGAAUACUUUGCUUUUCUCUGUUUUAACCCAAUUUCUAUAACUUGGUUGGCUACGUCUUUGAGUUUGCAUUAUAUGCACUGUCAUUUGACUGCUAGCUACUGUGGUGCCUGGUAGCUCAGAAUUUAAGUUAUCUGAGUUUUACAGGCCCAGAUGACAUGCCAGCACAUAUUAAAUCAUCAAUGUUUGGCUGCACUCUGACGUAAGGAUACCUUACUAGCUUGUUUGAUACUGUUUACAUGUGCUGUGAGGAAUUUACGGCCUCGUUGGCAUUUACAUUUUCCUUGUUCUCAUGCAGGGUUCCAAUUACAAAUGGAAAACUCAACAUGGGAACUUGGCAGGUAUGUAAAAGUGAAAACCAUUAUUCAACUUUUCUAAGUUUUCUACUUGUAAAGGGCUUGAAUCUCUCAAUCUUGAAAUUAGGGUUUAUGCUUGGAAAGAUUUUCACCUAUGCUCUGCUUAAUAAAUUUCUUGGAUGAUGCCUAAUUAUUCUCUGUAGGAAUAGAACUUAAAGUAAAUUCUGGAGAAAAAAAUGCAUCAUGUUAAGGGAAGGUAAACCGCAUAGCAGUACUUAAGAAAUUACUAGCUGCAAAAGAAGUUUUUACGAGAACACUUACAUUCUGAACCUUCUUCCCUACUACUGUUGAAGUGUCAGUAAAGGCUAGAAGUAUUCUUUUAUGUAGGCAGAACAUGUAAGUUAAAAGACACAUGUUUUGAAUGCCGGUGCUCAAUGGCGUUAGUGCAUGAUGGAAUGUUUUACAGACCUUACUGUAAGCAUCUUGACUAGGCGUAAAUUUCUUGUAUUUGAGUAUGUAAGCUGAGCAUGGAGUAUGAACUCAUGAGAACAGAAUGAUAGAUAAGAUAUGCAUAGGCUUUUUUUUAAGAUUUCAUCAACCCUUUCAAUUUCUAAGGGGCAUGUGAGUGAGGCAAUGAAUGGCGCUAUGGAAUUACACUCUUCGGCUAACAAUUACUCUGUUUUUUCCUUUUUUAUAAACAUCACAUUCUGUUUCCAUUGCAUCAUUGUUUGGCUCUCUAAUAAAUCAAAAUUUCUGGUGUGUUAUAGCUUAUGGAAUAUUGUUUAUUUUUUUCCUUGUAUUGAUUCUGCUUCAGGGAAUAUGGUUGUGUGAGCAUCGUGACUAUUCUACAGCACGGAAAGUUGUGGUUACCCUGAAUGGAAUAUGAGAUUCUAAGAUUUGGAUAUUUUUCAUCCAAGUCUGUAGAUAAGUCGUACGUAGACAUCUGGUUUGUUCAUGGGAACCUCCUGGAGAGAUGUUAACGUCCUAGCUGUUUUCUGCAUCUUUCUGGCUGAAUGAACAUCUGGUACCUUGUUACUUGUAAAGGAUUUACUACUUUCUGGCUUAUACAUACAAUAGCAAUUUCAAGUAAUUAUUUUAAAAUUGAGUAAAAAAUUGAACUUGUCAGACAUCAAUUUUCGUUCUACUCAAAUGCAAGUAUAAACCAAUACCUUUAACUUUAAUCUACGACUUUAAACCCAAGGUGAAUAAUUAAGAAAAUCAUCCUGAACCCUGUCAAUUGUUGGGAGAACACUUUGUUAUAUUCAUGUUUGGAACAAUGCUACUCUUGAAUCAUGUAUGUUUCUUUCGUUGGUAAGAAAAUUUGGUUUUUGUAUUUUUAUUGAGUCUCACUCUCAUCCAAUAUUGUUAAUUUUAAUAAUAUCUUUAAUAAAAAAAACAAUUAAAAUAUAACAAUAAUGUAGUCCUAGUCUAAGCAAACAUCAAACUGGUGACAAUACUGUUUUCAUUAUCCUGCUUUUUAGUCCAAUACUGCACCAAAUGCUUCACUAAGCUAGUCCAACUAAGUUUAGUCUAAGUCAGUCCAUCUUAGUCCUUGCAACUAGUCUAGUCCGAGAUAGUCUGGUGCCACAUACGCACAAUGGAAAAUUAUGUUCAAUGCCCUUGGAAUUAACUAAUGAAAAAUUAUGGAUUUUCUAUAAUUUCAUCUGUUGCUAUUGAUAUAUAAAAUUCCAAUGCUCAAUAUUUCAUCAGCUGUUGUUAUGCAGUUAUAAGGGUCGGAAAAUUUUUCAAAAGGAUAAAUUUACAAACUUAUUGGGGUCAAGGGAUGCCAAUGCCUCCUUCACUUCACUUGGGUUUUCGCUUUGUUUACUGAGUUUUCAGUUGUGAAUUUUUUGUCACCACCAUAAUAUGUUAGUGUGUAAAACGAGUCAAUUUGUUUCUUUGAAGUACUUCUUGUUUCUUUUGUUUAUGUGGACAUUUUUCAGUAAAGGCAUGAAACUCAAGAAUCAGAAAGAUUCUAGUUCCUAUUCUAUAUAACUAAGCAUGUCAUAUUAUAUGAAAUCAUAAAAAUAUUGGAUUGAUGAGCCAUUUAAUAUUACAAUCUUGUUAUUUUCUUCUAGACUUGUAAGUGAUAGUUUUUAGGCUCAAUUAUCGCCAAAAACAAAUUUGAACUACAUUAUUGAUAAUCUAUUAUGAGGCUUAAUCUACUUCUCCACACUCUUAAUGUAAAUGAUAUCGUUUUUUCUAAUAAUAAUAAUAAUGGAUUGAGGUUUGAAAUUUCAUCAUUACAAAUGGACCCCAAUUUAUGACUUUCUUUAGUCUAUUAGCAUUAUAUUAAUAGACAUUUAUGCUGGGUGUGGAGACGUCCAGCGGUGGGUGUACAAAUGAUGACGGGUUAUAAUGAUAAAUCAAAUCAUUAGCCAAUUAAGGAAGACGCAUAGAGGCCACAGGGGUAUUUGCCCAAAUAUUCCUGUGGCCUCUUUGUGCCUUUGCUUUUUGAAUUAAACAUAAUUAAUGUUAACUUGAUAAUAAUUAAAAUAAUAAAUAAUAAAUCAAAUCAUCAGCCAAUUAAGGAAGACACAGAGAGGUCACAGGAGUAUUUGGGUUCAGAAGAUCUCAUCUCGGUUAUAAUAGCGCGUGGGCCCAGGGAGUGGUGGGAGAGAGAACAUGUGUUGGAAAUCAAAUGAAAGACACAACACAAGCUUUAGUAUAGCACUAGCUACUAGGGCACAAAAGUAGAGGAAAAGAGAAGGUCAGGAACCUAUAAUUUGUGAAGGACCUAGCUAGCAUUAAAAAUCAACUUUCAAUUAUUAAGGCCAGCUGUAACAUAUUGACCAUUAUUGGGUCUUUGUUUUUAUUUCCUCAUUCCAAAUUAACCCCAAUUUAUAACUUUUUUAGUCUAUUAGCAUUAUAUCAUCAACAUAAAUGGACAUUAUGAUAUCUCAUCGUCCACUUUACUUUUAGGUCCUAUUGGUAACUAGAACUGUAUUAACUAUGUCACUCGAAUAAGAUAAUUUGUACAUUAAAUAAUAUUGAUUAAAUUAAUCGGAUGUUUGAUGUAGAAUCUAAUUAAAAACCCAGUUAUGCAUUAUAUUUUAUGAAAGAUAAUGUCAAAAAUUGUAAAUAAAAUGAAAAGAAAGGAAGAAAAAAAAUCGAUAGAAUAAUCCAAAAAGGGGCACUUCCCUUUCUUUGUGGUUAAUCUUCUGCAAACAAUCCGUUGUCAUUGAUCUUCUGGAAAAGGGAUAUUCUCCGGAUCAUUGCCUCUUAAUCCAUUAAAUUCAUUAAUCUGGACUUUUGAAAUUUGAUACAACGGCUAAAAUUAUAAUUUUUAAUAGGGUCUCCUGUUUUUAGCCGUUAUAUCAAAUUUUAAAUGCCCGAAUUGAUUGAUUUAGUGGAUUAGGAGGAAGACAUCCGGAGAUGAUCCAUUUUCAAUAUUCUGCACACAACCCAGAAAAGUUAUGGGUGUGGAUUCGUGGCAAAUCGAGGCACCAUGAAGGUGCGGAAUAAAGCGCAAAUUGUGAGAUUCCGCUCCAGAUUCCAGCAAAAAGGCGACUUGCAGGUCGUCGGGUUUCAGAUCCUCUCAAGAAAAUCGAUUAAUUGAAUUUACAUCGUGGUGGAUGGUCGCAACCACAUAAAUUGAGCCAAGAAGCUUCAUAUUCCAACCCAAAUUAAUUUCACAGAAUUUAAAUUCUAGGGUUCAAAACCUUAAUUUUGAAAGGAAUUGUAACUUCACCAAAAAUUUAAAGUGGAACAUAAAGAAGAAGAAGAAAUCUUGACGAAGAUGACAGCUGAACGACGGCAAUGGGAAUUAGUCUUGUGCACGAUGCGAGAGAAAGGGACGCAACAUGAGAGAACGGGAGAACACAAUGUGAUUUUCCUACUAAUUAAGUACCGGUUUGGUACUUAUGUGCUUUUAUGAAAAGUGGAUAUACAAAAAAAGUUGAGCUCAAAAAGGUAUUUGGUAAACACUUAAAAAUAGCUUAUUUUCACAAUUUUGGAUGGAAAAAAAGCUGCAAACGUGAAGCAGCAUAAAUGUUGAAUUAUAUGUUGAAUGUUGAAUUAUGAUUUCUUGUUAAACGGUGGAUUAUAUGUUUAAGAUAAAGUUUAUAAAAAAUUAUUUUUAAAAUAAAGUAUAUUUAGUAAUUCACCUUUAUUUGUUAAGAAAAUUAAAUUAAUGACACAUCUAGUAUUAUACAAUUUUUUGUCAUUUCACACAGUCACAGCUGUUUUACAUAAAAGUUUACCAAACAUUAUAAUACCGUUUUUUUUCUUUUCCAAAAACACUUUUACAAAAAAGUUUACCAAACAUUCUACUGCUUUAUUUCACAGCUACUUAUUCUCACAGCACCGUAAAAACAGUUUUUUUUUUCAAAACACAGCAAUACCUAACCAUCCCUUAUAAUACAAAGGUUUUGGGUUGGAUAAUUUAGUAGGUGCACCAUAUAAGGAUGUGGGUCCAGUUUAAUUAAUUCGGGUACUAUUUAGUGUAAAAUUACACUAAACACUUGGGUUCAUACUAUUUAUCCUAUCUGGUUGGUUAUACGGUUUGUCAAACGAGACCUUAGUGUAUAAUGUUGCUUCACUGAUAAUCUUCUAACGGUUACAUAGUUUUAACAAUAUUCAAACUUACAUCAAAUCAAUCUUAACCUUUCAUCUUACAUCUUAUGAGAUGAAGACAUUUAACAAAAUAGUCGCACUUGGUGCGAUGGCAAGUGCCUUCGCCCAUGAGCGGUAGGUCUCGGGUUCGAGACUUGGGAGCAGCCUCUCCAUAAAUGGGGGUAAGGCUAGCCGACAUUCACCUCUCCCAGACCCUGCGUAAAGCGGGAGCCUUGUGCACUAGGUACGACCUUUUUUUAUUAUUAUUUGUUUUUUUCCUCAACCCUCAAUUUUUGAAACUAGAAAUUAAAGGAAAUCUAAUUUUCUCAGCUGAAAGAAGGUGUCAGAAACGUGCAGUGCUGGGUGUAUAAAUUCGCACUGAAGAUACAAAUAAAAUUAGACUGAUUGCUUCUAUUUGGAAGUGCUGGGUGUAGAAAGGUAGAGCGGUGGGUGUACAAAUGAUGACCGGUUAUAAUAGCGGGCCCAAGGGGUGUGGAAGAGAGAACAUGUAUUGGAAAUCAAAUGAAAAACGACACAACACAAGCAGAGCACUAGCUAUUUGUGAAGGACCCGGCUGGCAUUAAAAAUCAACUUUCAAUUAUUAAGGCCAGCUGUACAUAUUGACCAUUCUUAGGUCUUUGUUUUUAUUUUAUACAUUGAAUGAUGUGUGAGUGGUUGGAUGAGAGAUGGGCAUGUAAAGACUAGCAGGAGGAGCCAUCUUUCAUUACGCAAAAUCAAUUUCUUAGUUACAACUUUAUAUUUUAAUUUACUUCACUUGGGUUUUUGCUUGUUCUGAAUACAAGAAAUGGCAGAAGGAGUUCUCUUUAAUAUUGUAGAACGGAUCAUUGUAAGGCUUGGCAACCGUGCUUUCCAAGAGAUUGGGUCGAUUUGGGGUGUCCAAGAUGAGCUCAACAAGCUCAAGGAGACAGUUGUCGGAUUCCAAGCUGUUCUUCUAGACGCUGAGCAAAAGCAAGCCAACAACAGUGAAGUCAAACUAUGGCUCGAAAGCGUAGAAGAUGCAGUUUAUGAAGCCGAUGAUGUGCUGGAUGAGUUUAAUACUGAAGUUCAGCGGAGACUAGUGAUGCAUGGCAAUACUAAGCUGUCAAAGAAGGUAUGCCUCUUUUUUCUUUAGCUCAAAUGAAUUUGCUUUCUGACGAAAGAUGAAUCAUUAAAUAAAAUAUAUUAACAAGAUGAUUCGAGAGGUUGCACCUUGUAGAACAUUUUCGUAGUCACGUAAGCUUAUCGAUAUUAACCUAUUAGGAGCACAAUAGGUCUCUCAAUAACUUAUAUUUAACUGCAAUAAAUCUUCUACAUUAUUGUUUUGAAUGUUUCGUAUAACUUACCGUUACAAAACUCUAUUAACUUAUUAACACAGUUCUAUCGAAAAAAUGAUUGUGUCUACUCAAACUCUUACAGGUGCGUCUUUUCUUUUUCUAGCUCAAAUCAACUUGUUUUGGGUUAAAGAUGAGUCAUAAGAUAAAAGAUAUCAACAAGAGGCUUAGUGAGAUUGAAUCCCGUAGACCCAAGGACUUAAACAAUAAUCGUGAAGAUACAAGAUUAAUAUUGAGAGAGAGGGUUACUCACUCAUUUGUCCCUAAGGAAAAUAUUAUAGGGAGAGAUGAAGAUAAAAAGGCACUUAUCCAACUUUUGUUGGAUCCCAUCUCAACUGAGAAUGUUUCAACCGUUUCCAUAGUUGGAAUUGGAGGAUUGGGGAAAAGUGCCCUUGCCCAACUCAUAUUCAAUGAUGAGGUGAUUCAAAAGCAUUUUGAGUUGAAAAUAUGGAUAUGUGUCUCUAAUAUAUUUGAGUUGGAUAUAUUGGCAAAGAAAAUCCUAAAAGCUGACAAGCUUGAUAAAAAGGAGCGUGAUAAGGUGGACCAGCUUGAUAUGGAUCAGCUGCAAAAUGAUCUUAGAAAAAAAGUAAAUGGGAAGAAAUACCUACUUGUGUUGGAUGAUGUGUGGAAUGAGGAUCCACAUAAGUGGCUUAGCUUGAUGGACUUGUUAAGGGGUGGUGGAGAAGGUAGUAGAAUAUUAAUAACCACACGUACUGAAAUCGUUGCGAUGACAUCACACACAACUAAACAGUACGCCUUAAGGGGUUUGAAUGAAGAGCAAAGCUAGUCUUUAUUUAAGAAAAUGGCUUUUAAAGAUGGAGAAGAACCAGAGAAUUCAACAAUUAAGGCAGUUGGGAUGGAGGUUGUAAGAAAAUGUCAGGGAGUUCCACUCGCUCUAAGGACGAUAGGUGGGAUGUUGCGCACCAAACAUCAUGAAAUAGAAUGGCUUAAUUUCAAAGAAAGGAAACUUUCAAAAAUAAGUCAAAAAGAAGAUGAUAUUUUACCAACACUUAAACUAAGUUAUGAUGUGCUCCCAUCACAUUUGAAGCAUUGUUUUGCUUAUUGUAGCUUGUUCCCACCUGAUUAUGAUAUCUCUGUACCAAGAUUGAUUAGACUUUGGGUGGCCCAAGGGUUCGUUAAGUCAUCCGACGAAAUCGAGUGUUUGGAGGAUGUUGCGUUUGAAUAUUAUAGGGAAUUGUUGUGCAGAUCGUUUUUUCAAGAAGAAAAAACAAAUGAGUUUGGUAUAAUAGAAAGUUGUAAAAUGCACGAUCUCAUGAAUGAACUUGCAAUCUUAGUGUCGGGUGUCAGGAGCGUCGUAGUUGAUCUGAACCGAAAGAACUUUCAUGAAAAGCUUCGUCACGUAUCUUUCGUCACGUAUCUUUCAAUUUUGAUAUUGAUUUGUUGAAAUGGGAAGUGCCAACUUCCUUGGUAAAAGCAUGCAAGAUACGAACUUAUCUUUUUCUUUGCCAAGAGGUUUUGAAAGAUUACGAUGAGUCAUUAUGUGAUUCAUUUUGUACCACAAUUGUUUCAAAUUUUAAGUCAUUACGGAUGUUGAGUCUCAAUACAAUAUAUAUUAUAAGAUUGCCUAAUUGUUUUAAAAAAAUGAAACAUUUGAGAUAUCUUGAUCUUAGUGGGAAUCUCAUGAUGGAGAGACUUCCAGAUUGGAUAGUUGGACUUUCGAAUUUGGAAACACUAGAUCUCAGUCAGUGUCUUAGUCUUGUGGAAUUGCCUAGAGACAUUAAAAAAAUGAUCAACUUAAGGCAUCUCAUCUUGGAAGAUUGUAUUGGGUUGAGUGGAAUGCCACGUGGAAUUGGUGAAUUGAAAGGUGUUCGUACAUUGAAUAGAUUUGUUUUGAGUGAAAGCAAUUGUUUGGGGAGGGGCGGUAGUGCUGGUCUUGCUGAGCUGGCCACCCUUAACGAAUUAAGGGGAGACUUGGUUAUUUUUGAUAAUUUGAGGCACGAGAAAGAUGUGGUGUCAGAAUCAAAUGUUGGUACACCUCUCAAGGACAAACAGCAUCUCCAUUCGUUGGAAUUGUGGUGGAAAUUUGGAGAAGAUGUAAAGGCAGUUGAUGAGGUGGAUAUUAUAAAGUCAAUGGAAGUAUUGCAACCCCAUUCUAAUCUAAAGCAGUUGUCCGUGUGGUAUUAUGGUGGUGUGAGGUUUGCGAGUUGGUUUUCUUCUCUCAUUAAUAUUGUUAAUCUCGCAUUCUGGAAUUGUAAGAGAUGCCAACAUCUUCCACCCUUGGAUCAUUUGCCUUCCCUUAAGAAACUUCAACUUGGAUAUUUGGAGAAGUUGGAGUACAUAUCAGAGAAAGAGAGCAGUAAUAGUAUGAGUGAUGAGAUGAUGAGGAUCUCAUUCUUUCCCUCCCUGGAGACACUCUGCCUAGUAGGUUGCCCUGUUCUGAAGGGAUGGUGGAGGGCGCACACUCCUAAUCUAACUUCCAUCCCUCUUUGUCCAAAUGUGGAGAGAAUACAAGUCUGUAAGAGCAGCUGGAAGGUUGUUGAUUCCUUGUUUUUUAGAGGAGCAUCUGAUAUUACACAUGAUGUUGGUGUUGAUGUUUCUGCCUCUUCUUCUUCCCCUCCUCUCUCCAAAUUAACACAUCUGUCACUUGAGGAAAUUGAGGAUUUGGCUUCACUGCCAGAAUGGAUUCGUGGACUCCCCUGUUUAAAUACAUUGCAAAUUUCUGGUUGCCCCAAGUUAUGGGAAAGAUGCGGCAAAGAAACAGGUGAGGACUGGCCUAAGAUUGCUCACAUCCCACACAUUACUAUUUGGGAUUAAGGUGCGUUUUCUAACUUGUUUCAAUUCACACUAGCCUAAUUCAAUAUAAACUAUGAAAUAUUCAAAUGCCAAUCUCAUUUCUUAAUUUUAUUCUUCAUUCAUCAUCACCGUAAUUUUUAUUUUCUUUUCAAAUGACAAACCAUAUGAACCAGAGAUUUUGGAUUCAGUGAAUGGAGGAGCAUCAACCUUUUGGAUUCAAUAUGUGAUGACCAUGUUAACUACUUGGAGUGGUUGUAUAUGAUUUUGUUUUUGAUCCUCGGGGUUUAGGUACUAUGUCCCUCCCGUUGUAUGUUUUUUCUUCAAGUAAUAUAAUAUGGGCGUGAGAGCCUAGCCCCCCAGCUUCGACUGGGUUCCAGCCCUCUUUAUAUAUUUCUUUUUAAUAUACGUUGAUGCUUUGGAAGCGAAACAACUUUUGUCACGUUAUAACAUAUAAGUCAGCAUAAUUAUACACAACAAUGGUAAAAAGAAUUACAUCUAUUAAUUGUCAAUGCACUGGAGUAACCAAAUAUUCUAAGACCAAAGGAACUCCAAAAUCUACUCUAGAUACGGCUCGGGACACAAAUAUCUCCUUCAAAACCCGAAAUUAAUCACAAUAAACGCUACAUUCUCAGUAAAGCAAACAAACUGAUUAUGUUUUGUUUAGUCAAAAGGAAAUUCAUGAGAACCAUUACAAAAAUAUGUGUUGUUUUUUCCAAGUCCUCUCUCUAGAAACAACUCAGACAACUCUUAGUUUCUUUGUUUUCUUUUCCUCGAUUUCCUUAGCAAUCAAAUGGUCUCCAUAAGUAAAAACAAAUUCUUCUAACGUACCGAAUGUUUACUAAUAUUUUUCUUUUCUUUCCAUUUUUUCAGCUACCCAAUUGAACUGGUCUCUUAAGUUUUCUUAAUUUGCAAUCAAAAUCUAUUUGUUUCUUAAGUUUUCUUCAAAAAUUGUACUUAUAUGUAAUCAGAAUACUUUGAUUUCUUUAGUUUUCAUUUCCAUCUUCUAUCCCGCAUAUCUAAGUUCCUUAUUAACCCACACCAGUUCAUACUUAUAAUAUGUUAUACGUUUAUUUUUAAAAAGUUGAAGAUGCUCGUAUUGCCAACUAAAAAGGAAAAGUACGGACCUUGAUAUUCACACAGAGAUCUUCCAUGUAGUCUUUGGUAUCUACGAAAACAAACUUAUCAACAUAUCAGUCAAAGGAAAAUUAUUACAACCUCUGCAAAAUCAAAAGAUGAUACGGAUGUCAAGCGACCCCUUAAGUUAAAGGCCCUAGUGUUAAAGAAAACUGUUAGCAUCUAUUAUUGUAAAUACCUGCCAAGAAAAGAUGAAAAUAAAAUAUUAGGCAUAUGAGUGUAAGCUUACAGAACCUUAGUUUUUGUACACUUUCUUCUCCCUUCAAUGACAGUUUGUUUCUUAUCCGGAAAAAUAAAGUGAGCAGGUUAAUGAUACUCACAUGUGCAAAAUGCUAAUCCUAUGGUCUAAAGCUAACUGACUUUUUAAGUGUAAAAUCCCUAAUUUCACUGCAUUUGGAUUGAUCACAGUUCAUGACUUGUUAAACUUGAUCUCCUUGGGCAUUUUGGGAACUUGACAGCUUAUAUUUUCUUUAGUCACAGAUGUGCCCAUAAAAGCAAAUUACAGCGACCCAAUGUCUACUAAAAACUUGGAGAAGGAACUCAAUUAGUCAACGAACAAGUGCCUCACACUUUCAUAUUAAAGACCAAAGAGAGAAAACCAAGCCGAACUCUUUGAAAUUCGUUGGCACACAUGCGUCAUUGGCUUAAUUGAAUGUAUAAUGCAUACUUAGAUACAAUGAUUCGAACAAUUGUCAUAGAUUGACAUAAGCCUCCAAACUUCAAAAAUUGAUACCUUAAGAAAGCAGAACCUGUUUUCCUUCAUAUUUGUGCUCUUUUGAUUAGCCUAUCUCGCGAUCACUUGAUUCAUUCUAAUCACUAUGAAAACAGCUUAAGAACAGUUGAUAAUCUCUAAAACAAAGAGGGAAAACAUAGAAAUACUAUCUGUACUCAAAUGAGUUCAUUUUGUGUUCAAAUUCUAAGUAAUUAAUAAUAAGAAGGAUACCAAGAAUAUUAUUUACCCAAAUCUUGUAAUUAAUACUAAGAAAAAUACCAUGAAUUCCAUUUUGGGAAGCUGCUUUUAGCUUAGUAGCUCCAUUUGAGAAUGCAAAUAUGGCAUACCAGUCGAGGGUCCAACCCAAAGGAAGUGAAAGCCUUUUUUACAGUUCAACAUACGCUCCUCUGGUGAAAACAUGUCCCACAAUGCAGCAAAAAAUAGAGUCAAAGGAAUAAUAGUUGGUUUCCAUUUAGAACCUCAAAACCCCACUUCAGUCCUUCUCUUAGUGGAGAAAACAGCAUCUCUGGUGAAAGUGAAUUCGAACUCGGCAUCCAUUCCUCCAUCAUACAUAGAAGCAACCACAUCCUGAAAGUAAGUCCCCUGACGAACUUCCCAUCCAUCCACUGACUCCGGAGUCUUGAACUUUACAAUUGUAAGUUUGCUCUUGCAACUCUUUCCUGCUCGUAAUUGCACCAUUUUGUUGUUAUAGUCCUGCAAUGCAAACAGUCAAAAGCUUCACAUAUGCAACUCUCAACAACAACAACAACAACAACAAAGCCUUUUCCCACUAAGUGGGGUCGGCUAUAUGAAUCCUAGAACGCAAUUGCGCUCGGUUUUGUGUCAUGUCCUCCGUUAGAUCCAAGUACUCUAAGUCUUUUCUUAGAGUCUCUUCCAAAGUUUUCCUAGGUCUUCCUCUACCCCUUCGGCCCUGAACCUCUGUCCCGUAGUCACAUCUUCGAACCGGAGCGUCAGUCGGCCUUCUUUGCACAUGUCCAAAUCACCGGAGCCGAUUUUCUCUCAUCUUUCCUACAAUUUCGUCUACUCCGACUUUACCUCGGAUAUCCUCAUUCCCAAUCUUAUCCUUUCUCGUGUGCCCACACAUCCCACGAAGCAUCCUCAUCUCCGCUACACCCAUUUUGUGUACGUGUUGAUGCUUCACCGCCCAACAUUCUGUGCCAUACAACAUCGCUGGCCUUAUUGCCGUCCUAUAAAAUUUUCCCUUGAGCUUCAGUGGCCUACGACGGUCACACAACACGCCGGAUGCACUCUUACACUUCAUCCAUCCAGCUCGUAUUCUAUGGUUGAGAUCUCCAUCUAAUUCUCCGUUCUCUUGCAAGAUAGAUCCUAGGUAGCGAAAACGGUCGCUUUUUGUGAUCUUCGCUAGAUUGCUCCUUUUUUUCAUUAGUGUGGAUAAGUAUAUAAAUGGAUAGAGAUAUAGGAAAGCAAACACAAGAUGUACGUGGUUCACCCAGAUUGGCUACGUCCACGGAAUAGAAGAGUUCUCAUUAAUUGUGAAGGGUUUACACAAGUACAUAGGUUCAAGCUCUCCUUUAGUGAGUACAAGUGAAUGAUUUAGUACAAAUGACAUUAGGAAAUAUUGUGGGAGAAUGAUCUCGUAAUCACGAAACUUCUAAGUAUCGGAGUGUGGUGUCGUCUUGACUUGCCUUAUCUGUCUCAUAGGUAGCAUCUUCUCUGGAAGUACUCUUCCUCCAUCCAGGGGUGGUAUCUUUAAUUGGUGGAGAUGCACAAGGUAAUGUAUCAAUUUCACUUGAAGCUUACUUGUAGUUUCAGGCUUGGUCAAGCGCGAUACAAACCAUGUAGUAGGAGUCCCCCAAGUCGCCGAGCUAGGGGGUCUGCUGAAAGAGGUGACAGACAAGGUAAGCAAUCAGAGCUCCGACUGAUUGUUCACCUUCUCCCCAUCUUGCAGCAGCAUGAAGGAUAAAGAGAAGAAAAAUGAGAAGAGAUGAUAUGAGAUACUUUUGCUUUUGAAGAAGUAACUUUCCACAGGCUUAUUCUUGAACUGAGCUGGAGGGUUUUCUGGUUUCCUCCAGAGUAUAAGGUCGACUGAAGAAUUUGAGGGUCAAAACAAGUCCAUCAAAUCUAGAGUACGUUCCACCCUGCUGAUAUGGGAUACUUUUGCUUUUGACAAAGUAAUGGAUGUAUCGGCAUGUGUGCUGUUACGCUUGUCUCCACAUGCUUCCUUGUAUCCUUCGCACUUGCCCUAUCUGUUCCUCAAGUAGAUGCAGAAUCUUCCCUGGAAACAUAAGAUGUUGAAGAUGAGUACUCGAGAGCAAUGCCAGGUAAGUAAUCAGGUAAGGGGUUUCAGGCAGUCAGUUCCUGGCUGGAAUCUUGAUUCCAAGUGCUGACUGAUUGCUCUCUUUCUCCUUGUCUUGCAGGUAAAAACAAGGCCAAAAGAAAAGACAGGGAAAAAGCAUGAUAUGGGAUACUCUUGCUUUUAACCCUGAUGAUAUGAGAUAUUCUUGCUCUAGUAUAGCUUGUUUGCAGAGGUAUUAUCGGGGGGAAAGAAAGCUGAAUAUUUCGAAAGGCUUCGUUGGGAGUGCCCUCUCAGAUAUGAUGAUGAAGGGUUGAACAUUUUUGCAGGUCUGCCUGUCCGUUGGGAUGGAGGUCGACAUAUAUAUAGGAGUCUCCCUAACAACAAGUAGUAAUGCUAUUCCUUUACCCUGCUUGGUCAUAGCACCGUAGUGGGAGCUGCCAGUUUCACAUGUUUUAACUCUGUCAGAGCACUUUGAAAAAGUGGUCUGUGGUAUAUGGCUCUCGAGAUUCGGAGAACGAUGCUCUCUUCGAUUUUUGAGAAAGCAAUCAUGCUGGGGGUCUGGCUCUCGAGAUUCGGAGAGCAGUGUCUCUUCGAUUUUUGAGGAAGUAAUCAUGUUGGGAGUCUGGCUCUCGAGAUUCGGAGGGCGGUGCCUCUUCGAUUUUGGAGCAAGCAAUCUUGUUGGGAGUGUUGUCUCGAAUGUGAGUAAAGGUUGGGCAUGUUUGCUAGUCUACCUUGCCACGAAGCACAAAGGUUGACACACAGGGACUUUCCAAUUAUCCAGCAAUGGUACUGUUCCUUUACCCUCUCUUCGAUUUUGAGAAAGUAGUCAUGUUGGGAGUCUGGCUCUCGAGAUUCAGAGGACGGUGCCUCUUCGAUAUCCAGCAGUGGUACUGUUCCUUUACCCUUGUGGGUAAUAAUAUGGUAGCUAGACCUUCAAAAAUUUAUGUGUCCAAACUUUGUUAGUGCUGUUUCUUUGCUAUUCUUUUACCUUUCUUGGUCAGAGCGAUGUAGUGGGAGCUGCAAGCUUCACGUGCUCAACUUUGGCAGAGAAACUUUGGCAAAGUCAUCUGUGGUACCCAUGAGCUAUUGUUGCGUGUGGGAAGUGGAUGAUUGAACAGUAAGAUUCAUGUGCUUUCUACUUCACCAGAAGUCUUCGACAGAAUGCCCAUAAUUUCUGCAAAGCUGAGUGUUCGUGUGACAGGUGCUGACAAGGCUAGAAAAGUAGGUGCCUCUUCGAUUUCUGAGAUCGGCCCUCGUGGUCUCUGAGCAGCCCAACUUUUGAGAAAGCGAGCGCCUCUUCGAUUGAUUCGGAGAACAAUGCCUCAUCGAUUUUUGAGAAAGCAAUCAUGCUGUGGGUCUGGCUCUCGAGAUUCGGGGAGCAGUGUCUCUUCGAUUUUUGAUAAAGUAAUCAUGUUGGGAGUCUGGCUCUCGAGAUUCGGAGGGCGGUGCCUCUUCGAUUUUGGAGCAAGCAAUCUUGUUGGGAGUGUUUUCUCGAAUGUGAGUAAAGGUUGGGCAUGUUUGCUAGUCUACCUUGCCACGAAGCACAGAGGUUGCCACACAGGGACUUUCCAAUUAUCCAGCAAUGGUACUGUUCCUUUACCCUCUCUUCGAUUUUUAAGAAAGUAGUCAUGUUGGGAGUCUGGCUCUCGAGAUUCGGAGGACGGUGCCUCUUCGAUUUUGGAGCAAGCAAUCUUAUUGGGAGUGUUUUCUCAAAUGUGAGUAAAGGUUGGGCAUGUUUGCUAGUCUACCUUGCCACGAAGCACAGAGGUUGACACACAGGGACUUUCCAAUUAUCCAGCAGUGGUACUGUUCCUUUACCCUUGUGGGUAAUAAUAUGGUAGCUAGACCUUCAAAAUUUAUGGGUCUAAACUUUGUUAGUGCUGUUUCUUUGCUAUUCUUUUACCCUUCUUGGUCAGAGCGAUGUAGUGGGAGCUGCAAGCUUCACGUGCUCAACUUUGGCAGAGAACUUUGGCAAAGUUAUCUGUGGUACCCAUGAGCUAUUGUUGCGUGUGGGAAGUGGGUGAUUGAACAGUAAGAUUCAUGUGUUUUCUACUUCCCCAGAAGUCUUCGACAGAAUGCCCAUAAUUUCCGCAAAGCUGAGUGUGCGUGUGACAGGUGCUGACAAGGCUAGAAAAGUAGGUGCCUCUUCGAUUUCUGAGAUCGGCCCUCGUGGUCUCUGGGGAGCCCAGCUUUUGAGAAAGCGAGCGCCUCUUCGAUUUCUGAGAUCGGCCUUCGUGGUCUUUGAGCAGCCCAACUUUUGAGAAAGCAAACGCCUCUUCGAUUUCUGAGAUCAACCCUUGUGAUCUCUAAGCAGCCCAGCUUUUGAGAAAGCAAACGCCUCUUCGAUUUCUGAGCAUGCGCCUCUUCGAUUUCUGAAGCUCUGUCGAGUGCAGAUUUUUAUAGGGGCUGGCAUUAAAUUCCAAAGCACACUUGAAUCUCCACCAGUAGAAGCUUCAUUCUUGCACUUCUAAGAUUUUGAUUUGUCCGACCUCUUCUCUCUUCAACACCUUUGAAAAUGUCUGGCCCCUCCGACCGUCGUUUUGACUUGAACCUUGUUGAAGAGGCAGCCCCGCCUUCUCCAGACAACAUAUGGCGCCCAUCCUUCGUCUCCCCUACUGGUCCUCUUACCGUUGGGGAUUCCGUGAUGAAGAAUGAUAUGACCGCUGCGGUGGUGGCCAGGAACCUUCUCACUCCCAAAGAUAACAGACUACUUUCCAAACGGUCUGAUGAGUUAGCUGUUAAGGAUUCGCUGGCUCUCAGUGUUCAGUGUGCAGGUUCUGUGUCUAAUAUGGCCCAACGUCUAUUUGCUCGAACCCGCCAAGUUGAAUCAUUGGCGGCUGAAGUGAUGAGUCUCAAACAGGAGAUUAGAGGGCUCAAGCAUGAGAAUAAACAGUUGCACCGGCUCGCACAUGACUAUGCUACAAACAUGAAGAGAAAGCUUGACCAGAUGAAGGAAACUGAUGGUCAGGUUUUACUUGAUCAUCAGAGAUUUGUGGGUUUGUUCCAAAGGCAUUUAUUGCCUUCGUCUUCUGGGGCUGUACCGCGUAAUGAAGCUCCAAAUGAUCAACCUCUGAUGCCUCCUCCUUCUAGGGUUCUGUCCAGUACUGAGGCUCCAAAUGAUCCCCCUCCGGUGCCUUCUCUUUUCUGGGGCUCUACGGACUGCUGAGACUUCUCCUAAGCAACCUUUGUGAAGGCUCCCUCUUGUGUGUUUAUUUUGACUCAUGUAUAUGUAUAUAUUUGUAGCUUAUCGGGGAUAUCAAUAAAUAAGCUUUCCUUCAUUUCAACGUAUUGUGUUAAAUACACCAAAGCCUUCUUCGCUAAGUUCUUUGAAUUUUCUUUUGUUGAAGCUUGUAUGUUGAAGCUUUCUGAGUGGAGCAUGUAGGUUGGGGUAGUGUUCCCUUAAUUUCCCGAGUGAAGAAAACUUCUCGGUUGGAGACUUGGAAAAUCCAAGUCACUGAGUGGGAUCGGCUAUAUAAAUCUUAGAACGCCAUUGUGCUCGAUCCUGUGUCAUGUCCUUCGUUAGAUCCAAGUACUCUAAGUCUUUUCUUAGAGUCUCUUCCAAAGUUUUCCUAGGUCUUCCUCUACCCCUUCGGCCCUGAACCUCUGUCCCAUAGUCACAUCUUCUAAUCGGAGCGUCAGUAGGCCUUCUUUGCACAUGUCCAAACCACCGUAACCGAUUUUCUCUCAUCUUUCCUUCAAUUUCGGCUACUCCUACUUUACCCCGGAUAUCCUCAUUCCUAAUCUUAUCCUUUCUCGUGUGCCCACACAUCCAACGAAGCAUCCUCAUCUCCGCUACACCCAUUUUGUGUACGUGUUGAUGUUUCACCGCCCAACAUUCUGUGCCAUACAGCAUCGCCGGCCUUAUUGCCGUCCUAUAAAAUUUUCCCAUGAGCUUCAGUGGCAUACGGCGGUCACACAACACACCGGAUGCACUCUUCCACUUCAUCCAUCCAACUUGUAUUCUAUGGUUGAGAUCUCCAUCUAAUUCUCCGUUCUUUUGCAAGAUAGAUCCUAGGUAACGAAAACGGUCGCUCUUUGGUAUUUCUUGAUCUCCGAUCCUCACCCCUAACUCGUUUUGGCCUCUAUUUGCACUGAACUUGCACUCCAUAUAUUCUGUCUUUGAUCGGCUUAGGCAAAGACCUUUAGAUUCCAACACUUCUCUCCAAAGGUUAAGCUUUGCAUUUACCCCUUCCUGAGUUUCAUCUAUCAACACUAUAUCGUCUGCGAAAAGCAUACACCAAGGAAUAUCAUCUUGAAUAUAUCCUGUUAACUCAUCCAUUACCAACGCAAAAAGGUAAGGACUUAAGGAUGAGCCUUGAUGUAAUCCUACAGUUAUGGGAAAGCUUUCGGUUUGUCCUUCAUGAGUUCUUACGGCAGUCUUUGCUCCUUCAUACAUAUCCUUUAUAGCUUAGAUAUAUGCUACUCGUACUCCUUUCUUCUCUAAAAUCCUCCAAAGAAUGUCUCUUGGGACCCUAUCAUACGCUUUUUCCAAAUCUAUAAAGACCAUGUGUAAAUCCUUUUUCCCAUCUCUAUAUCUUUCCAUCAAUCUUCGUAAGAGAUAGAUUGCCUCCAUGUUUGAGCGCCCUGGCAUGAACCCGAAUUGAUUGUCCGAAACCCGUGUCUCUUGCCUCAAUCUAUGCUCAAUGACUCUCUCCCAGAGCUUCAUUGUAUGACUCAUUAGCUUAAUACCCCUAUAGUUCAUGCAAUUUUGUACGUCGCCCUUAUUCUUGUAGAUAGGCACCAAAGUGCUCGUUCGCCACUCAUUUGGCAUCUUCUUCGUUUUCAAAAUCUUAUUGAAAAGGUCAGUGAGCCAUGUUAUACCUGUCUCUCCCAAAAGUUUCCACACUUCGAUUGGUAUAUCGUCUGGGCCUAUUGCUUUUUAUGCUUCAUCUUCUUCAAAGCUACAACCACUUCUUCCUUCCGGAUUCGACGAUAAAAAGAGUAGUUUAUACACUCUUCUGAGUUACUCAACUCCCCUAAAGAAGCACUCAUUUCAUGUCCUUCAUUGAAAAGAUUAUGAAAAUAACCUCUCCAUCUGUCUUUAACCGCGUUCUCUGUAGUAAGAACCUUUCCAUCCUCAUCCUUGAUGCACCUCACUUGGUUUAGGUCCCUUGUCUUCUUUUCCCUUGCUCUAGAUAGUUUAUAGAUAUCCAACUCUCGAAGGGUAAAAUUCAAAUCCAACAUUGAACCAACCCAUUAACUUAAAAGACAUCAAAACCGAAACAGAUUACUAAAUAUCAAAAAGGAGUAUUUCAAGGAUAUGGCGAUAAGGAUCACACCUGAAAUGCUAUAGUAAGAUUGUAGACCCCUCUUUUGAUCAACCCUGCAGAGGUCUUCCUUGAUAGUAGAGCGUGCAGUAGCACAAUAGAUAAUCUUGUUACAGCCCUGUACUGCGGUGUACAGGGUAGCAGGACCAUCCAUAUCCCCAGUCAAUGGCAAGACAUAUGAAAGAAGAUUGAAAAUGAUAACACCCACCAUUUAACCAAGUAAAAGCAGAGUUAACGCAGAGAAAACAACAAAAAAUAUCUUGCAAACCCUCGAUUUAUCGGUAAAGCACAUCAAAACCAAACAGUCAAGAAAAUAGUUUAAAACCAAUUCUAUAUUUCUAAUCAGAAGAUGUGCAAUUUUUUUUUAUUCGUCAAUUUGUGGCACUUCAUUCUCAAUAAAGAGCACUUCACAAAAUUCCAGAUCUGCUACAACAUCAAAGGUCAGACCGAAUAGGAAAACGACAUCAUUCAUUAUCCAAAUUGAAACAACAAUCCCACUAAAAUUGACUACUCAUAAGAAUCUCAUUCCACAAAACAACUGCAGGCAAAAAAAAUCCCCAAGAUACAUACUAUCAUCCAAAUCAUCCACCGCCAUUAACAAAAAGCACAACCCAUAUCUUCCUUCAGCUAAGAUUAAAGAAAAAAUUGAAACCCUAAUCAUUCUCGAACAUGCUUUUGGAAUCAGAAUAGAAAGGAAACUUGAAAUUAGAGGAUCAUGCAGAACUGGGCUGGGGAUUGGACUUGUGCUCUGAAUCGACCUCUUCCUCUUCCUCUUCAGAUUGAUCACCGAAUAGGUUCUACAUCACCUGGUGCCGCUUCUUCCUCCCCCAUCGCUGCUGCUGUGUGUUGUGGUCAGAGCCCUCAAACUACUGACAUUAAAUAGUUCAUUUCAUUAGAUCAUUGGAACUAUCACCAUAGCAUCCUGCAAAUUUCGAGAAGUGUGUGUUGAAAACAAAUCUGAAAAGGAAUGAAAACCCUGUUAACCAAACCCAUCAACAGUAACAUAAGCCUCACCAAUCGUAGCAAACAAAAUCAAUCAGACUCGGCGAAAUUCAGUCAACAAUACAAAAAAUACUCUGAAACCCAUCAGCCAAUAUACAGCACGUAGAAGCAACACAAUUUUUUUCCUUACCAAGCAAUUAAGAUGUAUUUACUUAUACACUAAGUUUUGCUAACAAUAUGUUGGAAAACUGAAUACUUACACCCCGCAUCCAAAUCCCUCUUACAUGCUUUUGGAAUGGUCUAGUCUCUCCAAUCUCUCUCAUUUUGCAAUCCAUCUCUUACUAAUUUGGCGUCAGUCUCUUGAGACUUAGAAAUCUUUCACUCAAACAUAAUCAUAUAUAUAAGGGAAUGUUUGGUAUUAUUUUUGGAUCCAAUUUAUUGUUUUGAAACUAAUGCGUAUUAAUUAAUUUAGCCACAUUUAUCAUUUAUUUAAAAAAGGACAAAAAAUCAGAUGCAAUUAAGAUUCCAAAUAGACCCUAAGUAACCUCAGCUGAGUGGUGUACAAAUCAAUGCCCAUUCUUUUCUAGUGAGCUAUGAUAAAUUCAAUUGGACAAAAAUAAGUACAUCUGUCAGUUGAUGCUCAGACUUUACAGAAGUCAAAUAAAUUAAAAUGUUGAUCAACUUCAACAUGUUUACGUCAAUCAUGUUGAACUGGAGUGUGAGUGGGAGUAUAGAAAGCCUUGUGAAGUUAACCCAAGUUUGCAUCAGUGCCAAGGCGGAACUUGACAUUUCACCAUGGCUAAAAAAACUCCUACAGAAACCUAACCGGUGCAAGAAAUUGAAUAGAAACUUCUUAUUUGCUGCUCAUUUCGGAAGGCCAGUUCGAAAAAACCUCCUAUUUUAGAUUGCAAAUUUUGUGAUGACAAAAGAUAAAGUAGAACAUAAUAAGUUUUCUGCACUCUUCUCUAUUUCCAGAAAUAGAACUUGAUACUACUGUCACGGCCACGAAAAAUUCAUCGGCACCCUACCUGAUGCAAGCAACGGACUAGGAACUUUAAUUGGGUGCUCAUUUCAGAAUGUCAGUUGGAAAACAUCCUAUUUUCUAUUCAAUCUCUUUGCCCACUGCAUUACAACACAUCAGAGUGUUUUCUUCACUGCGUAUAUAAAAAAUCUUCGGUGCUCUUAGUGAUUUCCUAUCAAUACUGGAUUCUAUAUUUGGUCAAUUCUUAAAUCUAUACUUUACUGGACCUGUUUAGUCAUUCAACAACCUCACAACUUCCAAAAAAAUUCACCAUCAUGCCAACAUGCUUGGGUGAUUAACUAGUGAACAUACAGACAGCCCUGAUUCAAAACAUUUCUCAAGAGAAAUUCAUGUUCAAAACAACUUAAAACUCCAAGCAUUAACCAAACAAAAUGAUUAGGAGGAUGAAAGAUAGAAACUUGUAACAGAGAACAAUUGCCCAAAAUAGAAAACACUUUAUUCCUCCCCAAUUUCUGAAAAUCCAGAGAAAGCGGGAUUAACUUCAGAUACAAUCCCACACUUGAAAAAGCUAAUGUGCUUCACUUUCAAUACCAAACCGCUAGUCUUGUAUGCAUGCAUGUAUACACACUACUGAAAAGAGUAAUUCUUAAUCCAGCAUGGGCAGAAUAGUACCGUUACCCUCAAACGGGCAAGGCUAAAGGGCGAGAUGCGGGUUUAGUGCAUUGUGGGUGUGUGGGUUUGUUAACUUAACCAAGUAAAACAACUACUAAUCCAGCCAUUUUUCCUACUCUAUUCCAAACUUAUUCCCAAAGUCUGCUACUAAUAGGACUCAUUACUAGUGAGGAAGAAAGAUUUAGCACUACAUGUUAAGAGCAUGAGGUACACAUCAAACGGAACACACUCAAAUCAAAAACAUAAAUUCCUAAUCAAUGUAUAAUCAUUAUUGGGAUUCGCAUUCUUCAACCAAACUAUGAACAAAAGAGCCAGGCCAAUGAACAGAAAAUAAACUUAAAUUACAACAUAAAGCAGAGUAAGUAUUUAAACAUCAACAACUUCAGACAAAAACUAUGAAGUUCCGAUUCCUCAAAUGCAUAUUCCAAAUUGCAGUACAAACACUAAGCACAAAAACCAUAGAUAAAGUAAAACAACAGACAAUGCACUUUCCCCAAAUAACUCAAUUUACCUCUGACUCUCUCAUACCGCUUUGGCCUCCCGCCUUGGCAUUCCCUCUCUCGACCUUUUUCGCCUCCGCCUUAUCUGGUUUCGCCGCCUCCCCUGAGCAACACCCACCUUCAUGAUGGUGAUGAUGGUGGUGAUGCCCAUGGCCCAUGCCCAUGCCCAUGCCCAUUCCCAUGACCAUGCACAUGCCCAUGACUAUGUCCAUGCACUUUCUUCCCCUUGAGCUCCUUCCUCAUAUCAUACGCAUCUUCCCCAUCGGCAUAUUACUUCGCCUUCACAUCAUGAAUCUUAUAUCCCAAAGUCUCAGUGUACAAAUUGAACGCUGCCCGAUUGCUCUUCCUCACAUGAAGCGACACGUACUCCGCCGCAAACACCUGUUCCCUGGCGUUCUGGGCGGCGUUCAUGAGCUUGGUGGCGAGGCCGAGUUUGCGGUAGGUGCGGAGGACGGCGAGGGAGGUAAUGUGGCCGUGGCACUCGUUACUCUCCUCCUCCAUCUUGGCCAGGACGUAGCCGACGAUGCGACCGUUGUAGUCUUCGGCGACGUAGAGGAGCUGCGGCCAUGAGAGGAUGUGAUAGAGGUAGUACUUCAUCUGGCAACUCUCAGGGAGGCAGAAAAGGUUGCAGGCUUGCAUCGCCAGGAGGUUGUCGAUUGCGGCCUUGCGUAUGCACACCAUUUGUGGUGCUCCUGGAGUUUCUAGGGUUAGGGUUUUGGUGUGGGAAUUUUGUUUUUAGGGAAGAAGAGAGGAGUGAGGUCAAAAGAAAUAUGGGGUCUUGUGGGAUUUUCAAUGGGAUUGGGCUUGGGCUGAGUUAUGGGCUUGAUGAGUUUAAUUAUGGGCUUAAAGUCCAUACCUUUCAAAAAAAUUAAAUACCGAAAAAAAUCAUUUCGUCGAUUUUUCUCUUGAACUUUUAUUUUUCUCCAUUCUUUUACCUUCAUGUACCAUCAUGUUUCUCUGUAAUUCAUCUAANNNNNNNNNNNNNNNNNNNNNNNNNNNNNNNNNNNNNNNNNNNNNNNNNNNNNNNNNNNNNNNNNNNNNNNNNNNNNNNNNNNNNNNNNNNNNNNNNNNNNNNNNNNNNNNNNNNNNNNNNNNNNNNNNNNNNNNNNNNNNNNNNNNNNNNNNNNNNNNNNNNNNNNNNNNNNNNNNNNNNNNNNNNNNNNNNNNNNNNNNNNNNNNNNNNNNNNNNNNNNNNNNNNNNNNNNNNNNNNNNNNNNNNNNNNNNNNNNNNNNNNNNNNNNNNNNNNNNNNNNNNNNNNNNNNNNNNNNNNNNNNNNNNNNNNNNNNNNNNNNNNNNNNNNNNNNNNNNNNNNNNNNNNNNNNNNNNNNNNNNNNNNNNNNNNNNNNNNNNNNNNNNNNNNNNNNNNNNNNNNNNNNNNNNNNNNNNNNNNNNNNNNNNNNNNNNNNNNNNNNNNNNNNNNNNNNNNNNNNNNNNNNNNNNNNNNNNNNNNNNNNNNNNNNNNNNNNNNNNNCACAAAAAUGUAACUAGAUUGAGUGAAUUGAUUAUGAGUGAACUGAGAAUAAGAGAUGAAGUUGUAGUGAGUUUUGGUUGGAUAAUUUGGUAUUUAUAGGAAUGAUGAGAGAACAAUAUGAGAGAGUAACUCAAAUUGAAACUAUUAAUCUUUUAACAGAAGCAAUAUGAAAAGAGAAAAAACAAAAUUGAAAACCAACAUGAGAAAGUAACCUAAAUUGAAACAGUUAUUUAAUUGGAACCGUUGAUCUUUCAAUGGUAAUAAAAUUUAAAAAGCAAGAAAUCAAUCUAGACCUUCUAUUUUAAACGGUUGAAAAAAAAUAAGGUCAUGUGACUGGGAUCCACACUUACUUUUCCACUUAAAUUGUCCUAUUAGGUCCAUCAUUUGAGUCCCUAUAGAGUCUCUAUAUGGGGGUACAUACACCAAGUAUCUGGCAAGUCCCUAUACUUUAGGGACUCACUUUCCGAUCCAUUGGAGAUUCAUUUUGUCUCUAUAUUUGUUUUAUACUCAUUUUAUACGGUGAUUGUCCCCAUAUAGGGACUCCACUGGAGAUCUCCAUAGCCUGUUUUGAAGUGCUUCUUUGAACUUUUAGAAGAAAAAAAAUUGAAAGUGCUUGCUGGAAAAGUAGUUGAAGUGCUACUUUCAAAGUGCUUUUCUUUCUAACCCAUAAGCAUGUUUAAUUGUCAUGAAGCAUUUUUGGUAUCUGAAAGUGUUUUUAGCUAUUCUAAAAGCAUUUGUAAACAGGACCGAAAUUAAUUAGGCAGGAUUCAAUUUGGUUUGUUGAAGUAGUUGCGGUGUUUGCUAGAGCCUAGAAGCAAGGACAUUUGAUUGCAAUCAUGCUGUUAUUCUUUUACAUUUGUGUUUGUGUUUGGGUUCACUAAACUGCAUCUGGAAGGUUUAAUUUCAUUGUUUCGUACUGAAAUGGUUACUUCUGUCGAAAGACACUAUCAAUAGCAACAAGUGAAACUGCUAAAGGAUGUUGCUUUCGAAUUGAAGGAAUAUAUCCCUAGCUAUGAUGUUAUUUGAGGAUUUCUUGGUUAAAUGGCCAUCCUGAAAUGUAUGAUAGUUCAAAAUGAUAGUUCAAUCAAUUGAUCUUUGCAAUGUCUGCAAACUAGGCUCUUGGAUUAUCCUACAUUUCACAUUCUUAACGUACGGUCUUUUAACUUGGUUCUUUCAGUCAAGGGACAUGUAUUUCUUGAAGAAAUUCUUGAAUUUGAAGGGAGAUGACGCUUUUAGAAUGAAUGAAGUGCUUGUGUCCAUUUGGUACAUAAUGGGUUUCUUCCAUCAUCUUGAGUGUUUCUUGUCCCCCCCCCCCAUUUUUUUCUUUUGGUUUGCGAUUCUAUUUAUUUACUCGGAAGGAUUAUAGUGGAUAGUUAUCAGUGAGUCAAAUAACUUUCUCCUUAAAAAGCUUUUGAUGUAACACAACGAAUGAUGCCUCUUGGCUUGAGCUACCUAAGAGUUCACGUCUCUUCUUAAAACCAUUGCAUGAGUGCAAUACUAAUUAGCCAAGUAGAAGGGCCAACCUGAGAGUGAGGCAAAAGCUGGGAACGGGCUUAAACUUACCAUUCGAAGACCAAGUCAGAGUCUGCUGGGAAAGCUUUUUUCGAGUAGCAUAUAUCAAAGCCAUAGAGGAUAUGUAUGAUAGAGCAAGGAUUGUCGUAAGAACCCAUGAGGAACAAACCAAAAGUUUCUCCAUAACUGUAGGGUUACAUCAAGGCUUAUCUUUAAGUCCUUACCUUUUUGCAUUGGUAAUGGAUGAGUUAACGGGACAAAUUCAAGAUGAUAUUCUUUGGUAUAUGCUUUUCGCAGAGACGAUAUAGUGUUGAUAGAUGAAAUUCAGGAAUGAGUAAAUGUGAAGUUUAACCUUUGGAGAGAAAUGUUGGAAUCCAAAGGUCUUCAGCUAAGUCGGUCAAAGACGGAGUAUAUGGAGUGCAUGUUUAGUUCAACCAGAGGCUCAAAUGAGUUAGGGAUGAGGAUUGGAGACCAGGAAGUACCAAAGAGUGACUGCUUUCGCUAUUUAGGAUCUAUCUUGCAAAAGAACGGAGAAUUAGAUGGAGACCUCAACCAUAGAAUACAAGUUGGAUGAAUGAAGUGAAAGCGUGCAUCCAGCGUGUUGUGUGUGACUAUCGUAUGCUACUGAAGCUCAAGGGAAAAUUUUAUAGGUCGGCAAUGCUUUAUGGCACGGAAUGUUAGAUGGUGAAACAUCAACACGUACAUAAAAUGGGUGUAGCGGAGAUGAGAAUGCUUCGUUGGAUGUGUGGGCACACGAGAAAUGAUAAGAUUAUGAAUGAGGAUAUCCGAGGUAAAAUAGGAGUAGCCGAAAUUAAAGGAAAGAUGAGAGAAAAUGGGUUACGGUGAUGUGGACAUGUGAAACGAAGGCCUACUGACGCUCCAGUUAAAAUAUGCGAUUACGGGAUAGAAGUUCAAGGUCGAAGAGGUAAAAGAAGACCUAGGAAGACUUGAGAAUAGACUAUAAGAAAAGACUUAGAGUACUUGGAUAUAACGGAAGAUGUGACAUAGUACCGAGCGCAAUAACGUUCUAGGAUUUAUAUAGCCGAUACCACUUAAUGGGAAAAGACUUUGUUGUUAUUGUUUGUUAUCCUAUAAUGUGCAGCUCAAGAAGCAAAGUUCCUGUCUGGCCUUUCUUGAUACUUUCAUGCUUUGGCGGGCCGUACGCUCUUCUUCCCUAUUUUGUACUGUGGAGACCACCGCCACCUCCUGUCGAUGAAAGUGAGCUCACAAGAAGGCCUCUCAACUUUCUUGGAUCCAAAUUAACUGCUUGGGAAAGAAACUUUUCACUUCCUGUUCACACUCAACUUUCUGGAAGAUACCGUUUAGCAUCAGACGGAAACAUUCAACCGAUCUUACAAUUUGAUAUUUCCUGUGUUUCUCCCUCCUUUUAUGUUGUAAACUUGUAUUUACUCAUCGAUAAAUGACGAUCAUUGAAGUGACAAUCUGAAUAUUUUCGCGUAAAUAGUUGAAACAUAGUCGUAGUAACAUUGAUUUUUCGAUAUGUUUUGUAAAAUGUAACUCCAUUACGCGUCAGAUAUCACUUGCUGCAGGACUAGGUUUAAUCGUCUCUGCGGGUCUAGCAGCUGGGGCUGACUGGAAGGAAUAUUACCAGUACUUCAAUGAGAGUAAAUUUGUAAGUUACUCAAACCAUCAACGCAUAUACUUCACAACCAUUUCUGUAGUCCCUCGCGUUCGAAACAAACGGCUAUGAUACAAUCCCACAGCAUGAAAUCUGUACUGAAGCGUACGACACUGGAACCUUGUAUAUAUAGAUCCACGCGACGAGCCUUGAUUUCACCCUGCUAUCUGCAUUUGCUCCGUUUUGGGUCUACAGCGAUAUGACUGCCCGGAAAUGGUGACUGUUUUGUUGAUGUGUACAUUUCUCUUAAGUUCAAGCUCUGAAUCCCUCUAGGGAGAGUUCAUUUGCUGCAAAAUAUUCAAACGCUUCCAUUUCUUUUCGCAGGUUCGACGAUGGUUCUUGGCUUCUGUUCUUAUCGUUGGUGCCACUCGUAGGCCCUGCUCUGUAUCUCGUCUUACGGCCAUCGCUACCAACCGAAAACGUCACUUAGCCCUACUGAGCCGAAGUAGUUACUGAAACCUCUGCAUGAACAUCAUUCGCAUGGCACCGUGACACAAGACGGGUACAGAUUAUAACUCUGCAGACAAGGAGCAUAUACCGUCAUUCAGAACUUUACUGAAGUUGCUCUUCACUGAUAUCUUCUACGUUACAUUUUAACAAUAUUCAAACUACAUCAAAUCAAUCUAACCUUUCAUCUUACAUCUAUGAGAUGAAGACAUUUAACAAAUAGUCCACUUGGUGCAUGGCAGUGCCUUCGCCAUGAGCGGUAGGUCUCGGGUUCGAGACUUGGGAGCAGCCUCUCCAUAAAUGGGGGUAAGGCUAGCCGACAUUCACCUCUCCCAGACCUGCGUAAAGCGGGAGCCUUGUGCACUAGGUACGACCUUUUUUUAUUAUUAUUUGUUUUUUUCCUCAACCCUCAAUUUUUUGAAACUAGAAAUUAAAGGAAAUCUAAUUUCCUCAGCUGAAAGAAGGUGUCAGAAACGUGCAGUGCUGGGUGUAUAAAUUCGCACUGAAGAUACAAAUAAAAUUAGACUGAUUGCUUUCUAUUUGGAAGUGCUGGGUGUAGAAAGGUAGAGCGGUGGGUGUACAAAUGAUGACCGGUUAUAAUAGCGGGCCCAAGGGGUGUGGAAGAGAGAACAUGUAUUGGAAAUCAAAUGAAAAAACGACACAACACAAGCAGAGCACUAGCUAUUUGUGAAGGACCCGGCUGGCAUUAAAAAUCAACUUUUCAAUUAUUAAGGCCAGCUGUAACAUAUUGACCAUUCUUAGGUCUUUGUUUUUAUUUUAUACAUUGAAUGAUGUGUGAGUGGUUGGAUGAGAGAUGGGCAUGUAAAGACUAGCAGGAGGAGCCAUCUUUCAUUACGCAAAAUCAAUUUCUUAGUUACAACUUUAUAUUUUAAUUUACUUCACUUGGGUUUUUGCUUGUUCUGAAUACAAGAAAUGGCAGAAGGAGUUCUCUUUAAUAUUGUAGAACGGAUCAUUGUAAGGCUUGGCAACCGUGCUUUCCAAGAGAUUGGGUCGAUUUGGGGUGUCCAAGAUGAGCUCAACAAGCUCAAGGAGACAGUUGUCGGAUUCCAAGCUGUUCUUCUAGACGCUGAGCAAAAGCAAGCCAACAACAGUGAAGUCAAACUAUGGCUCGAAAGCGUAGAAGAUGCAGUUUAUGAAGCCGAUGAUGUGCUGGAUGAGUUUAAUACUGAAGUUCAGCGGAGACUAGUGAUGCAUGGCAAUACUAAGCUGUCAAAGAAGGUAUGCCUCUUUUUUCUUUAGCUCAAAUGAAUUUGCUUUCUGACGAAAGAUGAAUCAUUAAAUAAAAUAUAUUAACAAGAUGAUUCGAGAGGUUGCACCUUGUAGAACAUUUUCGUAGUCACGUAAGCUUAUCGAUAUUAACCUAUUAGGAGCACAAUAGGUCUCUCAAUAACUUAUAUUUAACUGCAAUAAAUCUUCUACAUUAUUGUUUUGAAUGUUUCGUAUAACUUACCGUUACAAAACUCUAUUAACUUAUUAACACAGUUCUAUCGAAAAAAUGAUUGUGUCUACUCAAACUCUUACAGGUGCGUCUUUUCUUUUCUAGCUCAAAUCAACUUGUUUUUGGGUUAAAGAUGAGUCAUAAGAUAAAAGAUAUCAACAAGAGGCUUAGUGAGAUUGAAUCCCGUAGACCCAAGGACUUAAACAAUAAUCGUGAAGAUACAAGAUUAAUAUUGAGAGAGAGGGUUACUCACUCAUUUGUCCCUAAGGAAAAUAUUAUAGGGAGAGAUGAAGAUAAAAAGGCACUUAUCCAACUUUUGUUGGAUCCCAUCUCAACUGAGAAUGUUUCAACCGUUUCCAUAGUUGGAAUUGGAGGAUUGGGGAAAAGUGCCCUUGCCCAACUCAUAUUCAAUGAUGAGGUGAUUCAAAAGCAUUUUGAGUUGAAAAUAUGGAUAUGUGUCUCUAAUAUAUUUGAGUUGGAUAUAUUGGCAAAGAAAAUCCUAAAAGCUGACAAGCUUGAUAAAAAGGAGCGUGAUAAGGUGGACCAGCUUGAUAUGGAUCAGCUGCAAAAUGAUCUUAGAAAAAAAGUAAAUGGGAAGAAAUACCUACUUGUGUUGGAUGAUGUGUGGAAUGAGGAUCCACAUAAGUGGCUUAGCUUGAUGGACUUGUUAAGGGGUGGUGGAGAAGGUAGUAGAAUAUUAAUAACCACACGUACUGAAAUCGUUGCGAUGACAUCACACACACAACUAAACAGUACGCCUUAAGGGGUUUGAAUGAAGAGCAAAGCUAGUCUUUAUUUAAGAAAAAUGGCUUUUAAAGAUGGAGAAGAACCAGAGAAUUCAACAAUUAAGGCAGUUGGGAUGGAGGUUGUAAGAAAAUGUCAGGGAGUUCCACUCGCUCUAAGGACGAUAGGUGGGAUGUUGCGCACCAAACAUCAUGAAAUAGAAUGGCUUAAUUUCAAAGAAAGGAAACUUUCAAAAAUAAGUCAAAAAGAAGAUGAUAUUUUACCAACACUUAAACUAAGUUAUGAUGUGCUCCCAUCACAUUUGAAGCAUUGUUUUGCUUAUUGUAGCUUGUUCCCACCUGAUUAUGAUAUCUCUGUACCAAGAUUGAUUAGACUUUGGGUGGCCCAAGGGUUCGUUAAGUCAUCCGACGAAAUCGAGUGUUUGGAGGAUGUUGCGUUUGAAUAUUAUAGGGAAUUGUUGUGCAGAUCGUUUUUUCAAGAAGAAAAAACAAAUGAGUUUGGUAUAAUAGAAAGUUGUAAAAUGCACGAUCUCAUGAAUGAACUUGCAAUCUUAGUGUCGGGUGUCAGGAGCGUCGUAGUUGAUCUGAACCGAAAGAACUUUCAUGAAAAGCUUCGUCACGUAUCUUUCAAUUUUGAUAUUGAUUUGUUGAAAUGGGAAGUGCCAACUUCCUUGGUAAAAGCAUGCAAGAUACGAACUUAUCUUUUUCUUUGCCAAGAGGUUUUGAAAGAUUACGAUGAGUCAUUAUGUGAUUCAUUUUGUACCACAAUUGUUUCAAAUUUUAAGUCAUUACGGAUGUUGAGUCUCAAUACAAUAUAUAUUAUAAGAUUGCCUAAUUGUUUUAAAAAAAUGAAACAUUUGAGAUAUCUUGAUCUUAGUGGGAAUCUCAUGAUGGAGAGACUUCCAGAUUGGAUAGUUGGACUUUCGAAUUUGGAAACACUAGAUCUCAGUCAGUGUCUUAGUCUUGUGGAAUUGCCUAGAGACAUUAAAAAAAUGAUCAACUUAAGGCAUCUUGGAUCAUCUUGUAUGGAUUGAGAAUUGUAUUUAUUGGGUUGAGUUGGAAUGCCACGUGACGAAUGGAAUUGGUGAAUUGAAAGGUGUUCGUACAUUGAAUAGAUUUGUUUGAGUGAGUUGUUUGGGAAUUAAAGGGGCUUGUUUGGAGGGGGUAGCUGGUCUUGCUGAGCUGGCCACCCUUAACGAAUUAAGGGGAGACUUGGUUAUUUUUGAUAAUUUGAGGCACGAGAAAGAUGUGGUGUCAGAAUCAAAUGUUGGUACACCUCUCAAGGACAAACAGCAUCUCCAUUCGUUGGAAUUGUGGUGGAAAUUUGGAGAAGAUGUAAAGGCAGUUGAUGAGGUGGAUAUUAUAAAGUCAAUGGAAGUAUUGCAACCCCAUUCUAAUCUAAAGCAGUUGUCCGUGUGGUAUUAUGGUGGUGUGAGGUUUGCGAGUUGGUUUUCUUCUCUCAUUAAUAUUGUUAAUCUCGCAUUCUGGAAUUGUAAGAGAUGCCAACAUCUUCCACCCUUGGAUCAUUUGCCUUCCCUUAAGAAACUUCAACUUGGAUAUUUGGAGAAGUUGGAGUACAUAUCAGAGAAAGAGAGCAGUAAUAGUAUGAGUGAUGAGAUGAUGAGGAUCUCAUUCUUUCCCUCCCUGGAGACACUCUGCCUAGUAGGUUGCCCUGUUCUGAAGGGAUGGUGGAGGGCGCACACUCCUAAUCUAACUUCCAUCCCUCUUUGUCCAAAUGUGGAGAGAAUACAAGUCUGUAAGAGCAGCUGGAAGGUUGUUGAUUCCUUGUUUUUUAGAGGAGCAUCUGAUAUUACACAUGAUGUUGGUGUUGAUGUUUCUGCCUCUUCUUCUUCCCCUCCUCUCUCCAAAUUAACACAUCUGUCACUUGAGGAAAUUGAGGAUUUGGCUUCACUGCCAGAAUGGAUUCGUGGACUCCCCUGUUUAAAUACAUUGCAAAUUUCUGGUUGCCCCAAGUUAUGGGAAAGAUGCGGCAAAGAAACAGGUGAGGACUGGCCUAAGAUUGCUCACAUCCCACACAUUACUAUUUGGGAUUAAGGUGCGUUUUCUAACUUGUUUCAAUUCACACUAGCCUAAUUCAAUAUAAACUAUGAAAUAUUCAAAUGCCAAUCUCAUUUCUUAAUUUUAUUCUUCAUUCAUCAUCACCGUAAUUUUUAUUUUCUUUUCAAAUGACAAACCAUAUGAACCAGAGAUUUUGGAUUCAGUGAAUGGAGGAGCAUCAACCUUUUGGAUUCAAUAUGUGAUGACCAUGUUAACUACUUGGAGUGGUUGUAUAUGAUUUUGUUUUUUUGAUCCUCGGGGUUUAGGUACUAUGUCCCUCCCGUUGUAUGUUUUUUCUUCAAGUAAUAUAAUAUGGGCGUGAGAGCCUAGCCCCCCAGCUUCGACUGGGUUCCAGCCCUCUUUAUAUAUUUCUUUUUAAUAUACGUUGAUGCUUUGGAAGCGAAACAACUUUUGUCACGUUAUAACAUAUAAGUCAGCAUAAUUAUACACAACAAUGGUAAAAAGAAUUACAUCUAUUAAUUGUCAAUGCACUGGAGUAACCAAAUAUUCUAAGACCAAAGGAACUCCAAAAUCUACUCUAGAUACGGCUCGGGACACAAAUAUCUCCUUCAAAACCCGAAAUUAAUCACAAUAAACGCUACAUUCUCAGUAAAGCAAACAAACUGAUUAUGUUUUGUUUUAGUCAAAAGGAAAUUCAUGAGAACCAUUACAAAAAUAUGUGUUGUUUUUUCCAAGUCCUCUCUCUAGAAACAACUCAGACAACUCUUAGUUUCUUUGUUUUCUUUUCCUCGAUUUCCUUAGCAAUCAAAUGGUCUCCAUAAGUAAAAACAAAUUCUUCUAACGUACCGAAUGUUUACUAAUAUUUUUCUUUUCUUUCCAUUUUUUCAGCUACCCAAUUGAACUGGUCUCUUAAGUUUUCUUAAUUUGCAAUCAAAAUCUAUUUGUUUCUUAAGUUUUCUUCAAAAAUUGUACUUAUAUGUAAUCAGAAUACUUUGAUUUCUUUAGUUUUCAUUUCCAUCUUCUAUCCCGCAUAUCUAAGUUCCUUAUUAACCCACACCAGUUCAUACUUAUAAUAUGUUAUACGUUUAUUUUUAAAAAGUUGAAGAUGCUCGUAUUGCCAACUAAAAAGGAAAAGUACGGACCUUGAUAUUCACACAGAGAUCUUCCAUGUAGUCUUUGGUAUCUACGAAAACAAACUUAUCAACAUAUCAGUCAAAGGAAAAUUAUUACAACCUCUGCAAAAUCAAAAGAUGAUACGGAUGUCAAGCGACCCCUUAAGUUAAAGGCCCUAGUGUUAAAGAAAACUGUUAGCAUCUAUUAUUGUAAAUACCUGCCAAGAAAAGAUGAAAAUAAAAUAUUAGGCAUAUGAGUGUAAGCUUACAGAACCUUAGUUUUUGUACACUUUCUUCUCCCUUCAAUGACAGUUUGUUUCUUAUCCGGAAAAAUAAAGUGAGCAGGUUAAUGAUACUCACAUGUGCAAAAUGCUAAUCCUAUGGUCUAAAGCUAACUGACUUUUUAAGUGUAAAAUCCCUAAUUUCACUGCAUUUGGAUUGAUCACAGUUCAUGACUUGUUAAACUUGAUCUCCUUGGGCAUUUUGGGAACUUGACAGCUUAUAUUUUCUUUAGUCACAGAUGUGCCCAUAAAAGCAAAUUACAGCGACCCAAUGUCUACUAAAAACUUGGAGAAGGAACUCAAUUAGUCAACGAACAAGUGCCUCACACUUUCAUAUUAAAGACCAAAGAGAGAAAACCAAGCCGAACUCUUUGAAAUUCGUUGGCACACAUGCGUCAUUGGCUUAAUUGAAUGUAUAAUGCAUACUUAGAUACAAUGAUUCGAACAAUUGUCAUAGAUUGACAUAAGCCUCCAAACUUCAAAAAUUGAUACCUUAAGAAAGCAGAACCUGUUUUCCUUCAUAUUUGUGCUCUUUUGAUUAGCCUAUCUCGCGAUCACUUGAUUCAUUCUAAUCACUAUGAAAACAGCUUAAGAACAGUUGAUAAUCUCUAAAACAAAGAGGGAAAACAUAGAAAUACUAUCUGUACUCAAAUGAGUUCAUUUUGUGUUCAAAUUCUAAGUAAUUAAUAAUAAGAAGGAUACCAAGAAUAUUAUUUACCCAAAUCUUGUAAUUAAUACUAAGAAAAAUACCAUGAAUUCCAUUUUGGGAAGCUGCUUUUAGCUUAGUAGCUCCAUUUGAGAAUGCAAAUAUGGCAUACCAGUCGAGGGUCCAACCCAAAGGAAGUGAAAGCCUUUUUUACAGUUCAACAUACGCUCCUCUGGUGAAAACAUGUCCCACAAUGCAGCAAAAAAUAGAGUCAAAGGAAUAAUAGUUGGUUUCCAUUUAGAACCUCAAAACCCCACUUCAGUCCUUCUCUUAGUGGAGAAAACAGCAUCUCUGGUGAAAGUGAAUUCGAACUCGGCAUCCAUUCCUCCAUCAUACAUAGAAGCAACCACAUCCUGAAAGUAAGUCCCCUGACGAACUUCCCAUCCAUCCACUGACUCCGGAGUCUUGAACUUUACAAUUGUAAGUUUGCUCUUGCAACUCUUUCCUGCUCGUAAUUGCACCAUUUUGUUGUUAUAGUCCUGCAAUGCAAACAGUCAAAAGCUUCACAUAUGCAACUCUCAACAACAACAACAACAACAACAAAGCCUUUUCCCACUAAGUGGGGUCGGCUAUAUGAAUCCUAGAACGCAAUUGCGCUCGGUUUUGUGUCAUGUCCUCCGUUAGAUCCAAGUACUCUAAGUCUUUUCUUAGAGUCUCUUCCAAAGUUUUCCUAGGUCUUCCUCUACCCCUUCGGCCCUGAACCUCUGUCCCGUAGUCACAUCUUCGAACCGGAGCGUCAGUCGGCCUUCUUUGCACAUGUCCAAAUCACCGGAGCCGAUUUUCUCUCAUCUUUCCUACAAUUUCGUCUACUCCGACUUUACCUCGGAUAUCCUCAUUCCCAAUCUUAUCCUUUCUCGUGUGCCCACACAUCCCACGAAGCAUCCUCAUCUCCGCUACACCCAUUUUGUGUACGUGUUGAUGCUUCACCGCCCAACAUUCUGUGCCAUACAACAUCGCUGGCCUUAUUGCCGUCCUAUAAAAUUUUCCCUUGAGCUUCAGUGGCCUACGACGGUCACACAACACGCCGGAUGCACUCUUACACUUCAUCCAUCCAGCUCGUAUUCUAUGGUUGAGAUCUCCAUCUAAUUCUCCGUUCUCUUGCAAGAUAGAUCCUAGGUAGCGAAAACGGUCGCUUUUUGUGAUCUUCGCUAGAUUGCUCCUUUUUUUCAUUAGUGUGGAUAAGUAUAUAAAUGGAUAGAGAUAGGAAAGCAAACACAAGAUGUACGUGGUUCACCCAGAUUGGCUACGUCCACGGAAUAGAAGAGUUCUCAUUAAUUGUGAAGGGUUUACACAAGUACAUAGGUUCAAGCUCUCCUUUAGUGAGUACAAGUGAAUGAUUUAGUACAAAUGACAUUAGGAAAUAUUGUGGGAGAAUGAUCUCGUAAUCACGAAACUUCUAAGUAUCGGAGUGUGGUGUCGUCUUGACUUGCCUUAUCUGUCUCAUAGGUAGCAUCUUCUCUGGAAGUACUCUUCCUCCAUCCAGGGGUGGUAUCUUUAAUUGGUGGAGAUGCACAAGGUAAUGUAUCAAUUUCACUUGAAGCUUACUUGUAGUUUCAGGCUUGGUCAAGCGCGAUACAAACCAUGUAGUAGGAGUCCCCCAAGUCGCCGAGCUAGGGGGUCUGCUGAAAGAGGUGACAGACAAGGUAAGCAAUCAGAGCUCCGACUGAUUGUUCACCUUCUCCCCAUCUUGCAGCAGCAUGAAGGAUAAAGAGAAGAAAAAUGAGAAGAGAUGAUAUGAGAUACUUUUGCUUUUGAAGAAGUAACUUUCCACAGGCUUAUUCUUGAACUGAGCUGGAGGGUUUUCUGGUUUCCUCCAGAGUAUAAGGUCGACUGAAGAAUUUGAGGGUCAAAAACAAGUCCAUCAAAUCUAGAGUACGUUCCACCCUGCUGAUAUGGGAUACUUUUGCUUUUGACAAAGUAAUGGAUGUAUCGGCAUGUGUGCUGUUACGCUUGUCUCCACAUGCUUCCUUGUAUCCUUCGCACUUGCCCUAUCUGUUCCUCAAGUAGAUGCAGAAUCUUCCCUGGAAACAUAAGAUGUUGAAGAUGAGUACUCGAGAGCAAUGCCAGGUAAGUAAUCAGGUAAGGGGUUUCAGGCAGUCAGUUCCUGGCUGGAAUCUUGAUUCCAAGUGCUGACUGAUUGCUCUCUUUCUCCUUGUCUUGCAGGUAAAAACAAGGCCAAAAGAAAAGACAGGGAAAAAGCAUGAUAUGGGAUACUCUUGCUUUUAACCCUGAUGAUAUGAGAUAUUCUUGCUCUAGUAUAGCUUGUUUGCAGAGGUAUUAUCGGGGGGAAAGAAAGCUGAAUAUUUCGAAAGGCUUCGUUGGGAGUGCCCUCUCAGAUAUGAUGAAGGGUUGAACAUUUUUGCAGGUCUGCCUGUCCGUUGGGAUGGAGGUCGACAUAUAUAGGAGUCUCCCUAACAACAAGUAGUAAUGCUAUUCCUUUACCCUGCUUGGUCAUAGCACCGUAGUGGGAGCUGCCAGUUUCACAUGUUUUAACUCUGUCAGAGCACUUUGAAAAAGUGGUCUGUGGUAUAUGGCUCUCGAGAUUCGGAGAACGAUGCCUCUUCGAUUUUUGAGAAAGCAAUCAUGCUGGGGGUCUGGCUCUCGAGAUUCGGAGAGCAGUGUCUCUUCGAUUUUUGAGGAAGUAAUCAUGUUGGGAGUCUGGCUCUCGAGAUUCGGAGGGCGGUGCCUCUUCGAUUUUGGAGCAAGCAAUCUUGUUGGGAGUGUUGUCUCGAAUGUGAGUAAAGGUUGGGCAUGUUUGCUAGUCUACCUUGCCACGAAGCACAAAGGUUGACACACAGGGACUUUCCAAUUAUCCAGCAAUGGUACUGUUCCUUUACCCUCUCUUCGAUUUUGAGAAAGUAGUCAUGUUGGGAGUCUGGCUCUCGAGAUUCAGAGGACGGUGCCUCUUCGAUAUCCAGCAGUGGUACUGUUCCUUUACCCUUGUGGGUAAUAAUAUGGUAGCUAGACCUUCAAAAUUUAUGUGUCCAAACUUUGUUAGUGCUGUUUCUUUGCUAUUCUUUUACCUUUCUUGGUCAGAGCGAUGUAGUGGGAGCUGCAAGCUUCACGUGCUCAACUUUGGCAGAGAACUUUGGCAAAGUCAUCUGUGGUACCCAUGAGCUAUUGUUGCGUGUGGGAAGUGGAUGAUUGAACAGUAAGAUUCAUGUGCUUUCUACUUCACCAGAAGUCUUCGACAGAAUGCCCAUAAUUUCUGCAAAGCUGAGUGUUCGUGUGACAGGUGCUGACAAGGCUAGAAAAGUAGGUGCCUCUUCGAUUUCUGAGAUCGGCCCUCGUGGUCUCUGAGCAGCCCAACUUUUGAGAAAGCGAGCGCCUCUUCGAUUGAUUCGGAGAACAAUGCCUCAUCGAUUUUUGAGAAAGCAAUCAUGCUGUGGGUCUGGCUCUCGAGAUUCGGGGAGCAGUGUCUCUUCGAUUUUUGAUAAAGUAAUCAUGUUGGGAGUCUGGCUCUCGAGAUUCGGAGGGCGGUGCCUCUUCGAUUUUGGAGCAAGCAAUCUUGUUGGGAGUGUUUUCUCGAAUGUGAGUAAAGGUUGGGCAUGUUUGCUAGUCUACCUUGCCACGAAGCACAGAGGUUGCCACACAGGGACUUUCCAAUUAUCCAGCAAUGGUACUGUUCCUUUACCCUCUCUUCGAUUUUUAAGAAAGUAGUCAUGUUGGGAGUCUGGCUCUCGAGAUUCGGAGGACGGUGCCUCUUCGAUUUUGGAGCAAGCAAUCUUAUUGGGAGUGUUUUCUCAAAUGUGAGUAAAGGUUGGGCAUGUUUGCUAGUCUACCUUGCCACGAAGCACAGAGGUUGACACACAGGGACUUUCCAAUUAUCCAGCAGUGGUACUGUUCCUUUACCCUUGUGGGUAAUAAUAUGGUAGCUAGACCUUCAAAAUUUAUGGGUCUAAACUUUGUUAGUGCUGUUUCUUUGCUAUUCUUUUACCCUUCUUGGUCAGAGCGAUGUAGUGGGAGCUGCAAGCUUCACGUGCUCAACUUUGGCAGAGAACUUUGGCAAAGUUAUCUGUGGUACCCAUGAGCUAUUGUUGCGUGUGGGAAGUGGGUGAUUGAACAGUAAGAUUCAUGUGUUUUCUACUUCCCCAGAAGUCUUCGACAGAAUGCCCAUAAUUUCCGCAAAGCUGAGUGUGCGUGUGACAGGUGCUGACAAGGCUAGAAAAGUAGGUGCCUCUUCGAUUUCUGAGAUCGGCCCUCGUGGUCUCUGGGGAGCCCAGCUUUUGAGAAAGCGAGCGCCUCUUCGAUUUCUGAGAUCGGCCUUCGUGGUCUUUGAGCAGCCCAACUUUUGAGAAAGCAAACGCCUCUUCGAUUUCUGAGAUCAACCCUUGUGAUCUCUAAGCAGCCCAGCUUUUGAGAAAGCAAACGCCUCUUCGAUUUCUGAGCAUGCGCCUCUUCGAUUUCUGAAGCUCUGUCGAGUGCAGAUUUUUAUAGGGGCUGGCAUUAAAUUCCAAAGCACACUUGAAUCUCCACCAGUAGAAGCUUCAUUCUUGCACUUCUAAGAUUUUGAUUUGUCCGACCUCUUCUCUCUUCAACACCUUUGAAAAUGUCUGGCCCCUCCGACCGUCGUUUUGACUUGAACCUUGUUGAAGAGGCAGCCCCGCCUUCUCCAGACAACAUAUGGCGCCCAUCCUUCGUCUCCCCUACUGGUCCUCUUACCGUUGGGGAUUCCGUGAUGAAGAAUGAUAUGACCGCUGCGGUGGUGGCCAGGAACCUUCUCACUCCCAAAGAUAACAGACUACUUUCCAAACGGUCUGAUGAGUUAGCUGUUAAGGAUUCGCUGGCUCUCAGUGUUCAGUGUGCAGGUUCUGUGUCUAAUAUGGCCCAACGUCUAUUUGCUCGAACCCGCCAAGUUGAAUCAUUGGCGGCUGAAGUGAUGAGUCUCAAACAGGAGAUUAGAGGGCUCAAGCAUGAGAAUAAACAGUUGCACCGGCUCGCACAUGACUAUGCUACAAACAUGAAGAGAAAGCUUGACCAGAUGAAGGAAACUGAUGGUCAGGUUUUACUUGAUCAUCAGAGAUUUGUGGGUUUGUUCCAAAGGCAUUUAUUGCCUUCGUCUUCUGGGGCUGUACCGCGUAAUGAAGCUCCAAAUGAUCAACCUCUGAUGCCUCCUCCUUCUAGGGUUCUGUCCAGUACUGAGGCUCCAAAUGAUCCCCCUCCGGUGCCUUCUCUUUCUGGGGCUCUACGGACUGCUGAGACUUCUCCUAAGCAACCUUUGUGAAGGCUCCCUCUUGUGUGUUUAUUUUGACUCAUGUAUAUGUAUAUAUUUGUAGCUUAUCGGGGAUAUCAAUAAAUAAGCUUUCCUUCAUUUCAACGUAUUGUGUUAAAUACACCAAAGCCUUCUUCGCUAAGUUCUUUGAAUUUUCUUUUGUUGAAGCUUGUAUGUUGAAGCUUUCUGAGUGGAGCAUGUAGGUUGGGGUAGUGUUCCCUUAAUUUCCCGAGUGAAGAAAACUUCUCGGUUGGAGACUUGGAAAAUCCAAGUCACUGAGUGGGAUCGGCUAUAUAAAUCUUAGAACGCCAUUGUGCUCGAUCCUGUGUCAUGUCCUUCGUUAGAUCCAAGUACUCUAAGUCUUUUCUUAGAGUCUCUUCCAAAGUUUUCCUAGGUCUUCCUCUACCCCUUCGGCCCUGAACCUCUGUCCCAUAGUCACAUCUUCUAAUCGGAGCGUCAGUAGGCCUUCUUUGCACAUGUCCAAACCACCGUAACCGAUUUUCUCUCAUCUUUCCUUCAAUUUCGGCUACUCCUACUUUACCCCGGAUAUCCUCAUUCCUAAUCUUAUCCUUUCUCGUGUGCCCACACAUCCAACGAAGCAUCCUCAUCUCCGCUACACCCAUUUUGUGUACGUGUUGAUGUUUCACCGCCCAACAUUCUGUGCCAUACAGCAUCGCCGGCCUUAUUGCCGUCCUAUAAAAUUUUCCCAUGAGCUUCAGUGGCAUACGGCGGUCACACAACACACCGGAUGCACUCUUCCACUUCAUCCAUCCAACUUGUAUUCUAUGGUUGAGAUCUCCAUCUAAUUCUCCGUUCUUUUUGCAAGAUAGAUCCUAGGUAACGAAAACGGUCGCUCUUUGGUAUUUCUUGAUCUCCGAUCCUCACCCCUAACUCGUUUUGGCCUCUAUUUGCACUGAACUUGCACUCCAUAUAUUCUGUCUUUGAUCGGCUUAGGCAAAGACCUUUAGAUUCCAACACUUCUCUCCAAAGGUUAAGCUUUGCAUUUACCCCUUCCUGAGUUUCAUCUAUCAACACUAUAUCGUCUGCGAAAAGCAUACACCAAGGAAUAUCAUCUUGAAUAUAUCCUGUUAACUCAUCCAUUACCAACGCAAAAAGGUAAGGACUUAAGGAUGAGCCUUGAUGUAAUCCUACAGUUAUGGGAAAGCUUUCGGUUUUGUCCUUCAUGAGUUCUUACGGCAGUCUUUGCUCCUUCAUACAUAUCCUUUAUAGCUUAGAUAUAUGCUACUCGUACUCCUUUCUUCUCUAAAAUCCUCCAAAGAAUGUCUCUUGGGACCCUAUCAUACGCUUUUUCCAAAUCUAUAAAGACCAUGUGUAAAUCCUUUUUCCCAUCUCUAUAUCUUUCCAUCAAUCUUCGUAAGAGAUAGAUUGCCUCCAUGUUUGAGCGCCCUGGCAUGAACCCGAAUUGAUUGUCCGAAACCCGUGUCUCUUGCCUCAAUCUAUGCUCAAUGACUCUCUCCCAGAGCUUCAUUGUAUGACUCAUUAGCUUAAUACCCCUAUAGUUCAUGCAAUUUUGUACGUCGCCCUUAUUCUUGUAGAUAGGCACCAAAGUGCUCGUUCGCCACUCAUUUGGCAUCUUCUUCGUUUUCAAAAUCUUAUUGAAAAGGUCAGUGAGCCAUGUUAUACCUGUCUCUCCCAAAAGUUUCCACACUUCGAUUGGUAUAUCGUCUGGGCCUAUUGCUUUUUUAUGCUUCAUCUUCUUCAAAGCUACAACCACUUCUUCCUUCCGGAUUCGACGAUAAAAAGAGUAGUUUAUACACUCUUCUGAGUUACUCAACUCCCCUAAAGAAGCACUCAUUUCAUGUCCUUCAUUGAAAAGAUUAUGAAAAUAACCUCUCCAUCUGUCUUUAACCGCGUUCUCUGUAGUAAGAACCUUUCCAUCCUCAUCCUUGAUGCACCUCACUUGGUUUAGGUCCCUUGUCUUCUUUUCCCUUGCUCUAGAUAGUUUAUAGAUAUCCAACUCUCGAAGGGUAAAAUUCAAAUCCAACAUUGAACCAACCCAUUAACUUAAAAGACAUCAAAACCGAAACAGAUUACUAAAUAUCAAAAAGGAGUAUUUCAAGGAUAUGGCGAUAAGGAUCACACCUGAAAUGCUAUAGUAAGAUUGUAGACCCCUCUUUGAUCAACCCUGCAGAGGUCUUCCUUGAUAGUAGAGCGUGCAGUAGCACAAUAGAUAAUCUUGUUACAGCCCUGUACUGCGGUGUACAGGGUAGCAGGACCAUCCAUAUCCCCAGUCAAUGGCAAGACAUAUGAAAGAAGAUUGAAAAUGAUAACACCCACCAUUUAACCAAGUAAAAGCAGAGUUAACGCAGAGAAAACAACAAAAAAUAUCUUGCAAACCCUCGAUUUAUCGGUAAAGCACAUCAAAACCAAACAGUCAAGAAAAUAGUUUAAAACCAAUUCUAUAUUUCUAAUCAGAAGAUGUGCAAUUUUUUUUUAUUCGUCAAUUUGUGGCACUUCAUUCUCAAUAAAGAGCACUUCACAAAAUUCCAGAUCUGCUACAACAUCAAAGGUCAGACCGAAUAGGAAAACGACAUCAUUCAUUAUCCAAAUUGAAACAACAAUCCCACUAAAAUUGACUACUCAUAAGAAUCUCAUUCCACAAAACAACUGCAGGCAAAAAAAAUCCCCAAGAUACAUACUAUCAUCCAAAUCAUCCACCGCCAUUAACAAAAGCACAACCCAUAUCUUCCUUCAGCUAAGAUUAAAGAAAAAAUUGAAACCCUAAUCAUUCUCGAACAUGCUUUUGGAAUCAGAAUAGAAAGGAAACUUGAAAUUAGAGGAUCAUGCAGAACUGGGCUGGGGAUUGGACUUGUGCUCUGAAUCGACCUCUUCCUCUUCCUCUUCAGAUUGAUCACCGAAUAGGUUCUACAUCACCUGGUGCCGCUUCUCCUCCCCCAUCGCUGCUGCUGUGUGUUGUGGUCAGAGCCCUCAAACUACUGACAUUAAAUAGUUCAUUUCAUUAGAUCAUUGGAACUAUCACCAUAGCAUCCUGCAAAUUUCGAGAAGUGUGUGUUGAAACAAAUCUGAAAAGGAAUGAAAACCCUGUUAACCAAACCCAUCAACAGUAACAUAAGCCUCACCAAUCGUAGCAAACAAAAUCAAUCAGACUCGGCGAAAUUCAGUCAACAAUACAAAAAAUACUCUGAAACCCAUCAGCCAAUAUACAGCACGUAGAAGCAACACAAUUUUUUUCCUUACCAAGCAAUUAAGAUGUAUUUACUUAUACACUAAGUUUUGCUAACAAUAUGUUGGAAAACUGAAUACUUACACCGCAUCCAAAUCCCUCUUACAUGCUUUUGGAAUGGUCUAGUCUCUCCAAUCUCUCAUUUUGCAAUCCAUCUCUUACUAAUUUGGCGUCAGUCUCUUGAGACUUAGAAAUCUUUCACUCAAACAUAAUCAUAUAUAAGGGAAUGUUUGGUAUUAUUUUUGGAUCCAAUUUAUUGUUUUGAAACUAAUGCGUAUUAAUUAAUUUAGCCACAUUUAUCAUUUAUUUAAAAAGGACAAAAAAUCAGAUGCAAUUAAGAUUCCAAAUAGACCCUAAGUAACCUCAGCUGAGUGGUGUACAAAUCAAUGCCCAUUCUUUUCUAGUGAGCUAUGAUAAAUUCAAUUGGACAAAAAUAAGUACAUCUGUCAGUUGAUGCUCAGACUUUACAGAAGUCAAAUAAAUUAAAAUGUUGAUCAACUUCAACAUGUUUACGUCAAUCAUGUUGAACUGGAGUGUGAGUGGGAGUAUAGAAAGCCUUGUGAAGUUAACCCAAGUUUGCAUCAGUGCCAAGGCGGAACUUGACAUUUCACCAUGGCUAAAAAAACUCCUACAGAAACCUAACCGGUGCAAGAAAUUGAAUAGAAACUUCUUAUUUGCUGCUCAUUUCGGAAGGCCAGUUCGAAAAAACCUCCUAUUUUAGAUUGCAAAUUUUGUGAUGACAAAAGAUAAAGUAGAACAUAAUAAGUUUUCUGCACUCUUCUCUAUUUCCAGAAAUAGAACUUGAUACUGUCACGGCCACGAAAAAUUCAUCGGCACCCUACCUGAUGCAAGCAACGGACUAGGAACUUUAAUUGGGUGCUCAUUUCAGAAUGUCAGUUGGAAAACAUCCUAUUUUCUAUUCAAUCUCUUUGCCCACUGCAUUACAACACAUCAGAGUGUUUUCUUCACUGCGUAUAUAAAAAAUCUUCGGUGCUCUUAGUGAUUUCCUAUCAAUACUGGAUUCUAUAUUUGGUCAAUUCUUAAAUCUAUACUUUACUGGACCUGUUUAGUCAUUCAACACCUCACAACUUCCAAAAAAAUUCACCAUCAUGCCAACAUGCUUGGGUGAUUAACUAGUGAACAUACAGACAGCCCUGAUUCAAAACAUUUCUCAAGAGAAAUUCAUGUUCAAAACAACUUAAAACUCCAAGCAUUAACCAAACAAAAUGAUUAGGAGGAUGAAAGAUAGAAACUUGUAACAGAGAACAAUUGCCCAAAAUAGAAAACACUUUAUUCCUCCCCAAUUUCUGAAAAUCCAGAGAAAGCGGGAUUAACUUCAGAUACAAUCCCACACUUGAAAAAGCUAAUGUGCUUCACUUUCAAUACCAAACCGCUAGUCUUGUAUGCAUGCAUGUAUACACACUACUGAAAAGAGUAAUUCUUAAUCCAGCAUGGGCAGAAUAGUACCGUUACCCUCAAACGGGCAAGGCUAAAGGGCGAGAUGCGGGUUUAGUGCAUUGUGGGUGUGUGGGUUUGUUAACUUAACCAAGUAAAACAACUACUAAUCCAGCCAUUUUUCCUACUCUAUUCCAAACUUAUUCCCAAAGUCUGCUACUAAUAGGACUCAUUACUAGUGAGGAAGAAAGAUUUAGCACUACAUGUUAAGAGCAUGAGGUACACAUCAAACGGAACACACUCAAAUCAAAAACAUAAAUUCCUAAUCAAUGUAUAAUCAUUAUUGGGAUUCGCAUUCUUCAACCAAACUAUGAACAAAAGAGCCAGGCCAAUGAACAGAAAAUAAACUUAAAUUACAACAUAAAGCAGAGUAAGUAUUUAAACAUCAACAACUUCAGACAAAAACUAUGAAGUUCCGAUUCCUCAAAUGCAUAUUCCAAAUUGCAGUACAAACACUAAGCACAAAAACCAUAGAUAAAGUAAAACAACAGACAAUGCACUUUCCCCAAAUAACUCAAUUUACCUCUGACUCUCAUACCGCUUUGGCCUCCGCCUUGGCAUUCCCUCUCUCGACCUUUUUCGCCUCCGCCUUAUCUGGUUUCGCCGCCUCCCCUGAGCAACACCCACCUUCAUGAUGGUGAUGAUGGUGGUGAUGCCCAUGCCCAUGCCCAUGCCCAUGCCCAUUCCCAUGACCAUGCACAUGCCCAUGACUAUGUCCAUGCACUUUCUUCCCCUUGAGCUCCUUCCUCAUAUCAUACGCAUCUUCCCCAUCGGCAUAUUACUUCGCCUUCACAUCAUGAAUCUUAUAUCCCAAAGUCUCAGUGUACAAAUUGAACGCUGCCCGAUUGCUCUUCCUCACAUGAAGCGACACGUACUCCGCCGCAAACACCUGUUCCCUGGCGUUCUGGGCGGCGUUCAUGAGCUUGGUGGCGAGGCCGAGUUUGCGGUAGGUGCGGAGGACGGCGAGGGAGGUAAUGUGGCCGUGGCACUCGUUACUCUCCUCCUCCAUCUUGGCCAGGACGUAGCCGACGAUGCGACCGUUGUAGUCUUCGGCGACGUAGAGGAGCUGCGGCCAUGAGAGGAUGUGAUAGAGGUAGUACUUCAUCUGGCAACUCUCAGGGAGGCAGAAAAGGUUGCAGGCUUGCAUCGCCAGGAGGUUGUCGAUUGCGGCCUUGCGUAUGCACACCAUUUGUGGUGCUCCUGGAGUUUCUAGGGUUAGGGUUUUGGUGUGGGAAUUUUGUUUUUAGGGAAGAAGAGAGGAGUGAGGUCAAAAGAAAUAUGGGGUCUUGUGGGAUUUUCAAUGGGAUUGGGCUUGGGCUGAGUUAUGGGCUUGAUGAGUUUAAUUAUGGGCUUAAAGUCCAUACCUUUCAAAAAAAUUAAAUACCGAAAAAAAUCAUUUCGUCGAUUUUUCUCUUGAACUUUUAUUUUUCUCCAUUCUUUUACCUUCAUGUACCAUCAUGUUUCUCUGUAAUUCAUCUAAACUUUCAUUAAACCCGUCUCAUUUAAAAAAAGACGAUAGCAAAAAAAUAAUAUUUCGUAACCAACGUGAAUUUUUCGAACAAAAAAUGGGAUGUAAUGCUCGACGAGAGAAAUUAACCAUUUAUAAUUUUCCACAUGGGAAAUUGGCAAGAAUUAGGGAAAUUGGUGAAAUACUCAAACUAGAAAUAUGAACGCCGACCCUCCAAGGUCAAAUUCUUCCAUCUAACAUUCAUUUUCAGCACAUCAUCUGCAAUUUCCAGUUUUGAUUCUACGUUUCUUGUCAAUCGGUUCAAUUCUUGAACCAUCAGUAAAAUCGACCUACUAUUUUUCUCAGAGGACUCGACGGAAAACAGGUUUGUAUUUCAAAGAUGAAGAAUUUGUUGUAGUUUAUACACGAACCAUAAAAUAAACUUUAUACAUAUACAUUAUCAUGAAUAUCAUACAUGUCCUAGCAAAAUAAGAGUGGUCGUCUUACUCAAAUUUUCAGAUUCUGAUGUACUUAUCGUAGUGCGUGGUGAUAACCUUCCUCAUCCCGACAGUCAAACACGUAAUCGGAGCCCGUCUGGUACUAAGAAUGCUCUCAACGGGGGUAUCUUCUGAAAGCCUCGUUCCUCUCAUUCUUUGGGUAGCCCCAAUCGUGUUUCGAGAACUUGAUGACAAAUAUCCAUCCAAGACGCAACUUGAGAUUACUUCACCUGUUUUUUGGUUCAGAAGACGAAGCACACCGUCUAUUCCACCAACCGCCAAUGUUGAUGCAUCAUUUCUCAUGUGUUGCAAAGAUGAUACCCUAUUUGGACUCACUCGUGUCUACCAUAAACAUGUCAUUGUCCUGAAUCAUACCAUAUAACAGAAGAAUAGGGUCAAUUAACAUGCAACUGUAUUACGUCAUCUGUUACUGUCGAGAUAGUAAAAUAAAAGGGUGGAGACAGAGAAAACAAGGUCGUAAAGGGUGAGUUUUGCAUACAACUUUUAAGAUGACAAAACAACCAUAUAAAAACUACGGAUUUUUUCUUUUGGUUAAAAGUUGUGGGUUUUCUUUUAAACAUAAUUAAUGUACAGUUAAAUGGGCAUUUAACAGAAAUCCCCUUAGAAUAUGUCGUUAAAUUGACACUUCCAUUUGAAAACGCACUCAGGGCCAUCAGACUCUAUUUUUGAUUAAAAUCCCUUGUCUAUUAGAGAGGAGGGCUAAUGUCUCAAAACCAUUGACACUUCCAUUGGGUGAACGAUGGAGGGAAAAAUUGGGGGUCUGCACACUUUUUCAUCGUUGCUUUUAUUGAAGUUUUCAUCUUGAAGCAACUCUCAUUCUGUAGAAAGGACAAGCUUUCCAUCUACUAAUGAUAUCAUCUAAGAUGAUUUGAAGUAAUCAAACCUUGUAUUCGAAAUUCUAACAAAGUAAAAUAUGGAAACGAUUAUGACAUAGACUUUCAUCAAGCUCCAGUAUGAAACCAGGCAAAUUAAAUUUCUUAAAAUAGCUUUUGAAGUCAUAUUUCAUACCUAAUGUCACAGCAUAAUGCAAAUCCAACAGCGUAUCCAGCAAAUACUAAGUGAGAGCCCGGGUUGAAACACAAAGUCUUUAUGCCUGCAAUGAAAAUUUGAGACUAGAUUUAUGUUCUCUCUCGCGAAUAUAAUGUCCUUGUCACUCCAAGGGGAAGGAUUACUCAAAACCCAUAAGUAUGUUAUUUAGACUAUUGAUAUAUUGUAAGUGCCAACACUUCCAAACAACUGCAAUCAAAAUCCUUACCCUUUCGCUUCCACUUGAAUAUAUUUUAUUUAAUAAGGACAAAAUGAGACAAAUAGUAAGACUACACCCAGCGGUUAUAAGAUACGACAAACAAAUAUGAGACGGUGCAAUUAUGACUUCUACAUGAUCCCAUUUGCAGUUUCAUGAACUACUCAAAAUUAUAUGGACAAAGUAUAGUGUAUCUCUGUCGAUAUGUACGACGGAAUGAGUUACCCAGCACAUAAUGAAUCAGAUAUACUAGACUGAGUGGUGGAGGAUGAAAAAAGAACGUAAUCAGUGUCCUGAUAAGUUUUCGAAUUUAUUUUAGUUUUAUGCAUCAGAAGUUAUAACUGGAAUGUAGGUGUCCCUUAUAACAAUGGUAGAACAUGCAUAAAAUGUAACCUGAGGAAUCAUUUGAUCUUAAAUUCGCAACCUGCUCACUAGAUCAAAGUCCAGAUAUUGUGAUACCACCAAGAGAUGAACCACUAAGUAUCAACUGAUCAUCACUCAAACAUAAGCAUGUUACUGGCCCUGCAUGUGCUCUGCAAUAAGAAAUCAAAAGAAAUCCAUAAACCAUUGAGCAGCAUAUAAAUUCAUAUUACAAAAAAUACUAAACAUUUUAUGCCAGACGAGAAGUUUAUUCUAAAUUCUAACUUAUAUUUCCCAUUUUUCGUCUUACGGCAAGAAAUUUUUUGCCUCUAGAAAUUUAAAUGAAUGUCUACAAGUCAAAAGGUAUCUUCUUAAGCUAUAUAAAUUCACUGUAUUCUUUACAAGAAACAUGAAAACAAAUACAAACACCAAUAUAGAAGCUACAUUACGUUCCUUGCAGUACACACCUAACAUUUUUUACUGUACAUGUCAAAUACACGACCUGUCCCAUCCUCGCAUCCAACCACAGCCUCAGGAUCGCAAUAACUACAUGAGAACAAAAUGUGAAAAACGAGACAUUUUUAAUUGUUACGGAAACUCGGAUGGUACAUCAUGUGUUUUUAUAUAAGUGAUGAGAAAUUUUACUUUUUAAGUUAUUAACUUUUUAACACACAUAUCUCACUAUUUGUAUAAUAAUAAUACGUGAUGUAUCACCUCGUGUGCGAAUCACAUUUAAAAAUCUGUCAUGAAAUACAAACACCAAAAGUAAACCUCCAUAUGUAACAGUAAUAACCCGUUCCAAAUUACGAGUUAAAUUACGUUUUUGACCUUGGGUUUAUCCAUUCGGCCCAAAUCAUUGGGCUAUUCUAGUAUCAGCCCAAAGACUCGGCCCAGUCUUUUCUUUCCUCUUUUUCCUUCAGAGGAAAUGGGAGGAAUGGUCCCUUAACUAUUCUCGAAUUGUAGCUUUAGUCCCUAAACUAAAAAAUCAUUAUAUUUUGUCCUAGAACUUGAUAAGAUGUGGAGCGUUAGUCCUUCAUCACCAAUUCCGUUAAGUUUUAGUUAAAAGUGUUUACAUGUUUGUUUCACCUAUAUAUAUAUAUAUAUAUAUAUAUAUAUAUAGAAAAGAUGAAAAUUGCAACAAAAAUUGCAGGCCUACCUCAUCCACCAACACUCGCAGGCCACCCCUUCAACUUCAUUCUUUGAUACACUCCCCGCCAACCUCCCACUUCCAACCCCCAAUCGUUAAUCCCCACUCCCCAGCCGACCCCAGCCGACCCCAACCUGUAGCCCAUGGAGCACAGCCUUCACCCAAACCCCGAACCCGCAUCCCACAAAGUUCUUGAAUCUUACCUGUCGAGACAGCGAGAUGGAUGUCAUUGUGAAUUCGUUUACAAAGGGAGACGUGUUCGAAAUUUGGAUUAGAAACUUUCUUUUGUUUUGGUUGUUUGCAGAGUGCUACAAUGGUGUGGCUGGGGUUUGGAGGAGGCAAGGCAGAAGGAAAGACGGGAGACGUGUUCGAAAUUUGGAUUAGAAACUUUCUUUUGUUUUGGUUGUUUGCAGAGUGCUACAAUGGUGUGGCUGGGGUUUGGAGGAGGCGGGCAGAAGGAAAGACAGGAGAGGAAGAGAGAGAGAGAGAGAUAACUUCUAAUUUUUUAUUUUUUUUCUUUCUCUAUGUUUGUAUUUAUUUUUAUUUUGAAUUUUUAAGCCACGUGGCAUUUAGUGAACAAAAAUAUGGAGCCCACAAAGACCACGUCAUCAAACUAACGGAAAAUCUCACGGUGUUAGUAUGGAGGGACCAAUGCUCUACAUUUUGUUAAGUUCAGGGAUCAAAUCUAAUGAAUUUUUAGUUUAAGGACCAAAACUACAAUUUGAUCAUAGUUCAGGGAUCAUUCCUCCAAUUUCCUCUUUUCCUUCACCUGUGAGAUAUAUUUCCCUUUCUCUUAACAUUUUCCUUCUCUGCAAACUUUCUCUAAACCACCGAGCACCAUCUUUCACAAUCAUCACCUUCCUCAGUCAAAUCCAACUCGAAACCACCAGAUUAGUCAUUCGGGUGACCUGGGAAUCACAGAGAUGGCUCUGCAUGUUCCGUCUGAUACCUGGAUGUGGGGGCUGAUCGGGGCAGCUCUACGUUUUUCCGGCGAAGUUCGACUAAAGAACGGCGUUUCAGUCGUUGAUUUUACCUGAGAAUCAUUUCUAUUCGACCGCGGGUAUUUUUCAUAGGUUUUGGACUCGAAUCCGAGAUUAUAACUCCUGUAGUCUUUCUGUUCCUCACCCCAGGUUCAGGUGCGGAGCUCCGGCGAGAAAUCCAACGAGCUUGGGGUUCCAUGAGCUCAAAUUGGUUCCGUUUGAAACUCAGGUAACCAAACCAUGCUCUGCAUGUUAAUUUCAAGUUCGAAUUGAGGGUUUUAGUCAUUAUUUCGUCUCUGUUCUUCAUUCCCUAGAAUCCGGCAAGGAAAAUCCGGCGAGUUCAUGUUGAAUCUGAGGUGAAUUCAACGUCUUCUUUUCCUAAAAAGGUUGUAGGUGAGUUCCUGGUGAUUUUUAGGACUAGAUUAUAUAAAUUUUGGGGUUUAAAAUUGAUGAAAUUGAACUCGGGAAUUUAUAUGUAGUUUCCGGCGAAGUUCUGGCGAAGCUCCAGCAACGGUGACGACCACCGGCGGAGGCUAAUAUUCCGUUAACUUUAACGGAAUCUCGUACGGAAGGUACAUUCUGUUUUUAUUCGACCCGUAUUCUAUUUUUGACCCGACCUGCACUCGGUUUAAGCCUAGAUUCCCUUACCCCAGCCCAAUGAACCGGGCCCAACCCAUUUACCUAUAACCCGGGCCCAAUCCCUUAGGCAUAAACCCAAUUACCCUAUAGCCCAGGUUCAAUCCCUUGGGCUUAAACCCAAGCCCAUUACUUGAGGCCCAAAAUCUCUCGGGCCAAUACCAGUACCCAGAACCUAGGCCCAAACCCGGAUCUAACCCGAAUCUAAACCUAGACCCUUGUGCCCGGCGCGUGGGGCAUAAGCGCCUUCGCCUGAGGCACUGUGGCAGGCGACUUGUCCAGCAACCAUUUACGGCGCGUGGGGUAACCUGAGGUCCCUCCUUAAGUUAUUCAACGUGCCAAAUCCGAAUCCGCUAUCCGUUUUUCCAAAUUCUAACGCUUUAGUAGAGUUUUACUAAAUGGUUUCUAAUUGGGUUUAGGUACGUUGGUGGGAAGUGGUACCAUCCUCGCUAGUUGAGCGACUCCUUGGCAAUCAAAUAUAUGUGAGUGUCCCCUUCAUAAUUUGCAUGGUUUUAUAAAUCUUAGGAUUGCAUGCAUAUUUUAUUGCAAAGUUUGAACAUGUUUUAAGUAUGUUUACGGAUUUGCCUAUUUUUGAGAUUUGGAAAAUUUACUAGUUAAUUGAAUUGCUUUAUGAAUAUUUUGGAUCUAUCAGAUUUACUUUAUAUUAAAGGAUUAUAAACUAUGGGUUUAUACAUACGAGUUUGAGUGGGUUUAUGGGUAUAAACUAGCAUGGCUUUAUUCGAUGUAGUUUUGAGAUAUGUUUUUGGAUAAAUAUCUAGUGGGUUAUCAUACAGCACAUCCACACAACACGGGUAUUAGAUGUAUAUGGCCAUAGGACACAAUGAUGAGGAGGAGUGAGAUAUAUGUUAUACCCCCAGCUUCACUGCCAAAAGCAGUGUCGGACAGCUUCACUAGCCACGGCUAGUGUCGAUGCGUGAUGUUAUAGAUUUCUUCUCCGGCGUAACCCGGAAUCGUACAGCUUCACUUUCGGAUGAUGGGGCCUACCAUGUUUCUUUACUGGCGUAACCCAGUGUCGUACAACUUCACCUUCGGGUGAUGGACAGGUACUGCCUUUGGGCGACUAUGAUACCCCUAGAGAGUAUGGUAUUAUUGAGAGUUACGGUUUUGCCUGCGGGCAGAGGUUUUAUAGAUUUGCCUUCGGGCGGUUUUACUACCAUCUAAGAGUAUCGUUUUACGUAUAUAUGUUUUCCAAACGAUUGCACAUCAUGCUAGGGUUUUCAAAGAACUUAUUACGUAGUAUUAUAUAUGUUUUCAAAACAGGGGGUUAGUAUGUUAUUAAAGGAAUUGAUUUUUGUAUUAUUAGUAUUAUAAUAAACUUUGGUCCACUCAUCUUUUCUAUUUUGCGCCCCCUCAGGGUUUAGGGUUUAGAUUCGAGACACAUGAUCUUGACGUCAGGACCCUUUUGCGUAGUUAUUCUCAAGUCUUCUUCUGAUAUGUAUUAUUCCUUUGUUUGCAUACUUUCCUAGAGAUUCUUUCAUAUUAUUCCGAGUAGUUGUAUGCUCUGAACAAGUUCUUGCAUUAGUAUUUUCUUUCUAAUUACAUAAUUUUAUUCGUAGGCAUGCUUAAAAAUGGCUUCGUCACCCUCGGGUGUCGGCCAGCAUGUGCUUGCUCUGAUAUUUGGGGAUAUUGGGGUUGGGACGUGUCACUAUACAUAUCUAGCAUUCUAUUCCAAAACAGAAAUGAUCAGGUAAAGACAACGGUAAAAAAAAAAAAUUGAAAGGCCUUCAGCAACAAAGGGAAUUUUUUUUUAAGGUCUAAAAGCAAUAGUAACGGCAAUAUUAGUACAAAUAAAUAAGAUAUAAUCAAUCAAAACAAGAAACUUUCAGAACAACCAUUGAUAGAAGCUCAAAAUGUAAAAUAUUCAGACAAUCCCCUGCCCAACCAAUUGGUGAAAGAAAUCAAAUAAUAAAUCUCCAAUUUUAUGUUAUUGGUCUUUACCAUGCAUAUUGCUGCUCAUGAAGUAAUGCAUUUAGCACUUACAAAAUAAAAGUAAAAAUAAUGAGAGUAUUCUGUCUGCAUACCGCAUGCAUAACCCCUUCGGAAAGGUGUCUAGAAAACUAUAAGCUAUUGACAUUUCCAAUUAAGCUUGAAGAAUGCAAUAAGCUCAAUAGCAUAUUUUAAAAGCCCUUAUAUGCUGUGUCAUAUUAAUUGAUGUUAAUGCUACAUUUUCACUCCUAGGUCGAUCUGUUAUACUAAGGUGCGUACAUGGCAUUGCAAUCCUUUAUCAAGAUGUCUAGAAAACAACAGAAGUCACAGUCUUGCUUCACAAUCUGAAUGGUAAGUCAAUGAUAUAUCUAGAUUAAGCUUCAGAUCGAUAUGUAGUCUGUAACAUGAAAACAUUUAAGUUGAGUCUCGUUUGAUCGAUAUGUGGUAAGUCAAUGAUACGAAUACGUUUAAAUUACAUUUACAUCCUAUAGAACGCGUUCAUACUCCUGAAGCAUAUCCAAAAUCUAAUAAUAACAUGUACGGUACUAACUUCUUGCCUCAAGAAGUCGUCACAUUAUAGUAUAGAGUUGAAAUAUCACCAUGGCCAAAAUGUAGGGAGGAAUCGUGAUCUAGGAACAUAUGAUUAGAGGACAAUACUCCCCCUCAGUUUGGAAGUACAUCAAGAGAUUCAGGACGCGGGAAUAUUUGUGCUUUUGGAUAAUUAACAGUUUAAAAAAGGAGCGAUCCCAAGCCAACAAGGCUCCCCGCUUUGCGAGAGUCAGGGGGAACAUCUAUCGUACGAAGCUUAACCCUUGUUUUGCAAAGAGAUUGUUUCCAUGACUGGAACCCGUGACCUUUCGGUCAGAAAACUUUAUAUAUAUGGUAUUUUAAAAAUACCAUAUAUAUAAUUCUACGGUCAGAAAGUAUAAUCUUAAAUGUAAUUAAAAUUGAAAUAUGAGGAGUGAAGUAUCUCAUGAGGUUUAACAAGCAUUGACGUUCGUAUUCUACUAUUCAUUUGCCCAUCUCAGUUAACGAGAUAACCGAUUUCUUCACUAAAUGCCUUCUCAAGCAACGGCCUCUCCAAAUUCAUCUAUACGCAAACUCUGGAUUAAAUCAAUUAAUUCUAUAGAAUGUUUCAUGCGCGCGAUUCAGCCCUCAAUUGACACAAUCAAAACUUUCAAUGCAUUGUAUAGGCUGCUUCUUGUACAAUGCAAAGACACACAGACAUUCAAAAACUUUAAUGUAUUAUGAUUCACAAAAGUUGCAUCACACCGAAAAGUAUACGAAGAAAGGUGAAUUGAACAUUAAGAAGGAUAAAGGCAAUAGCCAACAGAGUGACCCCUCAAGUUAUCGACUCGAAUUCGACCUUCGUGUAACGCCAGUUUAUGACGCUCCACAGCCAUCUCCUCCAAAAAAAACCUCCCAAGGUUUCUCAGGACCGUCACUAGACCCAUUGCUAGAACCCGCAAGACCCAUCUGCCAUUGCUUGCGGCAAAACACUCGGAGCAACUUGGACUUGUUGAUCACCGUGCUCCUGCAUUAAAAGUAACAAAAACCCAGUUCAAAUUUACCUACAAAAUUUUAAAUAAAUUGUGGUCGGAGAUCUUGCUCUUGAGCUGCUGCUCCGCCUCUUCUUGUCGCCGGUGAAAGAGAUAUCCAUCUUUGCUCGUAAUCCGUCGGUAAAUUGAGUUUAGCAACGUUAUACACAGGGUGUCUUCGAUUAGGACUAGGAGAGUUCAAUAAAUCAUGACUAUUCAAUUAAGAUUUAAAUAAAUUAUGAAAGUUCCCGAAUAUUCAAUUAAAAUUUUAAAAAGUUUGUAAAAUUGUAUAGAAAUGUGAAUGUAUUUAUUUUGAAUCUAAAAUAGUUUAUAAAAUUUCAUGUAUAUUCAUUUAAGAUAUACAUGCUUUUUAGACUUCAGAUUUCUAUUGAAUUCAUCUAAAGUUCACAUAGAGUCUAUAGAACUCCAUUAAACUUCAUGAAUACAACGUCCAUGUAUUUAGAAACAUUUUAAGGGAUUUUUUCUUCUUAAAUCAUGACUAUUCAAUUAAGAUUUAAAUAAAUUAUGCAAGUGGCCCUUUACCAUAGUGGUGGAAAGGUGUUGUGCUCUUGCAUGACGACGUGGGUUAGAACCCCGUUGGUGGCUAAUCUAACAUUUAACUUACUAACGCCUAUCGUUUCACUCAAAAAAAAAAAAUUAUGAAACUUUCCGAAUAUUCAAUUAAAAUUUUAAAAAGUUUGUAAAAUUGUAUAGAAAUGUGAAUGUAUUUAUUUUGAAUUUAAAAUAGUUUAUAAAAUUUCAUGUAUAUUCGAUUAAGAUUUUAUUUUAAAGUAUUUUAAAAAAUGAAGAAUUUAAAUGGAUUUGGAAGGAUUUAUCCGUGUUUUUUAGACUUUAGAAAAUCAUGCUUUUUUUUUUUUUUUUUUUUUUAAGAUUUCUAUUGAAUUCAUCUAAAGUUCACAUGGAGUCUAUAGAACUCCAUUAAACUUCAUGAAUACAGCGUCCAUGUAUUUAGAAACAUUUUAAGGGAUUUUUUCUUCUUAAAUUCAGGGAUUUUCAUAUGAAUCUCGAGAAAUCAAUCAAACACUAUAAAAAUUAUGAAUUUGUUAAUUCAUUAAAAUUCCUCAAACUUCUAAUUGAGAUGGUGACAAAAAAAUUUUUAUACAACGAUUUAUUUGUAGCAAGGAGUGGAAAAUAAAUUGGUAUCGAACUUACCAUUUACGAUAUUCGAACCUAAGACCUCUCACUUGGAAGUGUAGAGGGAAUAAUAUUAAACCAUAGUACUAAGUAGCAAUAGCAAUGGUUGUUGGAUGUGUGUGGUGCAAUAGUGAGGUGUGUGGUGCACUAGCAAUGGUUGUUGGAUGUGUGGAUUUGCCCAAAUUAUAGGAGUACAGUACUUUUCUAUUUAGUCAUCAGCUCUAUUCUCCGCCAUAAUCAAUUCGAUCAUUCAAUCCUUAAUUUAAGCCUGGCUCCCUAUCCUUAAGCUAUAAACUUAAAAGGCUACAUCAAUGACAAUGCACAAUGAAGUUAAGAUGACAUGCUUUUGUCCCCCUUGUCUGGAAUCUUGGGUUUAGAUGACUAAAAUAUUUACUGUUAGUCUACAGAAUUUCAGGGUUAGUGGAUUUGUAAUUUGUGCAAGUAACAAAUCGACUUUAUACUGAAAUUUGUAGUUAAUUUUUUAUCUCCUUGUUUGUCCCCAAUUUUCACUUUGUUUGGAUUCACUAUGUCAUGCAGAACACCGCCGAUGAGACCCUGAUCCGAAGUUUUCAGCUAGCCUUUUCCCUAAGGAGCAUUUCUCUUGGAGGAGGUAAGCCCUCAAGUCUACAAACGGUUUCUUUUCCAUAAGUUCUUAACCACAUAAAUACAUUGCUCAUGCUAUAGUGAAAUGCCAAGAUUGAGAUUGUAUAGUUCAUAAAUUUUCUUGCUCAACAUACGACUUAGGAAUUGUGUAAGUUAUCUAAUGUUUACAGCCCAGUAAAACAUAUCAGUUACUGGUAAAUUAAUAGAGGAGUGAGCUGGAGAGUAAAUUGCAGUUUAAUCUUGCCCUCCGUAUUCCUAUUACUGCGUUUUUAACUGUUUGGUCUAGUUUAUAGAAGAAUUUCCUUUGAAACAUGUUGUAAUGGUGAGUUUCAGUCAAGAAUUGUACCUGAUUAUGAGUCUCGGGAAACAUACGUGAUGAGUUGCUGUGUUGCUUUGGCUGUAAAGCUGAUGAUGUGUUUCUUCACACCUUGACAAAAUGAAGUUACAUACAGAUUUUUGCUUCUUAUUAACUGUAUGGUAAAUUGGUAAUUGACUCGUUGAUUGGGUCGCAAUUGAAUGGUGGCUUAAGAGAUUUAGUAUGAAAGAAAAGCAUAUCUAAUAUAGAAAGGCAUGCAUUGUAAGAAGCAGCUUUCGUUUAAUGAUGCAGUUUCUAUUAAACACAUCUGUCUGUCUUCUCGUAAUAUCCUAAUUACCUCUAUUUGGUAAGUCUGAUAUUGUCAACUUUAGUUUGUAAUUCUAUAUUGAAUAUAUUUGUUGCACUAUAAUGUACUAACGGCUGCAAACUAUUUUGGUUGUAACUUUUCUGAUGCCAUCUUUAACUAGGGGAUUUCAUAUUGCAGGAUUGCAGCCAUCAAGACGCAGAUCCCUCUUUACCUUGGCAACAUCGAUGAUCAUCUUCUCAGCUAAAGCCUACAACGUGGUUGCUCUUGCACCUUGUGCUAAAGCAGCACUUACAAAUGAAACAGUACGUGCAACAGAGUUUCCUGACUACAUUUCCGCUGAAUGUUAAAUUGGCGGACCUUUUAAGUUAUUUCUACUUUGACUUGAGGUUUCCGAAGUUAACCUUGCUCAACACUAACGUGUAUGAGUUGAUGACCUGCUGUCAGGUUGAUCCAUUUCUACGGUUGGUUGAUGAUCGCAAAUUGCAAGCUGUCAAUUCUGGAGCUGACCAAGUAAGGAAAGUUUAUGGAUCAAAAGAAGAUGAUGAGGAUGCUUUAAGGUCACUUUCUGCUAUAGAAAAAUCUGAGAGCCAAUCUAAGGAAUCGUUUACUACCAUGAUAGUGCAGACGCUUAGAAAUUCACCAGAUGUAAACUUCUUAUCACAUUGAUUAUCGGAACCAUGUCUAGUUCUUUGUAAUUAUGAUUCUGAUAUAGCUAUUUCGGUUUUCUUUUUUAACUACAGGAUUCAUCAAUUAUAAAACAGCAGUUGCUUAAUGAUUUUCUGCCUGAUGAUGCAUGUCCAUUGGGAGCUCCGUUGAACAUGGAAACACCCAGAGAAAUAGACCAAGUUGGCGUACAAGAUGAUGGAGAACCUGAUAAGGUAACUUACUCGAACAACUUCCUUAUUUUAAAAAAAAAAAUAUCCAAACAAUUAAAUGUGCAGAAUGAUUUUAUUGUGCAGGCGGAGCCCCCAUUAUUCACAAUUGGGGAUAAUGCCUUACCCAAUGCAUCUGAAAAUCAAACCGAUCCUGGCACAAAAGUUGCAAUGGAAAGUUUAAGCCUAAUAAGCGUUGAUCAGCUUUUAGAUUCGGUAAGUGAGGUCGCUCAUACAGUGUUGCUGGUUUGUGGCCUUUGUAGAAGUCAGACAGAAAACACGUAAAUCAAUGGACAUUACAUCAAGUUGAUCAUUGUGCUAAGUAAGAGAGCGAUUCGUGUGCAGGUUUUGGAGACGACACAUCAAGUUGGAAGAUUAUCAGUCUCAGCUGCUACAAACAUGCCUUACAUGGAAAUAGCUGGCCAGUGUGAGGCCAUUCAAAUGGGGAAGCAGCAGAAGUUGUCGACGUUUAUAGUUUCCCAACAGAGACAAGAAAGUUUGAUUAGAUUUUCUAAUGACUGUAGCCAGGAAAAGGAGACUCCAUCUGUUGUUCCGCUGGGCGCUCCUACGGUAUUUUCUUUAGCAUACAUACUACAUGGGAAAGUUUUAAAUUCAAUCCUUUUGUUAUUGCAAUUUGCAUUGCAUGCAUAUUGUGUUUUUAGCAUAUUCUGAGUCUCCGAAAACCAUCUGGAACUGCAGAGUGGAAAUCCAUUCCUUGAAUCGGGUGCUAUUUCACUCAACCAAUCUGUUGGCAAUGGCUCUUUGAUGCUUUGCGCAACUGAGUAUCAGCCCUAUCCGCACUUCCAGCUACCGGCAUCAAGCCCCUACGAUAACUUUUUAAAGGCUGCAGGUUGUUGAUCCGUGUAGAGAAAGUUCGAUAGCCCUUGUAGCACGUAAGAAAUUGAGUGUUAACAGCACUGGAGCGAGCGGCAGUUGUAUCUGCAACAAGUUUGUGUUGUUCCCGAUUCAGCCAGCCAUGUUUUCUCUUCAUAUACCCACUGACUGACUGCAUUCAUUUAGUCAUCAAUUGUUGAUAGGGAGGUUCAUUUUUUAUAUCUUUUUAGGCUCUCCCUCACUUUACAUGUUUGAUAUUGUAAAGUAAGAGUUUUGCUCACUUGCACAUUUUUUCUUCACAAUCGUUCACUCGUGAAAAAGAAAAUGUGCGAGAGAUAAUUUUCAUGUAAAGUAUAAAGAUGUAAAAUAGGUAAAUUUCAUUUCAUAAGCACUGAUUUUCAUUAGUGUUUUAAAAAACUUGCCUCGAGGUGCGCCUAGGCGGCCUUGGAGGCGGGGCGGUAGCAAUUUCGCCUCUGUUUUCUGGGAGUGGGCGGAAACUCGCCUAGGCUUCGUUGCGGCACGCCUAGGCGGCCGAGGCACGCUUGAGGUGUUUGACUGGGUGUUCCCAGUACCCUUCAGCGACCCAAAUCUUGCUUGAAAUUUGAAGUUUUCUGGAAACCUGGUUCUGGUUCUGGUUCUGGGUUGCAGCAGCGUCUUCAUGAAGAAGAAAAUUGUGCGAAGAAGAAGGGUCGGUUUUUUUUUUCUUAUAAAGACAUGGCCCAAAACGACGCCGUUUUGGCCAAGUCUUUAAUAUUUUUAAUGACUUGGCCCAAAACGAUGUCGUUUUGGCCAAGUCUUUUUUUUUUUUAAUAAUUAUUAUUUUUUUAGUUUUUUUAAUUUUUUAAAGGAACAUUUGGUCCGUAUAUAUCAUUAUCAAGCAACACAAAUCGCAGGAGGUCUCAUCCUCCUUCACCACCCAAUACCCAGUACACGAUUCACCCAAUCCCUCGAACCCUAAAUUCUCGGGAUUUUCGAAAUGUUUUCGGAUUUCAGGAUGGAUAGGAAUUGGAUUUUGGGUUUUGGGCUUUUUGGGUUGAAAUUUGAGAUUUUUUGAAUUUGGGCUUUUGGCCUAAAAUUUUGUUCCUAAUUUCAUAUCAAUUGAAAUUUAGAUUUUUUACAUCAUAUUAAUUUGAAUUUGCAUACCAAUUCAUUCAUAACAAGUCAAAUGUGUUCCAAAAUUCCAAACUACUUAAUUUCAUACUUCUAUUUCUAAUAUAGUCUACUAUCAAACUACUUAAAUUCAACAUUCAACAAUCAACAAUCAUGCAACCAAUAUAAAUAAAUAUAUUUUUUUGGUUCGGUUCGAAUCGAUUUCGAAAAGUUCGAUAUUAAUGGUUUGAGAAUUUUUCGGUAUGGGGUAUCGGAAUUUUUUUGGUUUAGUUUGGGAUUUUCGAGAAAAAUUUCCAGCUCUAUGAGAGGAGGGUAAGAAAAGUAUAGAAUGUGAAAGUGUAUUUUGGAGUUGAGUGUUUUGGCUAAGGCGUCAUUUUUGAGUAUAUAGAUAAUUUAUAUUUUUUUUAGUACAUCGAUAUUUUAACACUAAGGGGGAGGGGGAGUUCGGCUUAGUCACACAAUGGGCAACCUAAUUUGAUAUCAAAUUCGUCAUCCACGAAAUUCGAACCUAAGACCUCUCACUUCCAAGUGAAGAGGAAUAUUACCAAACCAUAGUAUUGAGUGACAGAUAAUUUAUAGUUUUAGUUAGAGUAUUUUUCAUGAUAAAAAGAGUUGAGUAGCGGCAACUGUCCCCAGUCAGCAUAUGCCGCCUUUGUUCAUGUCCAAAUGUAUCAAAUAAGUAGACAGUCUCAUGAAUAUGUCCCAAUGUAUCAAAUAAAGAAGGGUGGGUGGGCAAAUGUUUUUAUUUUAUUUUUAACAAAUGAUAUUAUCUACACGGGGUGGGUUUAGCCUCAUGAUUGACCAGUAAUAACGUGGUUCAAAUUCACCUUUGGCGAGAAUUGAAUCUAAAAUCUCUCACUUACAAGUAAAGGAGAAUACUACUAGAUUGUAAUACUAAGUAGCGGGCAAAAGACUAUUUUUACCUUUCACAUACUCUUGUUAAUUUUUUGCUAGUGAUACUCUUUAAUUUAUUUAAUUCGACGAUCAAAAAUUAAGAAUAUGGUGUAAAAAGUAAAAAUGAACGUGUAUAUAGCACUAUUUUAAUUAAUUAAUUACUUUGUUUUCUCUAGAAUCUUCUUCGAUAGUUGAAAACCAAACACAAUACAGAUCCUCUUACUCUCUCCUCAUCUGUAUCUCAUCACACAAGUAAGUCCCGCUUUUUCCAUUUCUAUUUUCCGUUUUCUGUUUGUUUCCCGAGAAAAUUCCAAAGAAAAAGAAACCCUUCCUAAUUUUUGGUUUGGAAUUCGAAUGCAAUUGCAUUAAAUUUUGCGUCUUUGAUUUGGGUAUUUGCAGAAUUUUGCCAAGACCCAUUGGAUUAUAGAAGCUUGAAGUAAUGGAGGAUGUUCGGGAGCAGGCUGAGCAGGAAAGUCAACUACUUGGUAUGUUUAGUCAUACUUUUGGCCUUAAUUUCCAGUUCAAGUAUUAAUUCAUACUUUUUACACUCAAUCAAAUCUUCCAGCUACACUUGGUUACUGUAAAAGCAAAUAUGUCAAAUCUUAGACUCUUAGUAGGUUUUUAGCUUCAAAUAUAUGUCAAAUUAACCUGAUAAGCGGGUUUUCGAGUGAUUGAGUUGGGCUGAAUGAAUAAAUGAUGUUUUCUUCAGAACAAUUUUUCUAUAGGUGCAUUAUCGAGGCGGAAACUUAUUGUGUUUAUUUAUUACUUGAUAAGAUUUUGGAAAUAAUUUGUACAUCAAGAAGGAACGCAAUAGGUGGACAUUAUGAAUACCGCUUCCAGUACACCGAUUCAUCGUUCUUCCAUGCUUUUAUGUUGAGUAACUCAGAAAUCCUGUGUUCCAAAACUCAUGUAGUACAAGUGGGGAUGUCAGCUAUCUAGUCGCUGUAUAAUGUGCAGGGGAAAGAAGAAGAUUGUCGUUCCCCUCUGUGUAUGAGUGAAUUAGAUUUCCUUAUGGGGGCACUAUAAUUCAUAUAGGGAAUCCAUGUGAGCCUCGAAAAGGACCGUCAUAAUAUAGACUACUACUCAUUUUUCAUCUUGUUUGUAGGUCAAGAUGGUGAAAAUGAAACAGUAACUGAAGAUGCUACCUUCGUUCGUGGAGAACCUUCUCAAGAUGCUAAUGGCCCCCCAAAAGUUGAUUCCAAGGCGGAAAUCCUUCAUGAGAAAGUCACACAGCAAAUCAUUAAGGAAGGUUAUGGUCAAUACCAUCCAAGUAUUCAACAUGCUUCUGUAAGUGUCACGUGGUUUCCUUUUUGGUAGUGCUGUACUGUGUGCAUUAGUUGAAAACCCAAUAAUGUUAUGUGUGCAUGUAGUUGUUAGUGUAUAAGACAUGAAUGAGCUUGUGACUUGCAAACAGACACACACAACUUCAACGUUCAGAGAGUUGUGGAUGUACUAUUCGUAUAAGAGAAUUAAUUGCAUGCAUUAAAUUUUAUGAAAGGGAUGCCUAAGAUACAUGUAGAAAGGUCUUGAAGUGAAUUUUUACUCUGGUUUUUUCAAUCACUGAGUGAUUGGCAUAUGCGUAUAGGAGAAUUAUUUGUGCAUGCAUUAAAUUUUAUAAAAGGGAUGCCUAAGAUACAUGUAGAAAGGUCUUGCAGUGAAAUUUUACUCUGAUUUUUUUCAAUCACUGAGUGAUUGGCAUAUGUGUGAUAGUGCACUACAGGGCAUGGACUGAAAGCACGGGACACAAGUUUGAAUACACCUGGGAUGAACAACGACCACUUGAAAUGAUUUUAGGAAAAGGUAUUAGCCUUGCCGAGUAGUCUGGUACUUUUGAUAAUACAAAAUAUAUGCAAACGAGUUCUGGCACGUUCCUUGUUCAGUCUGCAAUUAGUUUUGUUAUUUCUUUAUUGCUUUUAUUCUCUGUAAGUACUCGUCAUUUCAGAUGAUUUGGGUCCAUAAGCAUUUAAGCAUUAUCUAGUGGUAUUAAAUGCAAUGGACUUCUUAUUAUUAGUAUAUUUUUGUUACUGCAACACAGAAAAAAGAAAUGACUGGCUUGGCAAUUGGGGUGUCCAGCAUGAAGUCUGGAGAGCGUGCACUAUUACAUGUAGGCUGGGAGUUAGGGUAUGGGAAAGAAGGGGGCUUUUCUUUUCCGAAUGUCCCACCAGUGGCAGAUAUAUCAUAUGAAGUUGAGCUUAUUGGAUUUGAUGAAACCAAAGAAGUAAGUUGCUUGCUCUCAAAUGUCUUCCCAAGUAGUUACCAAUGGAAGUUUCAAAAUGUCUUUUCCAGGGAUUUGCUUCAGUAAUAUAGUAACAUGUAUAUUUGUGGGUUCAGCCUUUCAUAGGGGAAAGCUCGUAGUGACAUGACUGUGGAGGAAAGGAUUGGAGCACCCGAUAGAAGAAAGAUGGAUGGAAAUGCUUUAUUUAAAGAGGAAAAACUAGAGGAGGCAAUGCAACAGUAUGAAAUGGUUACGCACUUGUAAUUCUUGCAUAUUUUAUUUGUGGCAGAUGAGCAUUUUUAUAUUUCCUUUCUGGCAUGAUUCUGGUGGGUUUUCUCAGGCUAUAGCAUAUAUGGGUGACGACUUCAUGUUCUAGUUGUUUGGGAAGUACAGGGACAUGGCAUUGGCCGUUAAAAAUCCAUGCCACCUUAACAUGGCAGCGUCUUUUAUAAAGCUCAAGCGUUAUGAAGAAGGCAUUGGACAAUGCAGUAUUGUAAGUAUGCUGCUAUCACAAGAAAGCCAUCUAAUUUCAUGUGUUCAGCGGUUGUGCUAUUCAUCAUUAGAUACUAGAAAGUUGGGUUUGUAGGCUUAUUUGGGAGUACAACUGCAUCCCAAGAAGUUUGAAUCUUCAUUCACUUUAACCUGCUAUUUUGGAUUGCCGUAGAAAAUGAAAAUGCUCUUAUUAUGGACCAGCGAAAAGUUGGUAGCCUUACCGGCACCAUUCUUCAUUCAAUAAUCGAAUUCUAGGUCCUAUGCGACUCGUAGGAUCUCUUUAUUAUGUUACUACCCAUGCUUCAUCCUGUCGUUCAAACUAUGUGGCUGUUAUAACUAUAACUUGUCAAUGCAACUAACGUCUAAUAAUUGAUUUUUCUGCGUCGUAUGGAGUCAGGUGAUAUUUACCUUUUUCAUGAAUACCCAUAAAUUGUCAAUGCAACUAAUGUCUAUUAAUUGAUUUUUCUGCUUCGCUUGGAGUCGGCAGAUAUUUAACUUUUCAUGAAUACCCUCAAAUUGUCAAUGCAACUGUGUUAACUGUAAUGGAUGAAUGAAUGCUCGCAGGUACUGGCAGAGGAUGAAAACAACGCAAAGCGCUAUUUAAGCGAGGAAAAGCCAGAGCAGAGCUUGGGCAGACAGGUGCUGCUCCGGAAGACUUUCUAAAGGCGCGCAAAUUUGCACCGCAAGACAAAGCUAUUGCAAGAAACAAAAAGAAAUCUACAAGGGAAUUUUCGGAGCAACCCCAGAACCUAAACCCAAACGGGAUAAUUGGUUGAUCAUCUUUUGGCACUGGCCGUUGUCAUUGUUCUAUCGUCUCUUCGGGCGCGAAAGGUAUAAAGCUGAGUAGUCAAAGAUCUUAAGCUCUUGAAUUGCAUGAUAAAUGAGGAAAUCCGUGUGUUGAACUUGCUAAUAAACAAGGCUAUGAAAUGUGACCCUGAAGGUUCACUCUUUUACGUCUCGGGAGGGAGUUUAGUGUUAGAACCAAUCAAAUAACAAGAUAUAAUGUAUAAUAGCUUCACAGUUUAUAUUGAAAUAUAAUUCCACUAUAUAUAAUUAACCACAAUAUGAAUAACUAAUGAAGUUGUAAAUAAUUUUUCCACAAAAAAAAAGUUGUAAAUAAAAUCACAACAAUGGUCACUGAUGUAGUAGUUCACGAACGUCUACAUUGCGCGAAUCUUUGACAUUUAAUACAUAUCCAAAUCCAUCCCAAGUUCAAGGCUAAAGGUCCUAGCCCAUUUUAUUUUAGGUAAGGUGAAUGAACUCAGUAUAAAGAGGGAUUGGUGAAUAUUGAUGGGCGAUGUGGGACAAUGGUCCCUCACAAGUUCUAGCAUUUAGAUGCCUAUAGUUUUAGCCGGGAACGAAGAUACAGUGAUCAAAUUGAAGUGGUCUAAAUUGUUAUACAAGAGUUUAUUUCAUUUUCGCUUUGUUUACUGAGUUUUCGGUUGUGAAUUUUCCGUCACCACCAUAAUAGAGUAUUGUGAUGCUUAAUUUACUCCCACACACCCUUAAUGUAAAUAAUAUCAUUUAUUCAAUAAAAAUUUAAUAAUACUAAUAAUAGAUUGAGGUUUGAAAUUUCCUUAUUCCAAAUGAACCCCAAUUUAUGACUUUCCUUUAGUCUACUAGCAUAGUUCCUACAUAGUUUUAGCAGUGUUCAAGCUUACAUCAAAGCAAUCUUAGCCUUUCAUUUUACACCUUAUGAGAUGAAUAGUAUCAAAGAAAGGUAAAAAUGUAAUUUUUCGUUAAAAAUAAAUAGUACCAUAAGUAUUUUAUUAAAACUCUCGAUUAUUAUUUGUUUUUUUAUUCUCAACCCUCAUUUUUUUAAACUAGAAAUUGAAGGAGAUCUAAUUUUCUCAGCUGAAAGAAAGCUGAAAGAAGGCGUUAGAAACGUGGAGCGCUGGGUGUAUAAAUCUGUACUCAAGAUACGAAUAAAAUUGGACUGGUUGCUUCUAUUUGGAAGCAAGAGGAUCUCUUCUGCGUCCUCUUUGUGGGGAUCCUAGCGAUUCUCGAAUUUUAUACAUUCAUGUUCAUCGUACGGUCAAAAAUUAUUUUAAAUAUAUGCAUUUAAUAUUAAACAUGAAUAAUAUCUAAUAAAAACUGAUCUCACGAAGAACAAUAUACGUAUAGAAUUUAAAGAUCUCUUAAAUCCCUACAAAGAAUAUCCGGAGAGGGUUGUCUUCUUAAAUCACAACGCAAACCAUAUUGACCAUUAUUAAGAGAAAUUUUUCAUUGUGACGAGAAUACGGAUGAUAUAUCACGUGUUUUUAUAUAAAUGGUGAAAAUUUUUAUUUUUUAAGUUAUUAACAUUUUAAUACUUAUAUCAUUCUAUUUUUAUAAUAAUAUGUAGUGUACUACUUGUCACAGCCCGUUCCAAAAUAUUACAUUCGAGGCUGUGAAUGGACGAAAUUGCCCUUAAGAAAUACUAAGUAUGUGAAGCUCAAGUUGAUAAUUAUCUAGGUUCCUAAGUUUUGAAAAUAAAAUGGAAUUUAAUAAGGAUGGAACUUAGAUUUUUAGGUUAAAAUUUUGUGGUUUAGAGUUGGGGAUUGGAAAAGGACCACGUGGGAUCCCCAUUCCUUAUUUCCCUCCCCAUUUCCCGUUACUGUCCUUCAUACUCUCUCUCUCUUCCUCAGACCUCACUCUCUCUCUCUCACCCUCUCGAACACACGGGCAACCAUCAAAACAACCUAAAACUAUUACCAACGCCGGAUUUAAAACCACCAUUGCACUCCUGAGGACUCCACGAUCACGUAGGUACCAGUUUAAGGUAAGUUUCACUUCGAAAACCCUAGUUUCUAAAGUUGCCGUGAAUGUGUACUGUUCAUGAGCUUUGAAUUGGUUGAUUUUUAGGACAAUCCAAGCUCAUAGUGAGCUUAGUGAGGUCCCAAGGAAGCUCGGAGUGCUUCGUUGGAAGGAUUUGGACGUCGGGAUCACGAGGGUUAAGUUUGGCCGGUUUUGCUUGGAUUUUUCCGGUGAGAUUUAGUUGUUUUUUGAAGCUUAAAGGUAGUAUAUUGUGAUUCUACAUGUUGAGGGCUUUAAAUUGAUAUAUUAUACGAAGAAAAUGGUUGAGAAACGAAGGAGAACGAAGCAUUUGAAAAUUCCCCAGUUUUCCGGCCACCGGAAAAACCAGUCCGGCGAACCCGCGAGGAAGAAGGUGCGCGUGGGCGCGCGUGGACCCGUGCCUUCCUUGGCGCGUGGGGGCGCGUGCUACAGUAAAAAUUAUUUUAAAAAUAUGUCGACGUCCGUGACGUCGAGUAGAUCACUGUGGUAUAUUCAUAUACCCAAAUUGAGCACCGUAUGAGAAAGUUAUUAAGGAUUGUUGGUUAGGUGUUCGAAUAACGUUUUAUAGUUUUCGCAUUAGGUGAAAAUGUGAAUUGAUGAUCCGACCGUUGGAUCGUUACCAAACUUUAGUACGUUGCAAUACGUAAUGUUUGAGGAUUAUUGGAACUUACGGAUUGGGAAUCCGAGUUACGGAUCUUCCGGAAUUGGAGUUGUAAGUUCAUAAAAUAAAAUGUUAACCGUCACUUAGUUUUGGAAAUUGACGGAGAUCCGACCGUUGGAUGGUAAUGAAAUUUUAGGAUGUUAUCCUAGAGAUAUAUUGUGGACCUCUGGAAGUUAUGGAUUUAAAAUCUGAGUGGUGGAUCUUCCGGAUUGAACUACGUAGUGACGUAUUUUAUAUAAGUUAUAUAUUCUAUCGAUAUGAAUUCUGAGGUUGGAAUUGAUUAUUGUUUUAGGCGCCGAUCGUCAUGACGCCUUGGCGUAUUGUGCUAGGGAGUUGUAGGGCGAACUCCAGGUGAGUGGGCAGUUUUGUUUUCCGUAUAUAUAUACUUGACGUUUUCCCAGAAAUUGAAAUUGAAUGAAAGUAUGCUUUAAAUGCAAUGUAUAAAAUUAUAUGAAAAGUAUAUUGAAAUGUGAAUUGAGAAGCCAUGCAUAAAAGUAUAUGAAAAGUAUAUAGAAAUGUGAAUCGAAUUGCCAUGCAUGAAAUGAUAUGAAAAGUAUGAAAUUGAGAUAUGAUGCAUAUGAAUGAAUGGUGCGGCGGACGCACAGGUGAGUAUUUAAAUACUGAUAUGAUGAUGUUAAUGUAUAUUGAGCUCAAAUCCUGCACCAUGGUUUAGUGCUUAUAGUAUUCACCGCAUCGCACGCUCGCCUUGGAUCCAAGUAGAUGCUGGUCGCACAGUCCACGCGGAGUGGGUGCGACGGGCCAGUCGAAGAGUGUUAGUGAGAUUUCGACUGGUGGGUGACCUUAGAUUAUGUGCACAGAUGAUUGAUGAGAAAGCACUAGAGCGUAACUUGUGUGCAGAAGGCCGGACAGGUCACAGAGGUGACUCCGGUAGAGUGAGAGUGAUAGAUUUUGAGCUCUAGGUUCAACCGUACAGGGCUAUUAGAGGGCCUCCGGUUGAUUACUUCUUGCACCUGAUAUAAUUACUGUUGAUGCAUUCAUACUUAACUGUUGAAUUCCGAUAUGGCAUGGCAUAUUUGUACUGAAAAAUGUUGAGUUAAUGAAUUGAAGUAUUGAGAAUAUAUAUGUAUAUUUAUAUUUUACAUUUCUGGGAAAGUAUACAGGUUUUACGGAGAGGGGUUACAACGUUUUGAGAAAUGUUUGGAUUUGGAAAAGAAUUGUUUUACUGACCCACUCAAUUUUGGUUUUGCGCCCCUCCAGGUUCAGGAAUCACAAAGGUGUGGUGGCUACGAGGAAUUCAGCGGUGUUCUGACAGAAUAGACAAAAUUAGGACGCACCUUCGGGUGUAUUAACUUUGAAGUUGUAUAAUUAAAGCUUCCGUACUGUGCAAAUGGUUACGUCACUCUCACGUGACGGCCAACAUGCCCUCCUUCGGGACGGGGUGUGUCACUACUUAUGUGUCGGUUCAUUGAAAAAUCUCUCCAUUAUUAGGUCUUUGUUUUUAUUUUAUACAUUGAAUGAUGUGUGAGUGGCUGGAUGAGAGAUGGGCAUAUAAAGAGUAGCUGGAAAUGCAGACAAAGAAGAAGAUGAAGAGAGUUCAAACUCUUUUUUAUGGUUUUGAGGAUGAGGAGGAUUCAACGAGCUUACCUUAUGAUUAGAGAAAUUGGAAAGACUAGGGGAAUAAGUGUUGCGCAAAUUAGAUAACUAAAAUUAACUUUAUUAAGUCUCGAAUUUUAGUGUUUGUAAGUAUACAAAUCAGAUGAUAGUAUAGCUUUGAAGCAUAUAUAUAUAUAUAUAUAUAUAUAUAUAUAUAUAUAUAUAUAUAUAUCAUUCUACAGAGAUCGAAUUGAUUCUAAAAUCUUACUAACUAAAUUGAAAUAAAUUAUAAUUGCGAAGCUUCAACGAAAAGAUAUGAGAUUUUGAAUAAAAUGAAAAAUAAACAAAGCUUGAAAAUAAAAUGCAUGAAAUAAUAAAAUUAAAAACAUAAGAAAAGUGCAAGUGGCCAUUUACCACAGUGGUGGAAAGGUGUUGUGCCCUUGCAUGACGGCGUGGGUUUGAACCCCGUCCGUAGCUAAUCUAACAUUUAACUUACUAACGCUUCCGUUUCACUAAAAAAAAAAAAAAAAAGUAAGACCUAGGACAUCCAAAUUCACCGUAACCAAUUCUACUUAAUUCUCUUAAUAUGUUAUGCUCAAGUAGUUCUCCAAUAUUGAUGAUCAAGUUUUCCUGAAUUAUUCAAUGGUCAUGGCAUCUAGUUGCAUCAAAAGUAUCCUUACAUGUUAACCCUUUAUGACAUAUAGAUGAAUUUAAACAAGUAAGAAUCUAUUAAGCUAUAUGGAAAUCUUUGGAAAAUCGCAUGAACCCUAAUUGCAUGACAUCUACAAAUAGGUGUUUGUAGGUAUCAAUUGCAAGAAGAUAAAUCCAAGUUAAGUAUUGCAUCUACUCUAACUUGCAUCAAAUCAACUCAACUAAAACUUAGAUGGUGAUCAAGCAUCUAAAUGAAAAUCAAACGCAUUAUGAAGAGCAAAAGAUACUCAAUAUGUAAUAAAAACUUGAUAAUAACAAUAUCACAAGGUAAUUAAGCAUUCAUAAUUAGACUACAUCGUAGCCCUAGCAAAGAAAAACCCCAAAGCCCUACUUGAAAAUUUGUGAUGUUUUGUGGUUUUUUUUUUGGUGGCUCCUUAAUAUUAAGAAGUAACCUCCUUAUAUAAAACCCACGGCAAUAAGGUUACUAAAGGCCAAUUAAACCUAACUUAAUGAAAUUUUAAGUUCUUAUUAAAGAGAAGAAAAUUAAACCGAAAUAAUAAAAUUAGUAAUUAAGUUCUCUCCUAAUGUCCAUUGAAUAACAUUUCCAUGUCCACUUGAUCUCCAAAAUCGCUUGGUUUCAUCUUCUAGUUGUAAUGCAUAUAUCUUGGUGUAGUUAAUUAGUUUCUUGCUCCACUGGAAUUACUCUAGAGUCUAGACAUCUGAAAUCUCCAUUUUCCACUUAUUUUUUGUGUAACAUCCGUAUUGAAUGCCUAGAAAAAAAAAACAUAAAAUUGAGUGUUUUUAAACCAUUUGAAUAUACAAAAUUCAAAGAAAAUAUAUGAUAAAAAUAUAUAAAAAUAUGACCACAUCAAUAAUCUAUAAAGUCUGGUUCAAAAAAAAAAAAUAAUAAUAAUAACAAAUUGAGGUUUGAAAUAUCCACAUUCCAAAUGGAUCCUAAUUUAUGACUUCCUUUAGUCUAUUAGCAUUAUAUCAUCAACAUAAAUGAACAUUAUGGUAUCUUAUCAUCCCGUUUACUUUUAGUGUAUAAUGUUGCUUCACUGGUAAACUUCUAAUAGUUACAUAAUUUUAACAGUGUUCAAGCUUACAUCAAAGCAAUCUUAGAGAGAUGAAAAUAUUUUGCAAAAGAAUAGCAUUAUUAUUAUUUUUUUCUUUCUCAACCCUCAUGUUUUUUAAACUAAAAAUUGAAGGAGAUCUAAAUUUCUCAACCUAAAGAAAGUUGAAAGAAGGCGUCAGAAACGUGCAGAGCUGGGUGUAUGAAUUCGUACUGAAGAUAUAAAUAAAAUUGGACUGGUUGCUUCUAUUUGGAAGUGUUGGGUGUAGAAACGCUCAGCAAUGGGUGUACAAAGUAUAAUAGCGCGUGGGCCCAUGGAGUGGUGGGAGAGAGAACAUGCGUUGGAAAUCAAAUGAGAGACACAACACAACCUUUUAGUAGAGCACUAGCUAAUACAUUACUAGCUACUAGGGCACAAAAGUAGAGGAAAAGAGAAGGACAGGAACCAACGGCUAUAAUUUGUGAAGGUCCCAGCUGGCAUCAAAAACCAACUUUCAAUUAUGAAGGCCAGCUGUAGCAUAUACACAAUACAAUACACGGAAUGACGAAACUCCUCCCUUAACUAUAAUUGACAUGAUCAUUUUCUUUAAAUUACGUAUUAUUAUACAAAUUAUAAGCUAUAUGUAUUUACAAUUUAAUAACUUAUAAAUAAUAUUUAUUAUUAUUAUUUUUUAAAUACGUAAUGUAUCAUCUAUUUUUCCAUCUCAAUACUAAAUUUCUCCAUAUUAUCCCAACUCAAAACCAUAUUGACCAUUAUUAGGUCUUUGUUUUAUUUGUGAAGGACCCAGCUGGCACUAAAAAUCAACUUUCAAUUAUUAAGGCCAGCUGCAACAUAUUGACCAUAUUAUCACAACGCUAAAUCAUAUUGACCAUUAUUAGGUCUUUGUUUUAUUUGUGAAGGACCCAGCUGACAUUAAAAAUCAACUUUCAAUUAUUAAGGCUAUCUGUAACAUAGUGCCUAUAAUAUCUUAAAGCAAAACACGUGAUUAAUUACCCAUAUUUUUUUCAUAAUAAAAAUUUUCUAUUAAUAAUGGUCAGUAUGGUUUUGCGUUGUGAUAUUAUGGCCAAAAUGUUACAUCUGGCCUUAAUAAUUGAAAGUUGAUUUUUAAGGAUUUGGAUCCUCUCCUGGGGGUCCGAAUUCUCUUGAUCUAAUAAUAGAUGCCGUUGAAUUUUUAUUAAAUGAUUAUAAAUAAAUUUUUUAAAUUAUAAUAAUUAUAACUAUUAGAUCAAAAUUUAACCAUUCGUAUUAUUAGGUUAGAAAGAUUCGGACCCUGCUCAGGAGAGGAUUCAAAUCCUUAAAAAUCAACUUUCAAUUAUUAAGGCCUGUAACAUUUUGGCCAUAUUACCACAUCGCAAAACCAUUUUGACCAUCUAAAGCCCAUGGUUCCCUAAACCAUCUACCUUUCGUGUUCGGCCUUCUGUGGACCUUGAUGCCAUCAUGGUUUGCGACUUAAUUGAUUCGGGCUCCAACUCUUGGAAGUCGAACAUCAUUCGUGCUGGAUUCCACCGGGAGGAUGCCGACACUAUUCUAAGUAUCCCAUUAAGUUAUUUUGGCUGUGAUGACAAAAUGGUGUGGCACUAUACAGCGAAUGAGGAUUAUUCUGUGAAAACCGGCUACAGUGUAGCAAUGGACUUGAUGGAAAACGGUGCUUUGGGCAAGAAGGGACGGGGUGCCCCUAGUGAACAAAAGCAACUUAACAAUGUCUGGGUCAAGAUAUGGCGCCUAAGGGUUCCGAACAAAAUCAAGCUCUUUAUUUGGAGAUGUUGUAGCAAUGCCUUGGCUGUUCGACGGAACCUUCAGAGACGGCAUAUGAGGGUUGAUAAUGUAUGUGGUGUGUGCAAUGCGCCGGACGAGACGAAAAACCACCUAUUCUUUCGAUGUAUUUUCAGUCAUUUAUUCUGGUUUUGCUCUCCUCUUCACCUGAACUCCAUUGAAUUGGCUGGAGUGGACUUCCUUGAUAGCUGGGGAAAAUUCCACAAGUGUGUAAAGGAUAGGGUCAACGCAGAUGAGAUAUGUCAAGAAUUUGCUUUUGGAUUAUGGAGACUAUGGAAAAACAGGAAUGAAGUCGUCUUUAAGGGGCUGCACCGUCAACCUCUGGAAGUUCUGGAUUUAUGGCGGAAGAACAUCAAUGAAUUUAGGGAGGCGACAACUAGUGUGGAUGGGGACGUUGAGACCAUGGCAGAAGGCAACCACCCAGCUACUGCCCGGACUACCCCUCACUGGCAAAGACCCAAGUACAGGACCAUCAAGAUCAAUACGAAUGCGGCAUGGUGUAAGGAAUCCCAUCGUGCAGGCGUGGGCUGGGUGGGGAGAGACUUUGCCGGGGUGCUCCAAGCUGCGGGCGGCUCCGGGACUAUGCUCUGUCAAAGCGCUGCUGCGGCCGAAGCAAUAGCGAUACGCACAGCGUUGUUGGCUUGUAUUAAUCACAGGUUCAAUCAUGUAAUUGUUGAAUCUGAUGCUCAGAGGAUCAUUCAUAUGAUCAGGAAGGAAGUGUCUGAAGACUGUAAUUUGGACUGUGUGCUUGGCGAUAUCAAGAUACUAGCUCGAAAGUUGACGUCGGUGACGUUUGCGUUUGUGCCUAGGGAGAGCAAUCAGGCUGCUCACUUGGUGACUAAGUAUGUGUUAAAGGAAGGUCGUGAUUUCACCUGGGAUAAUGUUGGGCCAGUUUUUUUGUUUAAUACUCUUGCCAAAGAUGUAAACCUUUUGAUUCGCCUUUAAUAUAUUUUAUCCUUUGGAAAAAAAAAAUAUUGAUGUGCGAUGUGGGACAAUGGUCCUUCACAAGUUCCAACAUUUAAAUGCCAAUAGUUUUAUCCGGUAACGAAAAUACAAUGAUCAAAAUGAAGUGGUCUAAACUGUUAUACAAGAGUUUAUUUCAUUUUCGCUUUGUUUACUGAGUUUUCGGUUGUGAAUUUUUCAUCACCAUCAUAAUAUGUUAGAUGGUGUGUAAAACGAGUCAAUUUGUUUCUUUGAAGUACUUGUUUCUUUUGUUUAUGUGGAUAUUUUUCAGUAAAUGCAUGAAACUCAAGAAUCAGAAUGGUUCCAAUUCUUAUUCUAUAUAAAUAAACCUGUCAUGUUAUAUGAAAUCAUAAAAAUAUUGGAUUGAUGAGUCAUUUAGUACUACAAUAUAGUGAUAUUCUUUUAGAUUUGUAAGUGUUAGGUUUUAGGUUCGAUUCUUGCUAAAGACAAAUUUGAAUCACAUUAUUAAUAGUCUAUUGUGAGACUUAGUUUACACCUCAAACCCUUUAAUAUAAAUAAUAUCGUUUGUUCAAAUAAUAAUAAUAAUAAUAAUGAUAAUAAUGGAUUGAGGUUUGAAAUUUCCUCAUUCCAAAUGGACCCAAUUUAUGACUUUCUUUAGUCUAUUAGCAUUAUAUCAUCAACAUAGCUGGACAUUAUGAUAUCUCAUCAUUCCCUUUGCUUUUAGUGUAUAAUGUUGUUUCACUUAUAAUUUUCUAAUGGCUACAUAGUUUUAGCAGUAUUCAAACUUAUAUCAAAGCAAUCUUAGCCUAUCAUCUGACACCUUAUGAGAUGAAGACAUUUGACAAAAUAGUUGCAUUAUUAUUAUUAUUAUUAUUUUCUCAACCCUCAUUUUUUGAAACUAGAAAUUGAAGGAGAUCUAAUUUUCUCAGCGGAAAGAAAAAUGAAAAAAAGGCGCCUGAAACGUACAACGCUGGGUGUAUAAAUUCGUACUAAAGGUACAAAUAAAAUUGGACUGAUUGCUAGAGGUUUAGAGGUUUAGGAUUAUCUCUCUUUCUCUUUUCAUUUCUUUUAUCUCUUUCUUUCACAUAUUUUAUUUUAUCUUUUUUUAUAUAAAAAAAUUAAUAUAAGAUGUUAAUGUAGUUUAAUCGUAAUCAUUUAAAUAGAAAAUGAAAAAAAUAAAGAAAAAACAGAAGAAAAGAGAAUCCGGGUGUACAAAGGUCCAGCGGUGGGUGUACAAAUGAUGGAGGAUUAUAAUAGCGUGGGCCCAGGGAGCGGUGGAAGAGAAAACAUUACAUGUUUUUAUAUAAAUGGUAGAAAAUUUAAAAUUUAAAAUUAUUAAUUUUUUAACACACAUAUUCUGCUAUUUAUAUAAAAAUACAUGAUGUACCAACUCGUGUGAGGAUCACACUGAAAAAUCUUUCUAACACAAGGUUUAGUAGAGCACUGGCUAAUCCUUUACUAGCUACUAGGGCACAAAAGUAGAGGAAAAGAGAAGGACAGGAACCAACGGCUGUAAUUUGUGAAGGACCCAGCUGGCAUUAAAAACGAACUUUCAAUUAUUAAGGCCAGCUGUAACAUAUUGACUAUUCUUGGUCAUUGUUUUUAUUUUAUACAUUGAAUGAUGUGUGAGUCGUUGAAUGAGAGAUGGGCAUGUAGAGACUAGCAGGAGGAGCCAUCUUUCAUUUACGCAAAAUCAAUUUCUUCGUUACAACUUUAUAUUUUAAUUCACUUCACUUGGGUUUUUGCUUGUUCUGAAUACAAGAAAUGGCAGAAGGAGUUCUCUUUAAUAUUGUAGAACGGAUCAUUGUAAGUCUUGGCAACCGUGCUUUCCAAGAGAUUGGAUCGAUUUGGGGUGUCCAAGAUGAGCUCAAUAAGCUCAAGAGGACAGUUGUCGGAUUCCAAGCUGUUCUUCUAGACGCUGAGCAAAAGCAAGCCAACAACAGAGAAGUCAAACUAUGGCUGGAAAGCGUAGAAGAUGCAGUUUAUGAAGCCGAUGAUGUGCUGGAUGAGUUUAAUACUGAAGUUCAGCGGAGACUAGUGAUGCAUGGCAAUACUAAGCUGUCAAAGAAGGUAUGCCUCUUUUUCUUUAGCUCAAUUCAACUUGUUUUCUGACGAAAGAUGAAUCAUUAGAUAAAAUAUAUUAACAAGAGGAUUCGAGAGGUUGCACCUUGUAGAACAUUUUCAUAAUCACGUAUGCCUAUUGAUAUUAACCUCUUAGGAGCACAAUAGGUCUCCCAACAACUCAUAAUUAACUGCAAUAAGUCUUCUAAAUUGUUGUUUUGAAUGUUUCAUAUAACUUACCGUUACAAAACUCUAUUAACUUAUUAAUACAAUUCUAUCGGAUUGUGUCUACUCAAAUUCUUACAGGUGCGCCUUUUCUUUUCUAGCUCAAAUCAACUUGUUUUUGGGUUAGAGAUGAGUCAUAAGAUAAAAGAUAUCAACAAGAGGCUUAGUGAGAUUGCAUCCGGUAGACCCAGUGACUUAAACGAUAGCCGUGAAGAUACAAGAUUUAUAUUGAGAGAGAGGGUCACUCACUCAUUUGUCCCUAAGGAAAAUAUUAUAGGGAGAGAUGAAGAUAAAAUGGCAAUUAUCCAACUUUUGUUGGAUCCCAUCUCAACUGAGAAUGUGUCAACCGUUUCCCUGAUUGGAAUUGGAGGAUUGGGGAAAACUGCCCUUGCCCAACUCAUAUUCAAUGAUGAGGUGAUUCAAAAGCAUUUUGUGUUGAAAAUAUGGAUAUGUGUCUCUAAUAUAUUUGAGUUGGAUAUACUGGCUAAGAAAAUCCUAAAAGCUGACAAGCGUGAUAAAGAGGAGCGUGAUAAGGUGGACCAGCUUAAUAUGGAUCAGCUGCAAGAUGAUCUUAGAAAAAAAGUAGAUGGGAAGAAAUACCUACUUGUGUUGGAUGAUGUGUGGAAUGAGGAUCCACAUGAGUGGCUUAGGUUGAUGGACUUGUUAAGGGGUGGUGGAGAAGGUAGUAGAAUAUUAAUAACCACUCGUACUAAAACCGUUGCGAUGACAUCACACACAACUAAACUGUACACCUUAAGGGGUUUGAAUGAAGAUCAAAGUUGGUCUUUAUUUAAGAAAAUGGCUUUUGAAGAUGGAAAAGAACCAGAGAAUUCAACAAUUAAGGCAGUUGGGAUGGAGGUUGUAAGAAAAUGUCAGGGAGUUCCACUCGCUUUAAGGACGAUAGGUGGGAUGUUGCGCACCAAACAUCAUGAAAUAGAAUGGUUUAAUUUCAAAGAAAGGAAACUUUCAAAAAUAAGUCAAAAAGAAGAUGAUAUUUUACCAACACUUAAACUAAGUUAUGAUGUGCUCCCAUCACAUUUGAAGCAUUGUUUUGCUUAUUGUAGCUUGUUCCCACCUGAUUAUGAUAUCUCUGUACCAAGAUUGAUUAGACUUUGGGUGGCACAAGGGUUCAUUAAGUCAUCCGACGAAAACGAGUGUUUGGAGGAUGUUGCGUAUGAAUAUUACAAGGAAUUGUUGUGCAGAUCGUUUUUUCAAGAAGAAAAAACAGAUGUGUUUGGUAUAACAAGAAGUUGUAAAAUGCACGAUCUCAUGAAUGAACUUGCAAUCUUAGUGUCG